UUUUUUUUUUUUUUUUUUUGGUUCAUCCUUCUUUAUACAUUUCUUAUUUUCAACUGUCGUCACAUGAUUCGAACCCUGAAACUAAUAGGGAAAAAGACUCUAAGAGUCCUCAAAUGAGUGAAUUUCAAAUUUACUCAAAAGCCUAACAUGUCAUUUCAAAUCUCUUUUACUUAUUUCUGUCUACAUUAACGAAUCCAUCCUUUCAUGCAUAUAGAUCGAAGAGUUAAAUGCUGAUUGUUGCUUGUCGCUAUCAAUUACUAACAACUACUCCCUCCGUCCCACUUUGAUAGUCCUGGUUGUUUUUUCACACAGUUUAAGAAAAAGCAGUUAACUUUGUUAGAACAAUCAAUUUAGGUAGUAAACCUAAAUUGAUUACUAACAACUAUUAGUUAUCGCCGUUGGUCAAAGUUAAAGAAAAAAAAAUGACCUUGAUUCAAAAAAACCUGUACGUAUAUUGACAGUUAAUUUGCCCAAAAAAACACUAGUGACCAAAGGUGGAGCGGUCGAUCUGAAAUAGUAGGAGGGAUGUAAACACACGAACGGAGGAGAAAGGGAAAAUGGAAAUCUAACUAUUAACCCCUAAAGUUUACAGGGGGUAUUCAAUCUUUACCCCUCAUGCUUACCUUAAAUAUAAAUUCCUUUCGUAAUGUAACAACUCUUAGCCAAACAAUAAUGACUUUGGAUUAAAUAUGAAUUUUAAAACCACUCAUUUCAAAUCCAUUCAUGUUAAAUACUUGGACAGCGAGCCUCGAUUUUUUGCACCAUUCAGGAAACAAGACUUAUAAACUGGGUGCUUUGGCAUUUAAAAGUUUAUGAUUAUUUUAUCUAAAAUCUCAAUUUUAGUUUCUUGGUGUAUUAUGAUAAUUAUAUUUAUGAUUACUCAUCUACAAAUUUGAUAUCGAUUUGAAAGUCACCAUGUUACGUAUAAGAUUACUUAUAUAAUUUCUAAAUUUAAAUUGAAAUCUAUCAGGUCAAUUAUGUAACGAUUCUUGUUUUUUGUAACACUAUAUUAAAUCCAUCAAAUUACUAAUUUAUUUAUCAGAUAAAAUAAGAGUAAAAUUUUUAAUGAAUAAGUGGGUUACCAUCUCUCUAUGGCUUUGUUCCAUAAAGUACUCCAGAGAUUCUUUGACCAAAGUAAUUGUGAUUACUUUAGAGUGGGUUGAAUGGGUAAUACCAAUUAUGGGUUGAAUGGGUAAUGCCAUAAAUUACUAUCUAUUUAUGGUUUUCCUCCAUAAAGUACCCAUUUUCUCAUAAACUAAUUUAUUAAUUGGAUAAAAUCAAAAUAACAUUAUUACUAGUGUACAAGCAUGCUUUGACACCCUCUUUAAAGAAUCGUAAACUAGAAGGUAAUCGCAAUUACUUUGCAGAAGCAUUCUUUUUGACAAACUACAAGUAAUCAAACCCAAGUGUUAUGAAGUUACCAAAGAUUGCUGAUAAAACAAAUUGAAAUUUACCGAAGAACAAAAACGAGGCCCUUUAGAGGACAGGGGAAGCUCGUCUAGAAAAAUUGGGAACUAUCAGAAAUUUUGUCGCCUGGGAGCUGCUUCCCAGUUGAUACGAAUUUUUGGGUGCAAACAAGUGCCCAUAAAUUGUUGAGGGGUUUGCAUUUUAUUUCUUCUAGAAAUAUAAUGGACCCAUAAACAACCGCUUCUACCCGAUAUCCAGUAGCUCAUUUAAUAGCUACAUCGUGCCCGGCCCCACAAUGAUGUCUUGGCCAAAUUUCUUUUUGCUCUUCCCACCAUGCACAGUUGAGUCAGCUUUCCACCGUAGAUGAAACCCUUAAAUAUGCCCUUGAAGUGCAAAACUUAAAAACUUACAAGAUUAGGACAGUUUCAUAAUUCAAUUCAUUAUUUAAAUUUAAAAGAAUCAGAUCUUAAUAUAUUUAAUUCAUUCGAUAACUAAAAAUUGAAUAUCUGAAAUAAUUAAAUGACACUAAAUUUUCUAGAUAAAAUUUACUUUCAAAAUUAAGUAAUAAACUAUUCAUUUAUAAUUGAAUGUGAUAUACACUCAAAUAUAUUAUAUAAUUUAUAAUAUACUCAAUUUUCAUACUUCAAUUUUAUCAAACACACCCUAGGUUUAUCUAAUUAUUCAAACUUCAAUUUUCAUACUUCAGUUUUAUCAUUUAAUAAAUUCAAACUUCAAUUUUCAUAUUUCAAUUUUAUCAAACACACCGUAGAUUUAUCUAAUUAUUCUUUUCUGGUCCAGUUCAUUCAUUUUUUCACUAGGGAGCGGGCAAAGAAGAGAAAGGGUAAAAAAAAAAUAAAAAAAAAAUUGUUGACCAGCUAAUUCGUUGAACCCACCCCAAUUAUUUUCGAAAAAUAAUAUAAUUCGCAUUUUUUGACCUUGGCAGAGGAGGGUCGACCAGUCACCACUACGGGACCGAGCUAAGGUUAGAGGUUUGAGAACUCGUGAAUACUCGAUCUGUCCUGCAUAUUCCUUAAUUUUAUACCUACACAUGACAAAAUAUAUAAUUAUCUAGAGACAACUAAUUGUGAAAGUCUUUAAUUAUUUUACAAGAUUUAUUUGUAGAAGUCAUGACUUUUUUUUUUCUUGGAUUAAGCUUAGUUGAUUUAAAAUUUGUUAAAAAGGGUAAUACACAUCACAUUUAGGUUUUGGUUGAAAUUCUUAUCUUAUUGAAUUCAUUACGCCUGAUGUUUAAACUUCAUAUUUGGCUCAUAAAUAUUUGACUAAGAAUAUUGAAAUUGAGGAACAAUUUUAACUCUUUAUCGAGUUGUAAUGGAGAUUGUAUAAUGAACUGUGAUUUAAUUUUAUUAGUUUUAGAUGCUUCUUGUUUUCUUAAAAAAAUUAGAUACUUGUUUGCAGGCACGAUUUUUAAAAAAAAAAACACUAAAAUCUGUGUUGAUUGUUAAAUGAAUAUAUGAAAUACAAGAUGAAAUUGAUAAUUAUGUUUUUUUUUUUAAAUUAAAUGAUGGCCCCGGCCACCUAUAAGAAGCCAACCUGCCUCCAGAUAUUGUUGGGAAAGCUAACUGGCAAUUCUUAGUACUUACCACAUCAGUGAAAAAAAUAAUACUAGUAAUAGUAGUAAAAAAGAAAUUUAGUGCAAAGAAAGAGAAGUCGGAAAUGGCGAUCGGAACCAAAGUGAGCGUGGGUGUCAUGGUCGCCGCCUCCUCCCUCGCCAAUUGCAGAACCACUUUAUCCUUGGUUCAGUUCCACCUUCCACUACUCCGACCCCGCCUGCCGUCGGCUGGGCCCUUACACAACCUCCCUCUAGCUCACGUUUCCAAUCUUAUCAAGUCUGGUUAUUGCAUUCAAACUUCUCAGGAGAAAAAUAACUAUACUCGUUCGUGUAAGCAACGCGCUUUUUUCGGAGACGGCGGCUUGGAGCUGCACGAUGCCGGAGCCACGGCUUUGGUUGUCGCCGGAGCUUACACUCUCGUCUCGACUUUUGAUAAACUCACCUCCGCAAAUCUCAUCCAACAGGUUUCUUUUCUUUUUUGUGGUCAAGGAAAAUAAUUGCCAGUAUAUAUAUAUAUAUAUAUAUAUUUUUUAUGUCUUCGUAGUUAUUCUGUACACAGUUUGUUUGUUGUUUGUACGCUGGAAAAAAAAAUCAAAUUUUGGAUAAUGACGAUAACAAACUUGUCAUUACAAAGUUUUAGUACGAGCAAAUUACCCGAAAAGCCAUUAAGCUUUUUAAAUAAUUGAGUUUUGAUCACCCAGUCUUUACGAAUAUGUAUUUAUCCAUUAACCUAUUAGAAGUGUGAAUAUUGAAUCACUCCGUAUAUUUAUAUAUUUUUACCGUUAAGUCUUAGAUCUGGUAGACGGUGAAUAUGUAAAAAGCCACGGAUUGGAAAGUGCUAGAUCUAAGACUUAACAGUGGUUUCCACCCCUUAUCAAAAAAAAAAAAAAAAACAGUGGUUUCCACAGACAAAAUGGCGAAAUUUUAUACUUUUAAUGGUUCAGUGAGUAAACACGAUCUCUGAAAAAUUGAGUGGUCAAAGCUCUAUUAUUGGAAAAGUUUAAUAACCGCCGGGAUAAUUUGCUCUUUUAGUAUUGAUAUCAUCGUAUCAGGCUGUGUGUCCCGUGAACCCAAAAAAGCGCGACAGGAAGUGCACUUGAGGCAGCGACUGGUUGACCCAGAAGAAUACAUAAAAAGCAGUGAAUGAUAUUUGGGUAAAGGUCACGAACGAUUGAAUGAGGAUGGCUCGAGGAGUCAUCCGAUGCACUUUAGUUUAGGAGGCUAAAAUGAGUGCUAGAUAGCUUUUGCAAUUUCACCUGGCUAAGAAAAUGGUGGAACCUACUCCUCCAAGUUUUGAAUAAUAAUAAGUAGACACUAUAGAUGAUGAUCACAGUUUUGUUUAUGUCUUUCAAACGUUGCCUAUUUUCAUCAGAAAUUAUGUAGACUAUUGUUGGUUUUAAUUGAAUUGCAGGAGUAUAGAAGUUGACUGCUCAGAGGUCGACUACCAUUGAUGACAGAUUUUCUUCUUCCUGUAAUUUCUUCUUAUUCCCGUGAGAAAACACGUGAAAGAAACAAUUUAGAUCCGAGAUAACCACAACGAGGGCCAUAAUUAUCGCUCUAUUCAGAAAUUAAAGACAAAAAAUUACAAGGAAACAACGGUUCACGAACUCAAAAUCUUCGGGAACAUAAUGCUGUGUCAGAGUCACAAACUCAAAACACAUUGCUCAUUGUAUAUCUACAAGGACAAAUCAGUUUACAAAUGUGAGGCAAAAACCAUCUUAUGAGGCCUCGUCUUCAAAAUUUUCCCCUGAAGGCUAGUAGAGCAGCAAAUGUAGAACUGAAAUUGAUUAGAAACGGGCACAUAGGGAAAACUGAAAGAACAGGGAGAAGAUCGUGGUUUCUUGAAGAAGGAAGGGAAAGAGAGAUGGUUUGAGGUUUGUUGAAGGAAGAGGUGUGGGGAUGACUUUUGUGGUGAAGGGAAAUUUCAUGUUUUAGGAAACUCAAUAGCUACUGAGGGAGUGUAUAUGAGCAUUAGUUUAUUUGAAUAAAAGGCAUUCCUGCAUUAUUGGCCACAAUCAUCGGAGUCAAGAACGUGUCUUAUUUCUUCCAUUAGACAUGGGGCAGUUUGGAUAAUGGUUUAUUUAAUUUCCAACUGUUUAUUGUAAUACUCGAAAUUACUUGCAGACUUCAUAUAAUGAAAUGAAAGAAUAUGAACUGCAAUUGGCUGCAUUUGUUUGCCGGUUUUAUAUCGUUUCCAUCUUUCUGACAGAAUUUGAGCCGAAAACUGGUCCACAUACUGUCUGGAUUGCUCUUCAUGGCUUCCUGGCCAAUGUUCAGGUUCUGACAUUCCUCACAAUACUAAUUACAUUAUAUAAUGUUCUCCACAGUCAACUCCUGUUAUUGUUGAAUACUUCUGCUGAUUAUUUACAUCUUAGAUUAGCACAUCCACAGGAGCUCGUUACUUUGCUUCGCUGGUGCCCCUCAUAAACUGCUUAAGGCUUAUUGUCUAUGGCCUUUCAUUGGCUAAAGAUGAGGGACUCGUAAACUCUGUCACUCGAGAGGGGAAGCCUGAGUAAUUUUGCAGCCUUGUUUCUGUAUUCCUUCUGAGACACAUUACGAGUAAAUAAUCAGACCUUAUUUACAUAUUUCUAGUUUCCAUGCAGGGAAUUGCUUCGAGGUCCCCUUUAUUAUGUUAUGAUACUAAUUUUAAGUGCAAUAUUUUUCUGGCGUGACUCUCCCGUUGGAGUGGUUUCAGUGUCAAUGAUGUGUGGUGGGGAUGGUAUGAGCCAAACCUAUAUCUAAUCUAGAUCCUCAGUACUUCUGGUGUCUUCCAUCUGACAAUGUGAUUUGUAGGCAUUGCCGAUAUCAUGGGAAGGAGAUUUGGAUCCUUAAAACUACCUUACAAUCAACAGAAGAGUUGGGCUGGUAGCCUCUCCAUGUUUGUAUUUGGUUUCUUGAUUUCUAUUGGGUGAGUUGCAGCAUAUCUUUUGGUAAUGUGGAUUUGCAUUGCAAGCUAUCUUGCAUUUAUGGUUUUGACUGAUGACUUUCUAUUCCCUUGUCUUUGUAGGAUGCUGUACUACUUUUCAGCCCUUGGAUGCUUUCAGUUGGAUUGGAGCUGCACGGUACAAAGAGUUGCCUUGGUAUCCUUGGUAGCAACACUGGUGGAGUCCCUCCCAACUACAGGAAUAGUAGAUGAUAAUAUCUCUGUUCCUAUAGCAAGCAUGGUAACUGCGUUUUUGAGUUUUGGUUACUAGCUGGUCAGAGAGAAUACUGUGUUACAUGCGUGUCAUAAUUUUUCUGUUGGCACUUCAAAUACUUCCCUUUUCAAUAUUUCCUGUUUCGUUUUUUUACUUUCUGGUGCAUAUUUUUCUUAUGUUUUAACCUCGAAAUUUCCUUAGCUCAUUGUAUUUGGGAACAAUAAAGAAGAAAAGGAGUAAUGGUUGGUACCUCCUUAUUUGAAGAUUGCUAUGCUGAAAGCUAAGCAAGGUGCAUCUAAUAUAGCAACAAUCAUAACAUUGGAUUAACCGAAUCAAACAAAGCACUUGCUUCACUCUUCUAUUUGAUACUGGAUGCUAAGAUAGUAUCGCAGUAUGCACAAACUAGUAAGCCGUUUGGAUUGCAAGUUUAUGGGGGGUUUUUGUUAAAAAAAAAAUACUGUAAUAAUGUGAUGUAAGUGAGGCAAAAAGGCGAUUGAAAGUUUUUCGCAAUCCAAACGAGGCAUUAUAUGAGGAUCUUGAGGGUACAUUGCGCCUAGGGUAAUUACGUGCUUCUAGCGUUCUUGCCAAGAAAAACUCUCGACUCCAGAUUUGUGCCUACUGGUAGGACUGGAGGCCAAAAACACGAAGAAAACAACAAAUGGAUGAAACAAGUUUAGACCGAUCAAAUUUCAUUGAGUAACUGGUCACCUGGGCAAGAAAUAAAACCAAUUGGAGUCUUUUAAAAAUCUGAUGGAUGGACUCCAAGCACACCUAUUUCAAUUUUGUUCAUGUGUUUUCAUGUAUGGAUGGACUCCAAUUAUCGUUCAUCUGUUUUCAUGCAAUAAAAUUGGCAAUUUAAUUGCAAACUUGUGACUUUUUUAGAAAUUUUUUUUUUCGCUAACAUUAAUACUACAAGUAGCCCUUUAUUUUUUGGAGAACAAAUCCUUGAGUCAAGACUUAAGAGGACUGGUAGAAAUGAGAAGGCAGGCGGGGCCUAGCAAUCGCCACCAGGGGAAUGGCCUUGGGCAUGGUCAUGCCAUAAACCUCACUGGUAUCAAUGUCUUGAGGUCUCAAUCCAUCAGCUGGCCUCCAAUCGAAGCAAUGAAACAGCCGAGCCAAUGCCAUUAGCACCAGCGUCACCCCCAGCGGCGCCCCGGGGCACUUCCUUUUCCCAGCACUAAAAGGCAAUAUCUUGAAGUCGGAUCCGUGGCUUAUUUCCACUCGGCUCCCAUCUCCUGUUAAAUGCCUCUCCGGCCUGAAUUCUUCCACAUCGUCCCAUAUCUUGGUGUUCCGUCCUAGGCCGUGCGUGUUGAUGAAAACCCGUGUCUUGGCAGGGAUGUGGUAUCCGUUGAUCGUGGUGGCUCGAACUGACUCAUGCGGAAUGAGAAAUGGACCGGCCGGGUGCAUUCGAAAAGUUUCACGUACAACGCAUCGUAGGUAAUUUAGGUGGGCUAAAUCAGAUUCUGUGACCAUCCGAUCACGUCCGACUACGGUAUCAAGCUCUUCUUGGAUCUUCUCGAGGACGGUUGGAUGUUUGAUGACUUCUGCCAUUGCCCAUUCAUUGGUGACAGCAGAAGUAUCGGUAGCAGCAGCUAUCAUAUCCUAAGCAUUCAAAACCGUUUUGACUUAGAAAUCAUGUAUAUAUAUAUAUAUAUAAAGAUUGUCAUGGCGGUCAUAUAACUUGGAAUGGAAAGAAUUUGUAGCAGGGAAACAUUUGAUUAAUUUUCAGUGGAUUGCUGAUAAUAUUCAAUUACCAAACAAGAUUUGUAGAAAGAAUGCCUUUACUAUUUGUGCAACGUAAAAAGAGGGUGGCGAUAGUAGAUUUCUAUACGAUCAUGAAGUAUUUGUGAUGGAUGAUCAAAGGAUAUUAGUACUCAACCUGAAUCAGUGCUUUGAUGUCCUUAUCAUCUAGGUGUGCUUCUCCAUCUUCACCUGCCAAAGACAAUAGCACGUCAACAAAGUCAAUCUCUGCCUCAUCUUUUACUCCUUCAGUUUGCAAUUUCUUUCUAUGUUCUUGAAUGAUCUUUGAGUGAAAAUCAUCCACCCUCUUUUCUACUUCCCUCAUUUUCCUCUCACAACCAUAAGGGUCUAUCCACCUCCAAAACGGCAGAUAAUCUCCCAAAUAAAUCAAGCCCAAGAGCCAAAACAAUUCGUGCGUUAUGUGCAUGAACUCCAUUGCCUCUUGUGGUCCAGCUGAUUCUUCCCCAAAAUAUUGCUUUCCGAGCAGCAUUCUAGUCACGUUAUUCAUGGAAAAAGCACCCAGAACUUCCCUCAGAUUUAUUGGUUCUUCCUUGCGGGCCUUGCUCCAAACAUCUUCAACUAGAUGCUGAGCUUCAUCGGCCCGAUGCCUUGAAAAUGACUCGAGUCUUUUUGUUGUCAGUAGAUGUUCCAUGCAAAUCCUCCUCAUUCUCUUCCAUUUCGGGCCUAGCGGAGCCAAUGCCACGUCUCCACAGCCAUAGGCCAGGUGAACAGCUGCAAGAGUCCUCGGCCGAGAGGCGAAUACAUCGUCCUGAUGGACAAGGAUUUCGCGUAUAAUAUCGGGAUCGUUGGUGGUGAUGGCAUCAAUGCUCCCUAGUCGAAGGUACACUAGAGGUCCGUAUUUCUGACACAAAGAAGCCAAGUCCCUAUGUGGUAAUUGACUCAACUGAAGAAGGUUGCCGAUAAUCGGCCAACCGGGAGGGCCUGGUGGAAGCCUUCUAGAAUUGUUUGAUAUUCUGAACCAAGACUGAAAUACAUAUGCAAGAAAAUGUAGGCACAGAAUAAUGUAAAUUAAGGUGAUUAGAUCCAUCGGUGUUCUCAGGGAAGGUACCUCAAGGGGCAAUUUCCCAGAAGUUGAAUAAGUACGAGUGGUACAUGAUGUAAGGUUUAAUGAGACAAAAUGAAGUUAAAAGCGUUGUUGGUUUCUACAUGUUCUUUCUGCCUGAUGAGGCAUGUUGAUAUUAGGAAGAUGACACAGGCGGAUUAGUUAGACCAUCACAUUGGCAUGGCCUGAUCAUUUCUUGGUAUUUAAUUGAAUGACGAGGCAAAUUAACGAGUUAAAAAUCAAGUUUUCGUAAUGUUUACUCCUAAUUCGGAAGCAAUAACAUUUGCAUGGUUCCUUAACCGCUUAGAUAUAGGUAGUUUUCUUGCAGGAAUAAGAAGUUUGGACUGUCAUACAAGUUUCUUUUCCCACGUUCACAGCGUAUAGAUUAUAGACAUGAACUCUUCUGACAGAAUUACAUAUAGCGCACAUUUUGCUUAAAAGCAGCUGGGCUUUCGCUUCCUCUUCUAUCUCUGCUCACCUAAGUCGAUCAACUUUUGAGGGUUCCUCAGCCAGAUGCUGGGAAGAGAAGAAAUCCUAAAGGGCAGCAACUGGAUGGGACAGGCCAAAAAAGGAAGAAAAAACAUUUCAAAGAACGAUAUGUAAAGUUGGGCCGAUGGGAUGGGAGGUCAAGAAUUCAAGCACAAUCUCUUUGAUCAUGAUAAAUGGACCAUCUACAUGUUCUAUUUCGCCAGUCCAACUUAAGUAAUUUUCUUUGUUACUUUGAAGCCUUUUCCAAGCAUUGAAAAGUUUUGUGCUUAGUGAAAAUUUAAUUAAACAUUUGUAAAUCCAAAAAUAAAAUGGACAUUUUGGAUUUUGGACUAAUCCUUGUAACAUUUAGCCUGUUAACUGGUUAAGACCUCGUUUGAAAUUGCGGUGAUUUAUAAAGAAACACUUCUGACACAAGUAUUUUUAACAAAAGUACUUUUAAAUUACUAAACACUGAACAAUUGAAGUUACAAAAAAUUAGUUAUGAAACACUUUAAAAAUACUUUUAAUACUUAAAAGUGCUUUUUUUUUUCUUUUUUCUUUUUUAAAUGCACCGCAAACUCAAACAACAUGGCCUAAGACUUAAGACACCCAAGACCGACCAAGCCAAAAUUCAAUUAAUUACUACUAGAGAGUUACACAGUUCUGAAACUUUGUUGGAUCCCAAAGCAAUAAGAUGAAAAAAGUGGGGCCGUAAACGAAUGUUGACGAUCGUGUCUCCUGAUCAGCACGUGCGAUUGGCAUUUUCGAGAAUCUCAGAAAAGGGGUGACCCCUUUUUGGCCUUUUCUCCGCCACGUAUAAAAACCCCAAAAUAUCACUUACUUUGUCAAAAAAAAAAAAAAACCAUUACUGGUUGCUCAUCAAAACUAGCUCUCCUUCAUCAGAAACUAGAAUCUCCAUCUCACUUCACUGUACUGGAAUUCUGGAAAGUGAACUCUACUAGACAUGAACUGUCUCCAGAAUCUUCUAAGGUUCCACUUCAUUUCCACGCUUUCUUUCAGUUCAUAAUUAUUUCGUAAUUCCGGUCUGAUCAAUUCUCACUCGUUUGAGAUUUUUUUUUAUUUCGUUAAUUUUUGGGCAGAUUUUCUGCUUUGCCUUUGCAAAGCUUUAAUAGAGGUCAUACCGGAAAAUCUUCGUGCUCAGUUAGCAUCACUGUAAGAUUAGUCUGCCACUAACGAAGCAAGUAGGAAUAUAUAGAAAUUUAGAUUGAUAUAUGUACAGUUGCAUUCUCAGUUUGAAUUUAUUGCUUUCUUGUGUGCAGAUGGUGCCGACAGCUCCGCAGUUUCGGCAUAAUAUUGUGGGAAAGGUAAUUUUUGAAUGAGCAGAUUAAAGAAUUGUGCGGUUUGUUUGUUGGUGAUUAAGCUCAAGUAAUUGUAAACUUUUAAAUGUAGAUCAUGUAAUUUAGAUUCAUUGGUGUAUAAAUUAGAGUAUGGAUUUCGACGUGUAUUAUUGUAUCCUCUUCAGUCAUAGGAAGGACUGUAUGUUAAAUUGUAGAUUCUUCUUUGCAAACGUAAAAGAAACUUUUCUUGAGCUGAAAAUGUUCCUAUGAAUCUUGCCUUUAUAGUUAACAUCUGGUUUUUCACUUCUUUUUUCUGCAACUUGUGUGGAUGAACGGAAGUGGCACUGGGUAUUUGUUGUUUCAGCUAUUACAUCUAAGUUGUGUUCAGCGUACUUUUGCACCUUUUUUAGGUUCGUGAAAUUUGACAUGUUCAUCUGCUACUUAUAAUUCUUAGUUGUGGUUUCAGUUUUAAGUUUUCUUUGGUGCCUCUCCAUUCUAUUAUGUGACCUACCUUGAAUUUUUAUUUUUCUUAAUCUUUCAGGUAAAAAAAAAAAAAAGAAAUUUUUUGUGUCAUAUACUCAUUACUUGGAGUAACUUUGACACGGUUUUGUGGCCUCAUCAAAUACUGUGCUUGAUAAGCUCUAUACCCUGCCCUUAUUGUACUGAAAUUGGGGAUAAUGUGCUUUAAGUUUCAUUAUGUACCAAGUUAAACUACCAGAAGAUUGUCCCCUCUCAAUGAGAUUUCAUUUAAAGGAUAUGUACUAAUUGAGCAAAAUACCACCUUCCAUGUUAAGUCCUACUAGGUGGUCAAUAAUGAAGAAUACCUUAAUGAGCAAUUUAUUAGCUGUGCAUGUGUGAAAUUACAGCUUCCUGGAUACUUUAAUAAACUACUUUUCUUCUUUUCACUAUUUCUUGGCAUUAUGAUGGGUACUUUAAUGACAAUAGUCUGUUACUUAUUUUAAGGCUAUAUCUGGUUCUACAUCUAGUGCUGAGAUGGAUGGUGCUAAAGUGGACGAGGAAAAAUCUGAUGUAUAUACCCACAACAUGACCAAGGCCAUGGGCGCCGGUAAUCUCAGUUUUCAUGUGAUUUAUGUGAUCUGACUUUAGUAAACUGAAUGGAAAACAUUAUAUGGGAGGGUGCUUUGGAGGUGAUCUGUGUUUAAAGAUGAUAAUAGAAAAGAUUUAUUUGCAAUUUCCUUCUUACUGUGAGAAUUGUCUAAGGUUUACUGAAACUACACAAACUGGCACUUCAUUGUUGUUCUGUUAGCAGUUGCAUUCUUUAACAAUGAAAAGACAACUAUACUUUCUUUCCCAGUCUAUCUGUUGUAAACUUAAGCAAUGUGAGUGGCCACAGAUUUUGAUCUUUCCGAUUCACUUUGUCAGGCUUAUUUUGCCUUUCUUCCAUAUUAUUGUUUUCUCUGGGAUCAACAGUUUUGUCUUACUUUGUUAAAAUGUUUAUGUCAAUACAGUCUUGACUUACAGACAUGAACUAGGAAUGAACUACAAUUUCAUUUGUCCAGAUUUGAUUGUGGGGUCAUGCCUGCAGGUGAUAAGGACUUCUUUGCAGCUUUUAGUUAUCUCCUGUAUUAUUGUUUAACUCUUGUUUCUGCUCAAUAAAAUUCAGUCUCCUGAAGAUGUUGACAAGCUUCGCAGCAUAGGGGUCAAAACGAUUUUUUGUUUGCAACAAGACCCUGAUCUUGAGUAUCCUCAAAAGUGGUUCAUAUAUCUAAUUUGUCCUGUAUCAAUGAAGAGCUUAGUUAUUUUCAUAACACAUGGGUUUAUAUGCUACAUAAAAUGUUAAAUCAAAUUCCAAACAUCUUCUCAGUGAGAUGUUCUGUUUGACGCCUUAAUCAGUACACUUAAGAUAUUUUGGGGUCGAUAUUAAAGCCAUUCGCGAGUAUGCUAGCUCAUGUGUUGACAUUGAACACUUGCGAGCUCAAAUAAGGUUGGUAAAGAAAAAAGGUUACAGAUUGUUCUGAAAAUGGUACUUUCUUGCUUGGAGGUUAUUCACUUUUCUCUAGGACUUUCUAAAUACUUGUUCUAGAAUUUUUUUUGCUCCAUGAUAAGGAACUUUCAGAUAUUUGUUGCAUUAUUUUCUUAGCAAGUAAAAGAAAGAUAUUGUUUAAUAUGCAAGCAAAGUAGCUUACUAAAGCUUAGGAAGCUCACGGUAUUAUUUCGCCCUUCUCUGGCUGGUUAUAAGAAAUCUUUCAUAAGGAAAAACUUGCUUUUUUGCAUUUUGGUGAACUGGCUUACUUCUAUCAAUUAUAUCUAUCUAUCAUGUUCCAUUUUCUGUCAUAUCAAAUAGCAACUUAUUGGCCAGUAUGGAGAGUAUAUAUGUGUAGAGCAGAGAGAGUCUGGCCACACAUAAAAGUUUCUCUGGAGUGUGGUCUUCUGAUACACUCUUUUACUCUGUCAAGUAGAAGCAACAAAAGAAAAACCAUUUCCAUCCUGUAAAUAUGUUCAGGAGUUUUCACUAUGUGUGGUCUAGGUUCAUGGGAGGUUUUGCAAGGCUGGGCUGGGAAAUUUGUCAAGUUCCUUUAAGAAUUUGAACAAAACUAGAUAAAGGGUGUGAAGUAUAUAGAAAGCACUAUCUCAUCCAAGAUGUCUCAAAGUGAGGAGUAGUGUUAGAAGUGUAUUCUAGGUAUCUAGGUGUUCAUACAUCUUAAGAGAAUAUAUAGUGUAUAAUAUGCCACUUUCAUGGUUUGUUACUGCAAAUAGAACAUUCCUACACUAGAUAUCAUGAUAUAAUGAAUAGCAGGGAUUUUGAUGGGUUUGAUUUACGGAUGCGGCUUCCAGCAGUGGUGAGCAAAUUACACAAGGCCAUUAAUUCUAAUGGCGGUGUAACUUAUAUACAUUGCACAGCUGGGAUGGGAAGAGCUCCUGCAGUCGCUGUAAGUCUGCUUAUUUAGAAAAUUACGCUAGUUUGUUGUGUCAAAAUGGUGUAAAAUUUUGGGUGCUAAAAUCCAUGUUUUUGUGUCUAAAUUUCAUAGUGACUUUUUCAGCCUGUCAUUUCUACCAUAUGCUAGAUGAUAGCGUCGAAGACUACAGCUAUAGAAAAUAUUGCAUAUAGUUCUAGCUUCAGGUAAGAAGUUAUUUGUCACAGGCUGGGUGGCUGCUGGCAUUGUUCUAACAAAUAUUUUUGCUCAUAUUUUGAACUUUUUGGUGUUAUUAUCAAUAUCAAACUAGUUAGAUAGCCUGUAAUGUUUAUUGUUUCUCUUCCCUAACUCUAUAUACAUGCUUGUAAAUAUGUAUGUAUGUAUGUAUGUGAUGUGAUCUGGAAUUAACUACCCAAUUCCAUAUGCGUUUCUCUUGACAAUAUACAUUAACUAUUUGUGGCCUUGUUUUCCUGUUACCCAGUGUUUCUAUACAAAGUGAAUGAUUUGGAUGUUUUGUUUUAUACUCACAAAAUCACCCAUAUAAAUUGCCCCACUUUGUUGAUGUGGAGUGAAAAGAAGAAGGAAAGACAAAUCCAAAACAAGCACUUGAAUCAAAACCCCAUACAGAAAAUUAAAAUGUUUAAGCCCUUGUUAUUGGUGACACAAAACAACAAAUCUUAUUAGUCCUCUAAACUUUACCCACAUAUCUGGUAACAAACUUUAGGUCUUCCAAAUUCUGAGAAUGAAGCAUGGCUGCAAUUUCCUUGGUUUGGAAGCAACUUUUAGAUGGUUUUGUAAUCUUCUUUUCUAUGUGUUGAUUUCCAGAGUCUAGGCUGUGCCUUCACUUGCAUUAUAUUGAGUUCAUUUUUCUGGGGAUGCAAUACUAGGUUGCUAUCUCACACUAUUCUUUUGUUUCCACCUUAAUUCUGUGGAUCCGGCUGAACUUCCAUUGUAAGUGUUGCGUUUUCUGAUGACAUGACCACUGUUUUUCCUUUGGAUGGCAGCUAGCUUACAUGUUCUGGGUUCAAGGCUAUAAACUUGGCGAAGCCUAUCAAUUGCUCAUGGUAUAUCUUAUUGUUCUAUGAUUAAGGAAAUUCUAAUGAAUAAUGGACCAAUUCUUGUAUGAUAUCAUGAUGACUUCAAAAUAUGGUGAUAUCUUGCAACAGAUUUGUCCAAAUGUUCAUGCCAUGAUGGUAUUUGAACUUCCUAAUGGAUAGGAUAAUUGUGCUAAUUAAGAAUCAUUUCUCAUGUAUAAUGUUGAAUAAUUUGACUUGUAUUUGUGAUUAUGAAAUAGGGUAAUUGGGAUGUAAAAUGGACUAUAGUUUGGGCUCAUCUUAGUGCUGAAAUAGCCCUGUUUCUCUGUAUUGGCAGAAUAAACGCUCUUGCUUCCCAAAGUUGGAUGCUAUCAAAAGUGCAACUGCUGACCUUGUGAGUUGGAUUUUUCCUUCUACACUUGUCAUUCCCAUGUAUGGGUGCAAUGUGGAAUGAUCAUUUCUACAGUUCUAUAAUUUGUCACAAAAUGGUUAUCACAUUUGUCCAUUUUUUGAAAACUUCAAUUUGCCAGAGUAAUAGCAAUGCUAGUGUUCUUCCAUCUUUAGAAAGGACUGAGUGUCUAGUUAAAACAUCCUGGAAGAAAGAAUAAGUCUAGCAGCUAACCAAUGUCCAUUGAGGAGGUUUACUACUUUAAUUAGUCACUUCAGUAUGCCAUAUAUUAUUGGAGUUCAUUGAAUAUCAUGUCUUUUCACAACAAGAAAAGCAUUAGGCAAGUUGCUGUAACAUGUUGGUGUUCUAACUUCGUGAUAUACUGCUGCUUAUUGGGAGAAAUCGGGGCAAGUCAGGAGUUGUGACAGAAGACUGUUGAAGUCAAAACAGAGAAAUUUUAUCACUUUGCCAGAACAAUAUCUGAAACAUGGGAUGAAUAUACUUUUAAGAGUUGCUUAUUGAAUCUUACAUCUAUCCUAGUAGAUAGAUCGCAAAAUUUCUAGUCACUUCUUAUUUUCUUGACGCAUUAUAUUCCUGUUUAAAGCUUACAGGCUUCAAAAAGAAGCUUGUCACGCUGAGGUGGUAUAGUAGCAAUUGUUCCACAGUGGAAAUCUCUGGACUUGAUAUUGGAUGGGGUCAGGUAAUGAUUAAAUCUUCAUAUUGUUAUCAUUGUCUCCUGGAAAUGUUGUUGCACCAGAAGUCUCUCCUUUUACAUGGACUUAAGUGAAGGAUGUUUAAGAUGAAUAUACGUCUAGACUUGGAUUCUGAGCAUUGUCAGACUUCUGAAAUACAAGAUAUUGAAUUUUUGUUUUGCCUGAAACUUGUGGUAACUGUGCUGUUUCAGUAUUAAUAUUUUGUGAAUAUCUCUCUCUCUCAAAAAAGGCAAAAAAAGAAAAAAAAAAACUUUUUAGCUAGUUAUAUCAUGUUGCAAGCUGUUCCAUUUCUUUGUAUUGAUCUUUUAACCGGAAAUGCAACUUUGAGCUUGGAUGAUCUUGUCCCUUGACCUGAACCAGAGACUCAGAGUGCUAAAAUCCUGAGUACUUAGAACUUUUAUCAUGUGCUUCUUGGCAUUCGGGAAUCCUAGUUCACAUACACAACUUAAUGUAUGAAGCUUCAAUUCACUGCAGAGAAUGCCAUUGAAUUUUGACGAGGAACAAGGUUCAUGGAUACUGCAGAGGGAAUUACCAGUAAGUGGAUAGUAUUUAUCUAUCUCGAGUUCUAUAUUGAUUUGCCAUACUUGGGAAUGUGAUUUUUAGCUGUGAAAGGAAUGUAAAAGCACAUCUAAACUGUAAAGGGAUCAAGUCUCUGAUUCUGUCCUCUUGCAGGAAGGACAUUAUGAGUACAAAUACAUUGUUGAUGGUGAAUGGAUGUGCAAUAAGUACGAACUUGUUACUUCUCCCAACAAAGAUGGCCACGUGAACAAUUAUAUCAGAGUAUGGCCUACAACUAUUUCUGAACAAUUUGUUCAUAAAUAGGCACGCAUUGAGUAUUUGUGAUUUUAUGCACUCAACAGUCAGCAAUCGGCAUAGACAAUAAAGAUUUUGUAACGAUUUGACUUGUGUGGGGAGUCCAGAUUCUUUGAGUAAUCGUAGUAUAAAUGUUAUGAGAACUUAGUUGGGGCUUCCUGCGCUCCCUAUGCCAUUGGAAGAAAUGGAGUUUGUGACCUCAUAAAGGUAGAUAGGAAAGUAAUUGAGAACCUUAAGAAUUGAAUAGAGUUUGAUAUAAGCAUUAAGAAUCAGAUCAAACUCAUAAUUUACCGACUCACUCUGAGCCUCGGCGGAGAUUCACUGAAGGUGCUCUCUCCCUUUUUAUCCAACAGGCUCGUUUCAACGUGAAUAUUAGGGGUACUGACCGCAUUUUGACUGCCCAGCUUUUGUGCAAUGAUUAUUUUUGUAACUUUUUUAGUGCUUAGUGGAUGAUGAUAUGCUUAUGAUGAAGACUCCAGCAGAAUGAGUGUUUCAAUUUUUGAAGGGACUGAAAAUUCUUCGAUCCUGGAAUUCUUUCAUGGUCUAGUUAAUCUUCUGUAGCCUCUCAUUUACGACUCUUCUUCUGCUCUUCAUUUGUGCAGGUUGCAGACAGUAACCCCAAUGGCAUUAGUUCGAGGAUAAGAAAAAGGCUAAGCGGUGAAGACCCCAACCUCACGAAGAACGAAAGAACCAUAAUUAGACAAUUUCUUGAGGCCUGCCCUGAUGAGGAGUGACUUGUACCUGCCAACACAGUUCCUACUUAUGUAAGUGUACCAUAUUCAUUAUUGCAUAAAACAUGGCAAUUAUGUAACGAGCCUCAGUCUUCUUUAGGGACAAAUAGGGGGUCGAGUGGGGGAUAGGAUGUCGGUGAAGAAGGGUAGGGGAAUUUACUUAAACAGGCACUUUGCUUUGUUGUCAGUGACGUUGAUGGAGCUGAAAGUGGAAAUAUCCACUCACCGACAAGACUGGGCCAAUCGAAUGUAAUCCAUUUCUUAAAGUUCCUUGGUCUUUGUGCCAAUCGAAUGUAAUCUAUGUCCUAAAGCUCCACCGUCUCCGCGUAGUUUCAAGUUCCAACUUCCACUCAGCUUCCCAUUUUGCUCCUAAAGUCAAACGGAUUAGAGGAUUGACUACUCUGUAUUUUCACAAUGAAUUGUAUCGUAAUCGUAACGGUCAGAUAUCUUCCUAGUACAUAUCUUGGCUAAAGGUCCUGGUUAUGGAACUGUUCUCGAGUCUUGUAUUUGUUGCUUUAGCUGUUUUAUAGCUUGUCCACAAUAGCAAAAGGGUGAUUCAUGAAAUGCUCUUCGGAAUAAUAGAAUGGUGAUUUUUAAGAUUUUCAAACGCAAUGUAAAUACGUGUUUCUUGAAAUAAUUGCUGUUGAAAUAUGCAAAGUUCUAUAGAAUGAUGAAAGAAUAAUUUGCUUUUGCUCAUCUCAAUAAUGUUGUUGUCAUCAGCUUAUUCACCAAAAGGGAAUCCAUGUAUACUGCUGUCUGCUGUCACCAGUUCUGGACAGGCUAGGCAAUUUUUGGAGUUUUAUCAUUCAUAUUAUGACCAAAUUAGCUGUUGGAUUUCUAUAUGGGACUUUGUGAGAAGUAUUGUUCAAUUUUUUAAGAAACCAAAUCAAUAUGAAUUAUUGACAAGAAAUGAAGUUUUUGUUUCAUCGCAACCUACAUGGUGAUCAUUAUUAUAAUGGCGAUUCCAUUAAUAGAACAUUAUUAUUAGUGCUUCUUUAAAAUCUAUAAUAAUUUCUUGUUCUUUUGUAUGAAGUACUGAAUAUUGAAGAAGAUAACUUAAUGAUUUUGCAUGGUCGAUAACAUGUAAAACACUUGGCUGUACCUAUACAGGUAGAUUAAGGGAAGGAAAUCGACAAUUACUUCCUAGUAAUUGCAGGUUGAAGCAUUGUAUUAAGAGGAUGGAGUUUUGGAUAUCAUACGUGCACAUGUAGAAUCAAUAGCGUUUUAAUUCUUCAUCACCAUUAAUAUCCACAGUAUGUGAGCCCCAUGCGUCUUGGUUUCUUUUCCUUGCAGCAUAAAUUGUCAUGUCUUUUUUUUGUUUUUUUUGGUGUGUCAAUAAUUUCAUAUGCAUUUAUGGCACAAUUAUUAUGCUGAGGGGAAUAAAAGGAUCGUUUGCAUUUAAUUUGAUGUUGAGGGAUUGUUAUCCACUGUACUGUCUUCAUAAUUUUGCAAACAAAAGGAGUAAUGAUCAUAGUUUUAAGCUAUUUUGCUACCAGGUUGUUGCCGGUCACUCUCCAUACCUUAAGAAAUGUAAUUGAUUUUUCAUUUUUUUGACCAAAUAUAGCCUGACCGGCCCUCGUGUUCCUUCGAUGGGACAGACAUCCCUUUCCUAUUUUUAUCAAUUUGACAAAAGAAAUAGUACCAAAACGCAAUUUGUAGCUUGAAUAAUUUCAAUGACUCAAAUGGCCCCCUACGCUGAAAGAAACAAGGCCAACGAGCACUCCUAUUCUUUUAUGCUAAUCAAAUCAACUGAUUAAGCGCACUCAUUCAAUCACGAUUAAGGCGAUUUUGCCCUUAAAAAACUAAAAUUACGUGAAUCCAAGAAAAGAAAAUAUCAUUUUGUUAUAUUGUUUACGAGAAUUAUACGAUUUAGAGUUUGAAAAUAUCAUGGAAUUGAUCAUUGGAAACAAAAAAUUAAGCUAAGUUAAUCUGAAAAAUUGAUCAUUGGUGGACAUAGCUAGACAUGAAAAGAAAACCCCGAACCAAAAGAAAAAAAAAAGGAAGGAAAACUACUAGUUAUAUUGUAGGGAUAAUUUUAGAAACGUUCGCUAAGAUUUUUGACGGUUUCACUGAUAUUCUCUAAGGUUUUAAAAAUACCAUUAACCUCCUUUAAACUAAUUAUCUUAUAUCAAAUUAGCCCAAUUAAAAAAAAAAAAAACAACAACAAUAAAAAAAUAUUUUCAAGAGUAAGAAGAAUAUUGCAUAUCAAAAAUACCUCAAGGGUAAUAAUGUCUAACUAUCAAUGAGGUAAGUGUUGAGUCUCAAAUAAUUGAUAGGGAAGGCAAGUGAUAUUUCUAAAAUCUUGAGAGAGGACAAUGAAAUUGUAAAAAAACCUCAGGGGAAGUUUCUGAAAUUAUCUAUAUCCUACAAGUCAUUUUUCUUAUUUUUUUUCUUUCUUGCUAGUUGCUGCAUAGCUUUAAAUAGUCAUUUCUUCUCGACGUUGACGUAUAUUGCGUUUACAACUGGAAUUAAUUUGGGCCCAAAAAAUGUAGCAGAAAAUGUAUUUUAUCCGCUUCCCUUUCCAUUCCGUCGACUUCAUUGAAUUUUCUCACCAAAUUAAAUAAACAAAAACCAGAAUCUAAAUGCCAAAAAAAAAAAAAAAAAUCAGAAACAGACUUCCAAACUGGUUCUACUCUGUCUAAAUCGCAACAGAAGAAAGAACGCGCAGUCACACACCACCCCGCAGCAACACGCAAUACAAAUUGAAUUCGACUGACAAAUGCAGUGUGAGUAACCAGACAAACAUAAAGGAAGCUCCGAAUUUCUCCUUCCUUAAUCGCACUGAGUCAACUCGAAUAGCUUCACUCGACUCACCACCCAACAUAUGGAACACCUCUCCGAAGACGACAAUGCCGUCACCGGCGUGGGAAAUGGAAGCGGCGGCUUCCGUUCGAUCCGAGACCGUUUCCGCUUCAAACGAAACCCUAACUCUGCUGCCUCUUACCUUCCGUCCACGUCAACAGCGACGACUUCGCCUCUGGAUCGGCAAUACAAGCAAGGCCGAUCUCAUUCUCACCAUCACCACCACCACCACCACCAUUACAAUAGAUCAGCGGCUAAAAAGAUGUUAUUGUUUCCGUUUAGGGAGAGAUCGUGGUUUUAUUUGUGCAUUUUUUUAGUGAUAUUUGUGUUUGCUUUGGCGUCGAUGGUGCUUCAGAGCUCAAUCAUGCCCGUGUUUAGGCAAGGUGGAGGAGGGAGUGAGAGAGGCAAACGGCUGUGGCCUGUUAGAGAUGACUUGAAGUUGGGCAGCUCUUUGCAUUUUGAGCCGCAAAGGAGAUUUCAGCUUCACGACGGGCUUGAUCGGCUGCGGAGUCAGCCGAGAAUUGGGGUUCGACCUCCACGAAUUGGUCUUGUGAGUGAGUUUUUUUGUAUACAUGUUUUUAGUUGUAGUUAUAUUUUGGAUAAUUCUUCUGGAGCUAUUGUAUUUUAAUAGAUGCUCAUUCUGGGAAUGACUAGCUUUCUUAAGAUUGAUUCCGAAGUUUUUUACUUUUUGCGUUGGUUCGAAACUCUUUUUAAGUGAAGCUAUGAACUUUAAGCUGGCUUUGAUAUGCUUAUUGCCAUUAAUAUCAGAAACUUUCAAAAAACCAUUUUCUGCAGAGUUCUAGUUUUCUUGGUGAUAUCAAUGUCUGUUGCUUGAGAUGGACGUCACUGAAUGGGCAACGUGAAAUGGGAAUUGUGCAUGUCCCGCUGUACAUCUUUGAAUUGCAAACCAAAGCUUCAGUUGAAAGUCAUUUUCUUAGCCAAGUCUUUGAUAAAAAUUUGUCUUAACAAGUAGUUGAGUCAUACAACUUCAAGUACUGAUACUUUUGGUGGAUAUGAUUGCAGCUUGAGUAUAUGUGUGUUUCUUUUAUAGGAAUGCUGACUGGAAAUUCAAGAAACUUUUGGCCACCUGGCUGAACUGUGUUCACAUAUUUCAGAAAGAAGUCUUGUGCCAAAAGAAACAGGAAAACUGAAAAAUAUUUUGUUAUGACUUAUAACACAUCACUGAGAGUAGAUGGUAAGGAUGCAAACAUGACUAAAACUGUUGAUCUUGUAAGUUCAUGACAGACUUGAGGUGGAACAUAGGAUGAAUUUGGGCAUCAUCUAAUUCAUCUGUUUAUACUAUUUGUUAAGUAUUAAGGUCCAUGUAUGCAUGCUUUUCAUUUAUCAUGAUUUCUUGAAUUUCACAGACUUGAGCUUUGCAUUUUAUAUUUUUCAGAUCUUAGGAAACAUGAACAAGGAUCCUUCAUCAUUGAUGCUAUCUACGGUGAUGAAGAAUUUGAAGGGACUUGGCUAUUUGUUCAAGGUAAUUUUAUAGGAAUUAUAUCUUAUAUCCUUGGUUAGAAGAUGGAUGAAAGUUGGUUAGGUUCGGGUGGACAUGUAAAUGCAUUAUGAAUUUUGGCUUUUUCCUUCCUGAGUAGUUUUAAGUUUAUCACCUUUGACUUUUAGAUGCCAUCAAGGAAAUAGAGCAAGAGCCCUGUUGUUUCCUCAUUAAGUAGAAAAUUAAGAGUUUUUACGAAGCUUUUAAAAGCUUUUACAUGGGUUCUACUGGCCAAGUUCUCCCUGCAUUCACAUAUAAUCACUUGUGGGUCAUAGCAACAGUUUAAUUUUCCAAGUGAGUUCCAUCUUAGCAAUUGUGUAAAACUAGCUUCUUAACCAGUUUGUUUAUUGUUUAGGUUUCCUGAAAUAUGUAUUGUCUUAGUUUUUUUAAAAAUAAUUGCUUUAUAAUUUCUCUCCCUUAUCAAGUUCCUGAAAAUAAGAAUCAAAUUUUCUUUGCCUUACUAACAAAUGAAUGCAAUCAACUAAAGGAAAUUUCAGAGGGCUUCGGUGUCUCUGGCGCAAAUCUCAAGAGAAUUAUGUGAUCAAAGCAAUGAAUUUUACUAUUUGCAUCCUUUGAUAGAACACUUGUUAAAAGUCCUUUGAGGGAUAUUAGUUAGUCAAAGACUAUACAACUGGUCAGUUUGAGGGUUUAGGUGUGGUUUAUAUGGUUUGGUAUUUACGACCUGUCCUUCGUCUGUUUUCUGUUAUCCCCUCAAUCCAGUUAGUGAUCAGACUGACUUUUUCUCCACCUAUAAUCUGCUCAAUCCUGGAGGAUCUUUGUCAAUUUGAAGUUUUGUCUGAUUAAUCAAUAUGUUUUAGUGCAAAUUGUCGUGUGAUUGUGAUAUAAUCUUUUUGGGCCCAAUGCAUGCUUCUUUGCAGAUAUAUGCACUACAAGAUGGUGAUGCUCGAGAAAUUUGGGAGGAAAUAGGAGGUGAAAUCUUGAAUUUAAGUCCUGAAAGACAUGGUCAUAUUGAUUGGUCAAUGUAUGUUUUAUUCUUUCAUCUAGUUUACUCAUGAAUCCAAUAGUAAUUCUCUUAAGAUAGUAAGAACUUCUCCAUGAAAUAGUUAGUCAAUUAGUCCUUAAAUUGGUACUAAUAAAUAAAAUUCCUCAUUGCUGCAGUUUUGAAGGUAUAAUAGCAGAUUCUCUUGAAGUGAAGGAUGCCAUUUCAAGGUAUAGACAUUCUUGACAUAUGAAAUUAAUGAACUAAUUUUACUUCUCAUCACUUUCUCAAAAUUUACCAUAUGUUCUCAUUAGAAAAAUUGAUGCAUAAUUGGUUCUUAGUGCUAACCUUGUGCCUGAGUUAUCAAAUGAAAAGAGGAAUCUGUCCCUAAACUUUAGCUUCCAAAAUUGAAUUAAUUAUAAAGAGAUGGUUUCCCUCUAAUUUGAAACAAGUUCCUGUUAUUUGUCUAAUUAUUUAUUUAGUUUGCUCGAUUGGGGAGGGGAGAUAGACCUUAACUAUAGUAAGUGCUACCUUGCUGACUAGACAUUUUAGCUAGGUUCUAACUUUGCUUUAUAACAAACAAGGUGCUAAAUGAUACAAAUAUAAGGAAAAGGUUUGCAUAAUUAAUUUUUCAGAUACAUAAAUAGCCUUAAGAAGAUGGUAGGGCUACUGCUGUUUGAUUCAUUUUUCUAAUUUUAGUAUUCUCUUAAUCACCGGAUUCUUUUGUGCCACUGGAGCCUUCUUCUAUUCACUGCACAGUUGAUUGGAGAAAAAUCGUAGUUCUGUAAUAUUUUGCUUCGUGUUAACAUCCCGUCGAUCUCUUUGGUACUUGUAAACCAUUUUUAUUAUUUUGCAUUAUCAUUUAUCUUUCCACUUUGGAUACUAACCAAAGAAGUGAUUUGUGGAGUGGACUGAAAUUGUGAAGCUUAUUGACCAUUUCUGCAUUUGUCUAUUCCUCGUGGAGAUGUAGUUGGGCAAAAUGUCUCACUUUGUAAUUGUAAGUUUACGAACCCUGAGUAUAAUCCACUAGUCCUGAAGUAAAACUCAGAUUUAGUCCCUUAGGUCUUAAUGAUUUUUUUGACAUUGUCUACAGUCGACAAGUUUUUCAGAAAACAUCAUUAACUUUGUCUAGCUGAUCGUAAAAUGGUAUUCCACUAGGUAUCAAAAUGAAAGCGCUAUAAAAAGGAUAAUGACGAAUUUCAGUUUGUUGAGUGAAAGUAGGAAAUUCUGGUAUGUUAGUGAGAUCAGUAUUCUUUGCUCCUGUGGUGCUUGAAUGUGCAUUCAGAUGAAAAAUGCAAGCAUGGCUUUGGGAGGGAUGUUUACUGGUUUAUUCAACAAUAUGCCUUUUGUUUGAGAUGCUGUUUGUGAGUUUUAUAUUUUUGCAGCCUUAUGCAGGAGCCUUUCUGCUCUAUUCCACUCGUUUGGAUAAUUCAAGAGGAUACCCUUGCAAAUCGCCUUCAGAUGUAUGAAAGGAAUCAAUGGAACCAUAUCAUAUCUCACUGGAAGAGUGCUUUUUGCAGGGCUAAUGUUGUUGUCUUUCCUGAUUAUUCUUUGCCGGUAACUUCAUCCUUCUGUUGUUAUUACAUGCAUUACAAAGUCAAUCCAUAGGAAUUAUUUUAGGUUUUCUUAUGCUUACUUAUCAAAUUCUAUAUGAUGUGCUUCUCCUGCUCAAUUAAGAUUAUCUUCCUGUAUCAGAUGUUAUAUAGUGUGCUUGACACUGGAAACUUCUUUGUGAUUCCUGGAUCACCAGUAGAUGUUUGGGCUGCAGAAAGCUACACUAAGACACACUCCAAAUUGGUAUUACGGAAGGAAAAUGGUUUCUGUGAAGAUGAUGUGGUGGUUUUGGUUAUUGGAAGCUCAUUUUUCUUUGCUGAGCUGUCAUGGGAUUAUGCUGUGGCAAUGCAUGAUUUGGAGCCACUCUUACUCAAUUAUGCUGGGAGAGAAGAAGGCAAGGAGACCUUCAAGUUUGUCUUCUUAUGUGGAAACUCCAGCAGUCAGUAUGAUGAUGCUUUGCAGGUAUAAUCAAUUAUCCAAGGUAUAUAGUUCUUUAGGUAUAUCUGUCUGCAUGCAAAUCCAGGCUUUGGGAAAACGUAAUGCAUGUUGUUACAUGAAGGAUUAUCCUUGAUAUCUUCUAUUGAUAUAUUAUUCAUGGCUAUGGAUAAUAGCGUCUUUAUGAAUUUUUCUUGAUCUGAAAAGUGUUCCACUACAGGAUUAAUUUUUCCCUAUUUGUGUGGAAAUCCCUUUUCCUUGUUUUAUUGAUUUGAUUCUAUUCAAGUGAAAAGUUCUUACAAGGUUUGUCUUGCUUUCCUAGCCAGACAAUCCUAAGAUUUAUCAGGACUUCUUAUUUAGCAUUACUACCCCCUCCCCGGGUCAAAACAAGGGAAAAAAGAAGUGGUAGUUAAAGAGCUGUGAGAUCUGAGUUACACCUAUUUGUUUGUAUUUUUUAGGACAUUGCCACUCGUUUGGGACUUUAUCAAGGAUCUCUAAGACAUUUUGGCGUUCAUGGUGAUCCUAAUGGGUUGAUAUUGAUGGCUGACAUUGUACUGUAUGCUUCUCCACAAGAUGAGCAGGGUUUUCCACCAUUACUGACACGAGCAAUGUCCUUUGGAAUGCCUAUUGUUGCAUUAGAAAAUCCUGUCAUAAAGAGACAUGUGGGUUUUACACAUUUAUCUUGUAUAGACAAUUGAGUUCCGUUGUGGAUAUUAUGAUUGUUGCUCUUUACUUCUCUUAUUAAGCUUCUAAAUCUCCAGGUUGCUGAUCAGGUCCAAGGGAUGAUCGUUGCCAAACAUAACCCUGAUGCGCUAAUCAAAGCUUUCUCACUUCUGAUAUCGGAAGCAAAAUUACUGAAGCUUGCCCAUUCUAUUGCUUCCUCUGGCAGGCUUCUAGCAAAGAAUAUGCUAGCAUCAGAAUGUGUAAUGAGUUAUGCAAAGUUGCUUGAGAAUAUCCUCAAUUUUCCAUCAGAUGUCUUGCUUCCUGGUAACACUUCUCAGCUUAAGCAGACUUCAUGGGAGUGGAACUUCUUCCAGGAAGAAAUUGAUAAAAAAGCUGGUGACCUUGCAAAUCCACAUAGCAGAGGUUAUGGAUUAAGUUUGGGUGUUGUAUACAAUAUUGAAGAAGACAUGGCCAAUCUAUUGCCCUUAAAGAAUGUCUCUGGCAAUGAUUUAGAAGCUCUGGACGGGGAUUUUCCUACACAUUUAGAUUGGGAUAUUUUGAGGGAAAUGGAAAGUUCUGAGGAACUGGAGUCUUUGGAAAUGGAGGAGGUAUGACCGUGCUUCUGUUAUGCAUUGCAAAUUUCUUUUUGCCCUGUUUUGUUUUUUCCCAGGUUGUUGGAAUUACUGUUGGGUAGAACAUUAUUGUAAUACUCGCAGAUUGAAGAAAGAAUGGAGAAAGCGAUUGGUGAUUGGGAUGAAUUAUAUCGUAAUGCUCGAAAAUCUGAAAAGCUUAAGUUUGAAAUGAAUGAAAGAGAUGAAGGAGAGCUGGAAAGGACUGGGCAACCUUUGUGCAUCUAUGAGAUUUACCAUGGAGCUGGAGCUUGGCAAUUUCUACAUCAUGGUUCUUUGUACCGUGGGUUGAGUCUCGUAAGUUUUUUUGAUCCAGGAACACUGGCUUAUAUUAAGUCAUCUGUUGCAACAUGAACUAAGAAGAAACUAUCUUUCUGGAGCAAGUUCAGUAAUCUAUUCUAUUACCUCGUCUGUGUUGCUGACACUUGUGUGUUUCUUCUAGUAGAAAUUGCUGGUUUUCUUACUUUGAAUAAUUGUUAUCCUCUUUUUCUAGGCUGUGUUUUGCAUGUAAGUUUUGUAGUUUGUCAGUGCUAAUACUGGUAAAUCUCCCCAGUCUACUCGGGCCAGAAGAUUGAGGUCAGAUGAUGUUGAUGCAGUUGCUCGGCUUCCUGUCCUGAAUGACACAUAUUACCGAGACGUACUUUGUGAGAUUGGAGGCAUGUUUUCAGUUGCGAAUGGUGUUGAUAAUAUCCAUAAGCGACCUUGGAUCGGUUUUCAGUCUUGGCGUGCUGCUGGGAGGAAGGUGUGCCCUAAUUUUCUCAUGUAUUUCAGAGGAAUUGUCUUUCUGGCUAACCUUGCUUCUUUUUUAUUCUAGAUAAUGAAAUAUCAUAUAUUAAAAUUGAGGUUCUAAUGCCUGUAAUGGGAUUGCAAGAUAGUGUUGUCAAAAUAGUUUUCCUUUACCAUUAAUUGUUAUUUUUGUAAUCAAGCAAAAGAAUAUUUUUCAUCUGAACGUCUUCUGGCCUACAAUAUAUGACAGGCAAGUCUCUCUACAAAAGCUGAGCAGGUUCUGGAAGAAGUAGUACAAAAAAAUACUAAAGGAGAUGUGAUAUACUUUUGGGCGAUGUUGGACAUGGAUGGUGGAUUUAUGGGGAGGAAUGACGUGCUUACUUUUUGGUCCAUGUGUGACAUCUUAAAUGGAGGAAACUGCAGGUUAGAGUGUUUUGGGAGACACAUGACCUACGCUGUUUUUAUAGCUUUUCUUAGUUUUACAUAUCAUUUAAAGACUACAGGCAUCUAAAUUUUUCUCCCCUUUUAAAGAUGCUAAAUUACAUAGAAUAUGAGAGAAUCUUCUCUCUUCAAAUUUGCUUCUAAAGUCGUAAUAACCAUUUAGCAUUUUUUUUUGACUUAUUAAGCUAGUGUUUGAAGAUUGUGUUGCUAAAUUUUUUUCAUUCAAAUAAUUCAAAUUUGCAGAAGUGCCUUUGAAGAUGCAUUCCGUAUAAUGUAUGCCCUACCGUCACAUGUAGAAGCCCUUCCACCCAUGCCUGAAGAUGGAGGGCGCUGGUCAGCCCUACAUAGCUGGGUCAUGCCAACCUCUUCUUUUCUGGAGUUCAUUAUGUUUUCCAGGUAAUUUCCCUGGAGUAACACAUUGCUUAACCUUUUGGCAAUUUAAUAUCAUGAUUAAGAUGCCACGGCUGAGGUCGUUGUUUGCUUUACCUGCAUUUUGUCAUCUGACUGAAAAUUCCUUUGCAUAUUAGGAUUUUUGUGGAUUCUCUCGAUUAUUUGCGUGUAAAUUCAAGCAACAUGACUUCUUGUUUGUUGGGGUCUUCAGUGUUGGAGGUAAGCAUAGACCAAAAGUUAUCUGUAAUCAAGAAAAUGACAAAAUGAAAGAUUCUGAUGUUGAAAUUGUGACACUUCUACCAGAAGCAGCAUUGUUACUGUCGGGUGAUGGAACUUCUGGUCAACGUAUGGGCAUAUCAUAGUGCACGUAGGAUGGUUUACAUUGAUCCCCACUCAGGUUUGCUGGAGGAACAACAUCCGAUAGAACAACGGAAAGGAUUUAUGUGGGCGAAGUACUUCAACACCUCAUUAUUGAAAAGUAUGGAUGAAGACCUUGCUGAAGCAGCAGAUGACAAUGACCAUCCAUAUGAAAUGUGGUUAUGGCCAUUAACAGGGGAAGUUUACUGGCAAGGUGUAUAUGAGCGUGAGAGGGAAGAAAGAUAUAGGUUGAAGAUGGACAAGAAGAGAAAAACAAGAGAGAAACUACUCGACAGGAUGAAACAUGGAUAUGUGCAGAAGGCACUUGGAAGAUUGAAGCUGUAGAUCUCAGCAGGAAGAGUUGAAAGUUUUGUUGGAAUUUCCUAUUCCUAUUGUCGUCGAGGAGGUGAGGUGAUAAUUUUUCUAAGCUUGAGCAUUCGAAGAGCCUCAUGCUGAUAAUGGAGUAAAGUGAUUGUUCCUUAACAGCAUCAAAGGUAGUUGGAACUGACUUAUUCUUCUGACGUUACUCAAUACAUUGAACGGGGGUCGCAGGUGCCAAGAUACACUUGAAAAAAAGCAAGCAAAGCUAGAAUGACAUACCAACAAUUUUGUAGCCAACAUAGCAUACAGGUAUAAAUUGCACGGCCUUCAACACUACUCCAGAUCUAACUGAUUUUGACUGGAAUUCUUUAGACAUACAAUUGUAUUCUUUUCACAUGUACAUAUCCUUUGAAAUAACGAUCCAAUUCUUCUGAAAAGCCCCUUUUUGGCUCUCUGACUUGUAACUACUAAAACCAUGACACCCUCGAGUAGAGGUUUACAAUUUUGACUAACUUAUGGGCUGCUAUUGCUUGAGGGGCAGAUUUCGUACUCGUACUAUUUAUAGGAAAAUGGGUUUACCGCAUUAUUCUUCCAAAUUUGUAACUGCUUGCAACCCACUAUUGGUGCGAUGUUCUUUCAUACAAUUUGACAGGAUUAUAGUAACUGGCACCUUAUGUGCACAGUUAACUUGUGACAAUAUCAAGGGAUACUCUGUUCCUAGUUUCGUGUUCCUAUUUCCUAGUACUUUGAUGAUUUUCAAGGCGAAACCAAAAGGCAAACCCAAUAACAUUUUAACGAACACAUUCUAAAAUCCUUAAAUGCAAAUAGGAUUGGAACACCAAGCUCUGGUUUUCUUUUUCUUUCAUCUUCUUACGAAGUCACAAGAAUUUCGCAAAUAAACCUAAUCCCCGAAUAAUCCUCAAAAGCCCUGGUUUUCUUACUGGUGUCAAAUUUGUACAUAUUGGUCACAUUUAUUAGCCCAAUUUCCCCUGUUUCAAAUGGGUUUGGGCCACCUAAAUUGUCAAGCUGAUCCGUGUAACUCAUUUGCAUGCACUUGGACAAAUAGCUCUAUUUCCACUCGUCCCUUUUUGCCAAAUUUGCUUGAAAUUUUCAGCGUUUUUUUCUCACAGAAAGUGUGACGUUUGCAAUUUCAAUUGCGCACUUCUAAUUGCAAUGCCUGAUUUGGGGAAAUUUUGGAGCAAUGUCAGUAGAGUGCCCGGUUUCACUGACUGCUUCAUCGGAAACUUCUCUUAAAAACUAAUCAAUAUUUUAAAAAGAUGUAGCAAAUUUUAUUCUCCUAAAAUAGGCUUAUGAGAAACGGAGUUGAAAGUGCACGACGAUGAAUGGUCCAUAAAUUUUCAAUUGAACCAUUAAUAUAGAAUAUGUUUGGAUAGAAUAUUAUUUGGGAUAAUUUUUUGAAUAAAUAUUAUAACACUUUUUUAAUAUGAUGUAUAUAAAAUAAAAUUUUUUUGAAAAUAUGUUUGUAGUAUAACAAAUAAUAAGUUGUCCAAACAAACUUACAGAUAAAAAAAAAAUUGUAGUAGCAGCAAGAUCCUGAUUGAUGUUUGAACACAUUGCACUGUAUGAACUGAUUAAAUCAGUUCACUAACCAAAACCUGCAAGCAAAAGAUUUAGAAAACAUCCAAAAUCAAACACAUAGAGACAAAAAAAAAAAAUUGGGACGAAGAAGGAUUCGACCAGGAUAAUAUAGUCAUUUCAACAUUCAACGGACAUUUUUUUUUCCUUUCCUUUCGUUUUAUUUUUUGUCUCUUGAAAUAUUAAUUUAAUGUAUAGUAAUAAUUUAAAAAUAAUCCCCCCAUGCCAGCCAGUACUAAAAUCCUGCCCUCCCUCAUCGUACGCCUAAUUAGACUCAAUUGGGAAUGUUGGGCUGAGCAGCAAAAACCGUGUAGGGUUUUCGGCUCCCACUCCAAACCCCUACUGUUCCCUGUUCACACCUUGAAGACUCAUCUUACGCAUCUGCUUCUUCUUUCAGGUGACACCCAUUUCUUGCAUUUCUAGUUAUCAAAUCACUGACUUCUUUAUGGACUUUAGCUUAUCUUACUUUUUUUUUAUCGGUUUUUUGUUGACAAAAUGAACUGGUCGUUCAUUCUCUGCUGUUUCCCAUUUUGGUUUUCUUUUGAGGAGCAACACUGUAUGCUGAAGUUCUUGUAAUUUUCUUCUGAAUCAUUUGUUGUUUUCGUUUCAAAUUGGGAUGGGCUUGCAAAGUUGAUGUCCCACUGCAUUUCUUGGUUGCUGGAAUGUGGAGGAAUUAGUAACCCAAGUUAUUUUGUUCUCUUUUUUCUAUUUAGACAUGAAUGCUGGAAUGCUAGUGGAAAAUUUUCAAUUCAGCUAAUUUUUUUGGUUGGGCAUUAUGUGGGCCAGCCAAUUUUCUUUUUUUUUUUUGGGGUUACAAAAAAUUUGUCUAGUCUAUAUGCUUAAUUGUUUUUUCCUUUUGUGUUGGGGUUUGAGCAGAAUGCUGGCAGAAAUAUGAUUAGUUUUGUGUCAAAUCAGUUGACAUUCUUCGAAAGAACCAAAGAGACACUCCCUUAGAAUACUAAUGAAUCUUAUUCUCUCUUAAUGUAUAUGCAUAUAAGGAGGCCGGUCUUUUGUCUAUCUUACAGAGAAAUAGAGUCUGGAAAGUGAUGAGAUAAACUCUGCAGUUCAUAGGUCUUUGAAUGUGUGACAUGACAUAUACAUGCGGCUAAGAAACCUAUCUUUUAUGUUGCUUGUUUACCCCACGAAAGGCAUCAACUGAAAAUUAUUCUAAUCACCUGAAAUUCAUAUCUGUGGUUGAUGUGUAAACAUACGUUGUACAGUCACUGACUUGCAACGAUCCUAAACUAUCGAAGAAGUAAGCAGUAGCACCCUGUUUUUGUAUUGCCUUUUUUUAUGUUCUUGGAGCUCAUAACCAAAAUUUCACAUAACCAAAAUUUUCAGAUGAUGCAUGCAAUCAAAGGUGGAUGGGUUGGGCAAACAUUUGCCCUUGCUGCAUAUAGUGACUCUGGAGGGAGGAAGGCAAGGAUUAGGCGUUCAAAGGAGGAGAGGAAGGCAAUGGUUGAGUCUUUUAUAAAGAAGUAACCUUUUCAAACUUGCUCUUUUUAUAAAGAGAAUUUGUAUAUUAUUUACAUUACAAUGGUGAUCUAUUUUGUGCAUGUGUCUGUGUAUUUCUUUUUUAAUCAUCACUAUUAAAUUUUCACUUUUUGCAUAAGGAUGAUUGUGUUAGCAUGUAAACUUUUGUCAUCUGGUCCUUGAGAGUAAUAUAGAUUGUGCUUUACCCAAAAUGAGAAAUCUCUUUGUUUGUUGUUUAGGACUAGAAUUCAUCUAUUUUAGUUUCCUUGACCAUCCACAUAAAUAGGAAGAAGAACUUAUUUCAUUUAGUUUCUUAAAUUGUUCCUUUUUUACUAAAUAUACUCGCUGACGUCUUCACAUUUCUUGGGUCGAUUUCUUACAGAUAUCAGAACUCAAAUAAUGGAAAUUUUCCAUCUUUGAAUCUUACACACAAGGAAGUUGGUGGUUCUUUUUACACAGUUCGGGAAAUUGUUCGAGAAAUUAUUCAAGAAAACAAAGUAUUAGGUCCAGCUAAGUUUUCAGAAGAGCAGAGCUAUGAUAAUGUUUUGGAGCAUUAUCCAUUAGGAUCCAUUUCCAUUGAAGCUCAGAGAAGUUCAUUACCAUCAGAUGAACUGAAAAGUGUACUCCAUAUUUCAUCCAAACAAAGACAGGGAACCGGUGAAGAACUUGUUGCAAAUUCUAAUGGACUAUUCUUUGGGUAUGAGCAUCAAAAUCUAGAUAGUGAUCAAGUAGUUAAUGGUGUAAUUGAGACAAUUAAAGAUGACAUGGGAUCAGAUGGACCAAAAAGCGUAGCUCAUACUUCAUCCAAACAAAGUCUGGAUAGUGGUGAAGAACUUGUUGCAAACUCUAGUGGACAAUCCUUUGUGUCUGAGCAUCAGAAACUACACAAUGAUCAAGUAGUUAAUGGUGCAGUUGAGACAAUUAAAGAUGAUUUGGGAUCUGAUGAAUGCAGUUUAAUUGAAGCUGCAAUCCAUACUCAUGAAGGCACAAGUGAUGAAAUCCUUGAAAAUUUGAGUGGGCAGUUGACAGGACCUGAUUGUCAGGAGUUUGACAGCAAACCAAUUGGCAAUGUUAGUGAGCCAACUGACGAGGAUGAAGAAUCUAAUGAACCAGUUAUACGUAGUCCUUUGUCUAUACCUAAUCCCAGAGUUAUUCAAGAACAUCACCAGGAAAGUAGGGGAGAACAAGUUGUACAUUCUACUAGAGAUUUUCCUGGAGAUGUCCAUCUGAAAGCAGACACGGAAGAUGUCAAUGGGAUUAGUCAGGCAAUUGGAGAAACUGAAUAUGAACAACCAGUAUUGGCAGUGGCUGUAGGAGAAGAUAGCCUGGAUGUCAACAAAGGUGGUACUAAAACAGUUGAGUCAUCAAAUGCUGGUAUGACUCGUGGGCAAGCUGACAUAGUAGUUGAAAAAUUUCCACUUCAUCCCAUUGCUAGGAAAUUUGAUGACUUGGAAGGAAGAUUAGAAGAACAAAGUCAAGGAACUAGAACUCUGGAGGUAAACAAAAUUGAACAGGACAGAGUACAAGUUACAGAGCACUCUUGUAGUGUUGUGCAGGUGGAAGCUGGUGCAGACCUUGCUGUUUCAAAAAGCAAGAGUGAGCUGGUGGGUAAAACUGCCAGCCUAAAUGAUGGGAAUCCACCAUUGGAAAUGUCGAAUUGCUCUGCAACCAAAAAAGUUCCUGUAUUUGACAUGAGCAAUGCUGCAGAAAUCGGAGCAAAGGUCUCUUCCCCCACUGAAGCAAAGGUAUUUUACUUAUGAUGUAUUUAAUAUAUCUUUUGCACAUGGCUUGGGAUGUAUGUCUUUGCAUCCCUAACUUUGUGCUUAUUAAAGGGCUUAAAUCUUGUAGCUGUGAAUAAGAUGUAGAGGGACUUUGGGCUAUGUGACAUCUAUGUGCCAAUGAAAGUGGUUAUUUCCAGUUCCUAGUCCUGAUUGGUCGAAUUCAUUGGGAGGCCUUGUAAUGGAAGUAUAUAUAGAGUCAUGUUUGAAAAUCAGAUGAGUGGAGAUGCAAGUGAAACUUACACUUUGGUACUGUAACACUACGAGGUUAAAAGCGUAAUGACACUCAGAUCCCGGAUGAACUUUUCUGAUUGCAUUACGGUGAACCUGGGUACUUAUGAUGAGUCUUGCAGCCUGGAGCUAUCUUGAUCUUGCAAUUUGGUAGAACCUCCAUUUGUGGUUGUCUUGUUAAUUAUUCUUCAGCUGUCGCAACAUGGAUAUUAAUGAACUUGUCAGUACUAGUUUAUUAAGUCUAAUGAAGGUAAUUUAAAAUUUGGUUGUAACUAAAAAUUUAUUAUGUUCUGAAGAUGAAAGGUCACAAUUUGGUGGGGUUUCAUUAAAGGUGCAGCAGGUAUGGUGGCCUAUACAUAGAAAAAUUGGAAGGUGGCUACUUGUGUUUGGCUAUCACAUACUGUAGCUGUUGCACAUUUUAUUCUUUUCCUAUUGGGUGGUGCUAAUUUCUCUGACGUUAUUUUACAGCCUGCGAAUGUUCCAACGGGUACCAAUGAGAAACAUGGUGACAUAAAUACUGGUGUUUCUCAUGAACAGUCCAUUCCAGAUGAAACCAUUGGAAUAGAAGACAAACUAAAGAUCGAAGGUGAUAGCAGCUCCAAGGAGGGAAGCAAUCCUACAUUAAACAGAAUUAACCUGUAAGUAUCUUUUGUAGCAUCUCCUAGGCCCUUUUGCAUACAGUUCAAGAUGUCACUCUUUAUCAUUUCAGAGUGAAUCAGUUUCAACAUUCCCCAGUCCCCGGACUGCCCCACCUACGUACUGUUCAUUUAGCCUCACCCAAUUGAGUUUCCCCUUUGCAGUGAAACAUGGGAAAGGACAUCAGAGCUGCCCGCUGAAUCUGAAGUAAAUCCAGUUUUUGCAUUCUUCAAGGCGCUUGUUACUGCUUUUGUGAGAUUUUUGAAUGGAUGAGAGUUUACGGGGUGUUAUAAUGUAGCUUUUGAGAGUAUCUGCAGGGUGUUAAGCUUAGUGUUUGCAGCUUAUGGGAAACUUUAAUUCCAUGAUAUUAUGAUAUCUGGUAACGUACUUAAUGUAUAUGGUGGUUGCUGCGGUCAAUUACAUGAUGCUUGUAUCCCUGAAACCUAGGUAGAAGAGGAGACCUUGCUAGAUGGAUGUCAUUAAGGAGCUGGUCCAUCAUUUCAGCCUCUUGAUGACCUCCCCUCAUCUGCACCAUUAAAGUUGGAUGGAACAAGUGUAAGCAUGGUGUGGAUAAAUCUACAUUUGCUUCAUAAUAAAAAGUAAAAUAGCUUGAAGUAGUUGUAUGAUCUCCUUGUAUCCUAAGAAAUAUCGACAGCAUAAAUAAAUUGUCCAUUAAGUUGUGAUAAAUCCCAAUUUUCCAUGGGAGACACUGUUAGCAGAAAAGGACAUAGUACUGUUUAAUAAAGAGCAACCCUACUCAUUCCACAACAGAAAAUGGUCACGGCAACAGAUGAGUGGUUGCUGUUUAUUAUAUUUAGAAGAAAAAUCCCUUUCCAUCCCCUGCUCCACUGGAAAAGUGACGCAGCAGUAUUCCAGGAACAGAAUUCAGUCCACCACAUUUCAUACGAUCGCGGAUGGCUGAUAAGGUCUUGUUCUUAGUUCUUUCUUGUAGACGCUUUCCAACUGUUAACGCAAGACUAAAGCUUGACCAUUCUGGGAUCUUUUGCUUUAUAAAUACGUUGCUUGCAUCACAUGGAUAUGUUAGUCCACCUAAAAGUAAGGCAUUCCCAGUCUAGAAGGGAUUCAUUAUUACAUCUUCCUUUUUGCAAGGGUGAGAUUCUCGAACUGAGGUCUACUUUUCGUUUUCGUUCGCCAUCAAAGCAUCAUUAGGUUUGGUCCAUAGACUACUCAUUGAGGUUGUCAAUUAAGAGUCCAAACCGGGCAAUCGAUUCCAGCUCUGCUAACGUGAUUUUCAGCGUUUUGUUUGGCAUGGUGUCAUGAUUUUGCUGCCAUCAAAUCAAAGUUGUAACAAAACGAACAAUAUAUUGGUUGCAAUCAGGAUUUCAAGGUGACAAAGCACCAAAAAAGUACAUAAAUGGCUUUAGACUUUAGUUUAGUACAAUGCUCACAUUGCUGGAAUACAGCCAAUUGGGAGCAAGCAAGAGAUGCCCACAUAUUGAUUAAGCUUCCCUGGCUUUUGCAACAGAAUCUCAAGUACUAAAUAUGUUUUGUUCCAUGCGUUAAAAAAAUCAAAGGUUCACAAAUAUACAUCUCUGCACACAUGAAUAAUGGCAGGAUUUCUCUGUUCAAAUAUCAUUUCUAUAAGAACAUAAGAAACAAUUAAUAAUACUCUAUAUAUUUUGCUAUAAGAAGCAAAAUAUUGUGGGGCGGUUGGAAACCUGGUCAAAGGAUAAUUGGACUCGCCCAACUGCCUUUAGCGAGUCAGUAACAUAUAUAGUUUACUGUAAUGUAAGAUUGUGCCGACCUGUUUUGAUGUUUGUUUGAGGGUCGGUUUGUGAUUGGUUCUAAAGAUUGUGUGACAAAAGGCAAAGGAUAUUAAAAAGAAAGAGAGAAAGGUCUGAAGCAAUCUCGAAGCAAGGAAUAAAGCGGAAAAUAUAAACUAAGAAAAAAAAAAUCCAAUAAUCUGUAAUUCAUCAAGACUCAAGAGCAAGACUAAAUUAAAACCCCCAAAACCUCCACAAACUAAAAAAAAAUAUAAGAACAACGGCAAAACUAUCUUACUAUAUUAAUUUUCUUCAAACUAUUGAAAUACUAGAAUUCAAUGCAUUGUACACAAAUAAAUUUAACAAAGCUAUAUAGUAGUAACAAUUUUUCUACUAUUCCUAGUUGGAGUAUAUGGUAGGAUUGGCAGACUCCUUGCGGCUUCUAUGACUAAAAACAAAUUCUUGAAAUGAUAUAAAAAAAAAAACAAAAUUCGAGGAAGAUUCAAAAAGUUGCACAGGAUCAUUAUUGCAUGGGAUGGCAACAUGCAAUGAUAGUGGGGUGGCAUGGAAUUCCCCCAAGCAAUUAUUAGUUAUUAAGAACACUUCACACAUAAGGCCAAUAUCCCUUAAGCAGGGGUAGGGGGGACAAGGAGGGUGUCCAAAAACACGUAAUGAUGAUCCGUCUUCAUUCCUAUCUAAUCAGCAUGCAAUUGGAUAUGAAUCUCAGGUCAAAUGGCCUAAUAAUACAAAUCAGAUGACGGUGUCAAGGAUUCGGAGAAAUGAAAUUGUUGCCCGUAUAGAGCGGUCAGAGAAAUUACGCCAUCAUUUUCUAGGAUUUUUUUUUUUUGGGUAUCUUUGUACUAUGUAUCAAUAAACAAGGACGUCCUAAUUAUACGUAAUGAAGUUGGGGUAAUGCAUGGUGAAAACCAAGCAAAAUAGAAAGGCUGAGGGGACAGUUCACAUGGAAAGAUUCAUUCGUGAGGUGGAGACCAUGGAGAGGGUAUUUGGUAAACCCGACCAAAACAUAUAUUAUUCAAAGCUCAAUUUCUUUGUUCUUUUAUUUGUAUAAUAAUAAUAAUAAUAAUGAGGGAGAGAGAGAUAUGGCAGAUAGGGCGUAUUGAAGGCUCUACGAUGGAAUCCUAUGCUAGUUUAUAAAUUAGAGUGAAAGAGACAGAAAUGAGUACAAAAAUUGCCAACGAAGGUCUUAGGCUAAAUGCAUUGUACUACAAUUAUAGUUGACUGCGAGCCAAGCUGGUCGCGAGUAGUUUGGUCAAUUGCUCGGCUCGAAUUCAGGUUGAUUAAGUUUGAGUCCGAACUUGAACUAUUCGAUUGGAAAGCAAGUCAAAUUUCGAGCCCAUAUAUAUGCUACUUGAGCUCGACAAGUUACUUGUCGAGUGCUUUUUAAUUUAAACAAUAUAUAUAUUUUUAAAUACAAAAUUAUCACCAAGGGUUUAUGCUUUCAGACAAUUUACAAGCUGAUUUGCAUACUUAAUAAAACUCUUGAAUGGCAAAAAAGUAAUAGAAUUUGAAGUAAACACAAUAUAAUUUCAUUCGCCAAGAUUUGAACUUAAAGGCUAAAAAAUGAGGUCUGAUUGAGUUUCUAUACUUGAAAGCAUCAUCGAGUACUCGAACUUGAUAUGGCUUGAUCUUGAAUCAACCCAUAUCGAGUCGAGUUUGAGUUUUAUGCUCUCUAUUCUCAAACUCGAGUCAAGUAGGGUACUAAUAGUGUUUGAGUUAAGCUGAGUAUAGAACUACUCGAGCUUGACUCAACUUAUAUACACCUAUUACUACAAAUUUUCGCUUGAAAUUUUGUCAAGUAGAGAUCAAAAUGAAAUAUUAAAAAUACUAAGCACUUAUGGCAAUUUGCAUCAUGUGAGACGAUUCCAAAUAUGCCAUCAUACUAAAAACGGAAUUGAUUUAAGAAAUAUGGAUCUUUAUGGACGGAAAAAAAGAGUAAGUGUAUUUAGUGUUAUCCGUAGAUAAGGCGUUACUCAUAGGUCAAAAAAGACACCGACUCAAGUUUAUCAGCUUUUUUUUUAGUUUUAUUUUUUUUUCUUUUUGGGGGAAAAUGUUUCUAGUUAGCCACAAGUGCCACAUUCUUGCCCCGAAGAGGAGAAGGAAUAGAAAGAAAUGGAAGUAAAAUAUCCAGGGCUCAUUAUAUGGUUGCAUUUUAGCUUUUCAUACAUCCAACAAACAUAUAUUAGCAUCUUACAGACACAACUAUUCAAUUUUGGGAUCAUCAGCCAACUUUUACAUUUACAAGACACCGACGAAGAUUCGUGUAAACAUGGAGAGGAAGACAAAAUUUGGUCGAAUUCUUAGGAACAAACAAUGAGAUAUCCUGCCAGAUAAUUUUUAAUGAGAUGCUUCUUAAGUUCACUGGGAAUAAGAAAAUCUAAUGGAAUUAUUUACUGCAGGCAGGCUUUCUUAGAGCGCAUGUGGUAGUGGUGGUGUCCAUGCAGGUUGCUCUCACCUUUUUGAGCAAUUCUUUGUCGGACAAACUCCAUAUCGCACCUUCGAAUUCGUAUGAUUUUUUCACUUUACAUUCUAAACUUCAAAUUUAAAUACUUUGCUCAUUAAAUUCUUAAUUUUAAACACUUUACAUUCUAAACUAUUAAUUUUGUUCUAUUUAAAUCUAGUCAACGACAACUUCAGCAAAAUUAACGACAUGUACGACUUAACAAAUUAAUGAUAAUAUGCUGAAAGUUGUUAAAGGUAGCAAGGUAUCAUAGCAAAAAUAAAACAGUAUAUUGGCAUUAAUUUGUACCAUCUUUUAUCUCAUUGAUUUUGCUAGUAAUAUUCGUAAUUGAAACUAUAUAAAUCAAUAAUAAUGUGCUAAAAUGGUCAAAAAAGCUAAGAGAUCGCACUGAAUGAUACAUUGUUAUUGAUUUUCACUACACCCCUUUACCUCAUACAUUUUGCAAGCAACACAAUCAUUGACUGUAUCUAAACACGACAAACUUGAGAGUUUAGGGUGCAAAGUGUUCAAAAUUAAAAUUUUGGAGUGCAAAGUGAAAAGGUGGUAUAAGUUUGGGAGUGUAAAGUGAAGUUAGUCCUUCUUUCUUAACUUAACGUAAGUUAUAAGCUUGGAUUCACAUGCCAAUUCCAAAAAAGUUGAAACCAUGAAUUUCAGAUCCAAGAUUGAUCAGCGUCCUUUCCUUCCUUGCAUUGUCAAGUAUCUAAGUCCUGCGAUGCACAAUGUACAAUGUGGGCUAUUUAAUUAAUGAGUUGCAGCUUGUCAUUUUCUAGUACUCAUCAUGCAAAUUGGUAAAUGUAUCUCACCCUCUUCACCGUUUACAACCCAAGUUUACCUUAAAAAAAGAAGAAAAAAAAAUUGGUACUGCAAUGGAGAACAUAUAUAUUAUCUAGGCAGCAUGGAAACAAACUUGUCGCAGUAGUACUUUUAAGCAAUUAAAUUCCUUCUACUUUCAUGAGCCUCUAGUACAGUUACAGGACAUGUCAUUAUAAAAACUGAUCAAAAUAGUAGUGACGAUCCAGAUGACAAAAAUCUCACAAGUAAAUGCCUCUAACAUGCAUUCACAAUCUUGACUGCAGAACCGCAGGAACAUCUCCUCUUCAUCCUUUUUGUACUUCUUAAAAACUAAAAUGAAACGAAGAAAAGAAAAGAAUAGAGAGAUUUGGAGGAGGUAAAAAACAAUUGCCAAUGAAGAAAAGAUGAAAAAGGUUUGUGAGUAAAGAUGGAGAAGACAGGUAGUUACAUCUGGAGCCAAGUGACGACAGCCUGAGAUGGACAUGUUAGAAAAGUUGUUCUACUACUGUAGUCUGUGCUGCCACCAACCUAUCUAUCUUAAUCUAGUUUUUGUGAGAAUAAAAAGAAUGCCCCUACGACCUUUUCUCUACUCAAUUACCUUCCAAUGCACGCCUCUCUUCCAAACUCUUCUUUUUCAACCCGUAUAUAUUCCCUGCCCAUUCCUACACUUCUAUCUCUUACAAUUUCCUGUUUACAGGUUUCCACCUCCUUAUCAGCUUUCCCUCCAGUUCCUCGACCAACCCUCCACCCACCAGAAAAAACCAAAAGAACGGACAAAAAACCCAUGUCUACGGAUCUAGAAUUACGCCAAGAAUUGGUGGAAAUCCGAUUACCAGCUCUAAACAUCAAGGUUUCACAGUCUUCAGAUAGUACGGAUGAUGGCGGUGCUGUAAUUCAGUCACAAGAAAGCACCACCGGCACGGGCAGCUGCAUCAAUGAAGAAGAAGAGUGCCAUACGCCAAAAUCGCCUCAGCAUAUGAUCCCAGAAAUUCUUAGCUGCCCACCUGCCCCAAAGAAGCCUACGAGGCCUGCUUCCUCCUCAUGCAAGAGAAAAUUAUCUGAAUUUUUCGAGUUUGUGGGACGGGAAGAGAUUGAGUCUUUUUUCAGGCAGCUUGACGGGCCGAAUUCUACAACUGGUGUCAUCAAAAAGAGGUGUCUUGUAUAAAAUUUAUUCCACAUUCAGAAAUUUUCUAAGGCCGCCCCAUUUUCUUACAUUGCCUUGUUAAUUGGAAUCAAUUGACAAAGCCACAGCAAAGCGAAUUACGAUCAAUUGUGUAUGUACUACACCUUUUUAUAUGUUAAAGAAAAUUUAUUAUUUGAUUCAAAAUUCUUGUUAUUACUACAACUAUUAUUGUCUUCUUUUCAUUUCUUUUUGUGUAAGUUGGAUGUGAACUGAAGGCUGACAUGAUUGAGAAUUUACUCAAAUUAAUUUGAGUAAUUAACUUGCACUACCUUCUUCCUCUCUCUUUCUUCUUUUUUUGUUUAUUGAAAUUAAUUUGGUUGGGAAGGUUGGUUCACUUGGUUUUAAACAUGGAUGACGAUAGUUAAUUAAGGCUGCUAAAGCAUAGAUUAGUGAUGAGUUUUGUGAGGGAGAUGAGUGGUUGGUUGGUUGGUUUUGUCCGAAGGAAGGAAGAUGUGAAUAAUAGAUGGAAUCAAUCCACCAAAUAAUCAAUGAAUGAAAUACAGCUACGACUAAUUCAGUUGGUGCAAGUUUUUUCUUGAGAAAGAUUUGAAUUAGGUUUGAUGAUGCAGCGUGAUCAUGUUUGACGUUAUCGUUGAGUGACAGACACGGUUUUGGGAUUGACAUCCUUUGAUUAUCAUUUUUUUGGGCAUUCCUCAUCUCUGUAUUGCCAAUCCAGAAAGAGAUAGAGAAUUUGACAGGUAUUUGUCCUUUUUUUUGCUUUUGUCCUUAUUAAUGCAAACAAAAUUCGGCACUGUAAUAUGUUAUAUAUAGCGUAUUCCAUGCUUCUGCCUGCUUUGGAUUGCCAUUUUUAGAGCAAAAUUUUUACAUUUUUUGUGAAUAUUUUUUCUCCCUCACACACAUCACAUCCUUAAAAAAAAAAUUUAAGAAAUUUUUCCGAAAAACUUUCGAGGACUAAAACUUGUCGUCCCGCACCCCCCUCCCUCUUUUGUCGUUAUUCGUUGAGCAAUUUGUUUUUUUUUUCAAGUGUAAACGAGUGGACUCGGGGCUUAAAGACGAAAUCUCUCACUUCCACUCCCUUUUCCCUUACCAUCCAAUCCAUCCAUUUUCUCGUUGAGUAAUUUGCUAAAACAACAUACAAAUACAAAUACGUGAUCGCUUGCUUUUGUGUCCAAGAAAAACAUAUACCACUAGUUUUUUUUGGAGGUUUUAUAGAAAAUAUAUUGUAAUGAUUUGAUAUAUAAAUAAGAUAGAAAGGUGAUUGAAAAAUGUGUUUAUGAAAAAUAUAAAAAAAAAAAAUUUUUUUGAGAGAAACGGCAAUGCAAGCUCAACAAUGAAACUGGUACAACAAGAAUAAAAAAAAUGCGAGGAUAAUAGUGCUAGGAUGGGUUGAAUAAGUGGGAUAACUGGCUUUAAUUACGCCACAUAGGAAGUGUACGAGUUCACAUGCCGGCCUACAACUUUUGUUGCUAUUUCAAUUAUUUUCAAUGUAGGGCUGGCAGUCUUCGUUAACAAACUUGGAAUUCAUUUAUAAAAGGACGAAAAAAAAAGGGGGAAAAAGAUAGUCUUACAUGACCUCGCAUUCACUUGACUUCUAAAUUUUUGAAUUUCAGAAGUGUUUCCACGGAAUCAAACCGAUUUUCUUAUUAGUUAGCAGUUGAAUUUGUUAAGCAGAUUGAUAACCAUACACCUGGCCAUUUGAAUUUGAUUCAGACUCCAUCUAUACAAUAAGAGAGAAAAAAAAUGCCGAACCAGACGUGACUAUUCUUCUAAGUUGUUGUGGUUGCAUCAGCAUUCAAUAUUCAGAUUAUAACGAUGGUCCUUACUAACAGGUGCUCAUUAGUUACUCAUUAACAUAUUUAAAAUUUACUUAACUUAUAAUUUAUAUACGCAUACUAAUAAUUAUUAAUUUUUCUUAUAUUUAUAUACUUUUUCUAUUUAAUCUUAUCUACUCUCUUUUAUAUUUACUUACUUUUUCUAGUCAAUCUUAAACUUCUAAAAAUAUAUUUUAACGAGUACUCAAUAGGUACCCAUUAGAUAGACACUUUAGUUAUCUUACCUUUUAAUUUGACACCUUUUAUAAGAGAAAUGACCUAGAGUUAAAAAGGACCCGAUUAACAAUUCGAUUGUAUUUUUUUUAUUAUUAUCUUUCAUCCCUUUCCCAUCCUUAAAUUGUGAGGACUCAAAUCCUAAACAUGACAGGAGGAGAGUUCUUCCCUGAUCACCGACCAACCCCAGUGAUUUAAUAAUUUGAAUGUACUAUAAGAUUACUGUGUGUUAGAAGGUGAAAACGAAGGAGUAACUGACAAAAAUUGCAAGAUUAUAGCGCAAUAUACUUCAAAAAAUAUGUUCAUGCAGCGAGCCAAUAUCCCCUGACAGACAGGACAGUUAAUAUGAUCUCGAUCUGGCUAAUAACAAUAAUAAUAAUUCUGGGCCAUAUCAAUAUGUCUCUACUCUCUCCUCUGCUGUUCGAUAUGCCCCCGUGAGAUACUAACGCCAGAUCCAGAAUAUUAAAUCACAUAAAACAAAACGGAGCAAAGUAAAAACUAGAAUUCACUUUCUGUACUCCGUUGAAGGAAUAUCUUAACCCUCAGUUACCUGUUGCACUUUAAAUUUUUCCCCUCUUUCUACAUACUCUGUAUUUGUAUUUAACCAAAUUCAAACUGACAAAAGGCUGUAUGUGGACAAUGUCGUAUUAAUCACGCCACUUUUGAUGGAUACGUAUAUAUAUGUAUAUAUAAUUAAAGCUUUGAGUGAGCUUCAAUCUUACGUGUCCUUUCCUGCGGAUAUUAGCAAGAAGAAAAAGUUGGAUUACGUACAAUUAAAGACAUGAUUUAGACAGAUUACGUAUUUGAGUCAAGACCAGAUCAGAAGCACAAAAGUAAAGAAGAAGCCGGCAGGCGCUUUUAUGGUAGAGCUUAAACCAUAAGUUACUUUUCCGUCUCAUAAUUUUGACGGAAUAAUUAAAGAGGCAGCAGCAGCAGCAGCCCACCACCAGCGGCAACUCGCAGACAGAGAGGUAUAAAGAUGGCGAAAUUAAUAUCCAUUAAUUGAUGAAUUAAUUAUAUAGUUCAUGGAUACAACAUUCACGUGGUCAGGAAUAUUAGAGUUCAUUAAAGGGGACACAUGCAUAUGUGUACAAAAAGUGAUAACGGCGGCAGAAAUUCUUGAAAAUCAUUAUUUAUUCCCCUGUAUGUGUGCUGUAUAUUCAGCUUGAUUAUAAACUUUUUUUAGUGUUACAGUUUGGAUCCUCAGAAUACCAUGCAUCACAAUUAUACGUCUAUAUAUAUAGAUAUGAAUAUCUUAUUUAGCUGAGCAACACAAUGUAAUUGACAUCAAAAGCAGCUAUAUUUCGAAGAGUAGCGUGUCGGUUGCAGAUGAAACGUCUUACCGACUAGAUUAUGUUUCGUUGUUAGAUGGUAUUCAUUCAGUAUAAUUUUUUCUUAUAUGAGACGUAAAGAGGACGCAUUGCUAGUUGGAGCCUUUUAGCUCCGGCAUCAACAAGAUCCUCAAAACCUACCAAACGGUAGGUGUAUGUUUGGUAGGUUUAAACAAAAAGUUAUAACGAUGGUUUUGAUCUGAUUCCAUCUGAUUGAUCAAUCAUGUGAAACUAAUUUUUCAUUUUUAUUGCUAGUCGGUGGCCAUGUGACCGAGACAUGUUUAUCGUGCAUUUUUCUAAUCAAACAUUUCAAGAAAUUCAUGAUCUUGUCGAAGAAUAUUCGCAAAUUACUGAAAUAGGAGUUUUAGCUAGGAUCAAAGAACAUCUGUAAAGUUGCUAAAGCAAGUGUAAAGAAACCACAUUGAUCUAAACUAAAGCAAAUGCAAAUCAGGUUAUAUAUAUGGACAACAAACAUAAAAAGAAAACCCCAGGAUGUGUAUAAAAUUUACUGAGUACAUAUUUACUGCUAAUUACCCAACUAGAAAAUUAUUCAAAAACCUCUUCCAAAGCAACAAAAAGAAAUGCAAAACUACGGGACAUAUUUCAAUUAUAGAAGUCCAAAAGUUGCCCCUCUAUCUUUGCAAGUGUAAAAUCCGAACGCAAGCGACACAAAUUACGCAUUGGAUAAAACACAGAUUAACCGUCUAUCACAGGAAGUAUUUCCUCCUUGUGGGCCGAAAGGGAAAAAAACAACUGCAGACAUAGAACUGGAAAAAGUGAAAGCUAAGAUCUGAUAAAAGUGAAGAAAAAGUGGAGUUAAAACCCUGGAUUUUGUAGUUAAAUACUAUCAUAACUGAUCCCUUUUGCCUACUGAGGUAAGACAAGUGUGUUCCCCAUAAAAGUGUCUCCUUGCACUACAAGAAUGUUCAAUACAAGUACCAAUCACCGGUGGAAAUGAGAAUCUCUCAUUUUUGCCAAAAUACGAGGUGUGGAAGUUUCUUGCUGUUUAAUACUUGGAAUUUGGGACUACAGCAUUCUACGGGAUUUGUGAUGCUGGACUUGGGAACCACAAAAUUAAGAGUUCUUAAUACAGAUUAUGAAUUAAAAUUUGCCAUUUGAAGGUCGUGCAAUUACUUAAUGCAGUCAUGGGUCUACACUUUUUCUCCACAACUACAUUACAAGUUUGUCUAUUUGACAUCAAUAAUACGUAGCAUGGCUGAUUUAAUACAUGUUGCCGGAGGAAGCUAAGACGAAGCUGCAGUGCGGUAGCCAAACAAGAAGAUUAUCUUGUUAGGAAAUACCACAGGUAAACGGAAAUGGUGAUUUCCCACAAAUUGCCAGCGAUCAGAACUUGUUUACCACUUAACUUUGAUUAAAAUGGUGAAUAUUCAGGAUUAGCCAUGAGGUGAGCCUCCUCUCUUCUAAAUUUUAUCCCCUCUCCCCUCCCCCCCCCCCCCCCCAAACACCCUAAAAAAAAGUGAAGAAAUGAGAACAGGCUAUAUAAAGGUAAGAGCAACUUGUUUACCAUUUAAAAUUACUGUAUGUCGUAGGAAAAAAAAAUCAUCUAUUUGUCAUACUUGGAGCCCGUACCAAUAUUUUAGUAAAGGUGCUAGGACAAUAAGUAAAUCAUGGAUUAUUUAAUGAGCAAAAUUAUUUGGAUGGCCAUCAAACUCUUGGAAUCGUCAAAUUUUGACCAUUGAACUAUUAAAUAUUUGGUUUUGACUACUAAACUAUCUAAAAUUUAAAUUUCGAGCCAUUCCGUUAGAUUUAAUCGUUAAACAUAACAGAUUUGAGUGCUUGUACGAUUCAUGAGACAAAAGAAAUGGGCAUAUUUAAUGAUUAAAUUUGACGGAAUAGCCCAGAAAACAGUUCAGUGGCCAAAACUCUACAAUUCCAAAAGUUCAGUGACCAUCGAAUAAUUUGAUCAUUAUUUAAUUUCUCUGUAGUGGAUUCACUUACAUUUCAGUAGCAUAUAUUCAGUCAAUCCAAUAUGGCAUCCUUUGUGAAGUGUUCAUUGUUGGCAAUUUGGCAUGAAAAUUGAUUAACGAUAACCUACAAGUUUCUCAUCAACCUUCGGUUAUAAUGACAUGUGAAUUAGGUAUCCUCUUGUAUAUGAACCAAUUGCUUUUUUGUUUUUGGGUCAACAAUAUAUGAACCGAUUACAAACAACAUACAUUUAACAUAAUGCAUUGAAAGUUUGAAACUACAUUACCGGAGGGUUACUGGAAGUUUGACAACAAUCUGUUCUUGUGAGUUUUAACAUCUAUGAAUUUUUUAUUUCCAGUUUCGACAUAGUUUUUUUUUUUUCUUUUUUAAAUUCAAGAAAGACUCUUAAGUUUUACAAACGGAGGAAACAAGGACUUGAAAAAUCAGCCAAAGACUUCACCGUUGCCUUAGCAAAUGUGCUAGUUUCCCUUCAUCCUAAGUUGGGAAUCGGUAUCAAUUUCGACCGCCUACGCGAUUGUGUUAGUACAAGAAUUAUUAUUGGACUGCUUUCUGGGUCACAUUUGUCUGUUGGUCUUGGGCCUAGCAUCAUUUGCAAUGAUGUCUAUUCAGCUUGGUUUCUCCAAACCCAACUAGUUUAUGUUUCACAUUUUACUUACAUUUACAUUUGAGUCUGGGGCUUUACAAGCAGCCUGGUUUUCGUUAAAGAGCUGAGGAAUACCAAAGAUUCAGUUCGUUGAGAUUUCCAGUGUUUCAAUAUGGGCCAAUUUUGCCACAAUUUCGGCUGUUAACAGCCCAAAUUUUCUUUUCAAGUCAAUAAAAAAAUUGACUUCUGUGUAUGUGAAAAAGUUCCGUUCAGUAACUCUUAUUUAACAGGUAUUGUGAAUAAUCUAUAACUUGUCUGUUUUCGAAGCUUGUCUUAAGUUUCAGCCAAGAAUCAAUCACACUUUGUAUGUAUAAUUUGAAAAAAAAAAUUGAAAAGAGGAAGAGUAUAUCAUGUUCAUGUGUUGUUUUCACUGCAAUAAUUUAGAUAGUUAGAUAUGUCAUUCACACGUGCAAAUCUCAUUGAGUGUCAAUUUCUUCUUCCAUUUUAUGUCAAUUAAUUUGUAGUAAUAUUGAGUUAUAAUUUUCACCAUUUAUGGGUUGAUCAGAAUUGCGAUUUAUUUGUAUUAUAAAAAAAUAUAUGUCAUUCGCCCUUAUUUAAUACAUCCCUCGGCCCGGCCUAUACGUCUUGGCUUUGCAACUUUUCAAAUGAGGGGCCAUUAGCAUCCGGUAGACGCAGCUCGAUCAUUGGCGGGUGUCAACUGUCAAUUACCACAUAGCAUUGAUUUUGGGGCUAAACCACCACACAAUCCAAAGACCAAAGUCUAAAUUUGCAUCUUGUCGCCCAAGCAAGAAGGCAAUAUAAAGCGAGGGAGGCAGGGCUAGCUACUUGACAAUCACCUCAAGAAAUUAAGGAGCAAAAAAAUGUUGAGUGAGAAGCAAGAAGCUCUGGUGAAGGAGUCAUGGGAGCUGCUGAAACAAGAUAUUCCCCUACACAGUUUUCGUUUGUUUACAUCGUGAGUAUUUUUUUAUUUUUUUUUUGUCGACAUGAUAAAUUGUAUAUUACAACUGCUGCUACUCUAUACUAGAGAAAGGGGAACCUAAAGAUAUCAAGACGGGUGCCUGCGCACCCGUUAACAAAACAUUUUCUGGAAAGCCUGAAUAUUAGAAUGCAGGCCAAGGGAUUUAAUCUCUUGAUCUACACCCAAAUAGAGUUUUUAAAACUCUUUUGGUAACCAACUACUCUAUAUCGUGAGUAUGCGCCACCGAUAUUUUGCUUUUCAUCAACUUUUUUACUGUCUUCAAUAUAUAUAUAUAUGGUGAGACUAUCAUCCUUUUUAGCAUCAUUGCAUAACACUACCUAAAUCUUUAUUUUUAUGGUGAUGGUAGCUGAAUGUUUCUUUGAUUCAUGAAUAUUGUUUCUCUUCCUCCCUUGAUUAUUAGUAGUAUUUUUUUUUGGGGGGGCUAUGUUGACGGUUUAUAUUUUAUGGGUAUAUAAUAUAUGGUUAAGGAUCCUGGAGAAAGCACCAGGGGCAAAGGACUUGUUCUCAUUUCUAAGGGACACGGAUGAAAUUCCACAGAACAAUCCCAAGCUCAGGGCACAUGCUGCCAAAGUUUUCAGGCUGGUAUGUUGGCGUAAUUCAUUGCAUGUUUUCAUAAUUGUAAUUCUUGUACACUUUGAGAAAUGGCUAUAUUUGUGUAUAUAUUAAGCUUUUCUCGUCUCUCUCUCUCCAUAGCUAUAUAUAAACGACUCAUGUUCAUCAACUUGCGUAUAUAGUAUAUACUGCCAUAAAUAAUCUAGAAUGGAAGUAUCUGCAUGGUAUUUAAUAUUAGUUGUUACAGUUCUACUUGUUAGUCACGCCAUUUGGUCCAAACGCUAGGUCGUUUUUAACCUAAAAAUUGAACAUAUUAGGUGGCUUCAAUCUUCCUUGAUUUAUUCUUUUAUACUUCAUCAUUUUCUAAUGCCCAACACUAUUAAUUAACAUUUGUCAGUGUGAAAUUUUUAUUUAAUUUGUCCCUAGACAAAUUUUUAUCACCAACAACUGUCUCUAUAUAUUCUCUCCCUAAUUAUUGACUAUACUAUUUCUCCAGUUUUUCUUUUGAUGGUCAUCAACAAAGAAUUGCGUAACUGUUGAUCCAAAUCUGACAAGAAACCCCCGAUUACACCCUCACUGUGUAAUCUCAUGCAUCUAUCUAUCAACAUCGAAAUUCAAAAGAAAGGCAUCAAGUAAUGAUUAAACGGACAUGUUACACAUUGAUCUACAAAAUUUUAAAGUAUGCCAAUCUUGAAGAGAGAUUAGAAAACCAGAAAAGCAAAACGUACUAAUCAAAUCACUCAUUGGUUUAGUUUAAGAGAGCAUAACUAGAAGAAAUGGGUGAAGAUUUCCAUUUUUGAAGCACUUGCAAUGGCUGGAAGCUAGGUCUCAACUUCCUUCCUUUAGAUUGUCAUUAAUGUUCAUUACAAGGAUGUAUUUAUCUCUAGCAAGUAGUUUAACGAAAUCUGACGAGGUUAAUUGUAUACGACAUUAGACUUGCGAAUCAGUGGUGCAGCUGCGUGAGAAGGGCGGAGUGCUGAUUGGCGAUGCUACUCUCAAGUGGCUGGGAUCGGUUCAUCUCCAGAAUGGAGUCCUUGCGCCCCAUUUCGAGGUACUACCUACUAGGCCUAGUUCUGAAGCUGUCUGCAGUCCCAUUCUUGUAUCUCUUCAUAAAUUUUCAAGAAGUUUACACUAAUUAAUCUACAUGCUUAUCUAUAAUAAAAUUUUAUUCCUUAAUUUAUUAAAUUUUGAUUUCUGCAUGAGACGUACGUAGAUGGUAAAAGAAGCACUGCUGAAAACGAUCGAAGAGGGCGUGGGAGAAAAAUGGAGCGAGGAAAUGGAGAAUGCAUGGGGCGAGGCCUAUGAUCACUUGGCAGCAGCGAUUAUAGGUGAGAUGCAAGCAGAGGCUGCUGCUUCAUCAAAGCCCGUUCCUUAACAUCGACAACGUAUAAUCUACAAAGGAUGUCUUUAGUGAAAGCCUCAUCUGUGACUCCCGGGAGAGGCUUCUGGAUAGUCCUUAAUGCGUUGUAAGAAUAAAUGAUAGUAAUAAGAAUAGAGCAUUUACCAGUGAUGAAUAAUAGCACACGGAAUCCUCAGUGCCACUUUUUCAGUGGUAAUUCAGUGUCACUCCUAUAUUUAUAUCAAGUAUCCUAUUUAUUUAAUUUGUCAUGUGUUAUUUAUUUAAAUUUCUUCUACCAUCACGUGAUAUGUGGGAUUGGCACUGGAUUUGACACCGAGUAGUGGCACAGAGGAUCUCAACUGGAAUAAUAGAAGCGAGAAGUGCUCCAAAAUAAUCAUGGAGUGUAUCGACUAAAUUUUACUACAUCAUGAAGAAAAAAUUGCAGACUGGACCACAUCUCAUUGUCAUGACUGAGUGUUCCACAAUCUACAUGAUACUAAUAUAUUUGUAAAAACGAUCCGAAGGAACCCGGUUGGAUUUCUGCACCGGCUGAAUUGAACUGCUUAUUAAAAAUGGUUUGAGGUCUGAUUAAUUCUCUGCUACUUCAAAUCUUCGUUGUCUCAUUCUCUUCAACUAGGCAACAAGAAAAAAAAAAAUCGACAUUUAAUUUGUUUUUCUCUCCUUCUACCUGUACAAAUACAAUUGUGGAUUGGAUAUGCAUCACACGUCCAGCUAGCUGACCGGUCAGCUUUGCCCCAUAAGAAAAUUAACUGAGGAUUAUUUAAUUUUUCUGUAUAAUGGCUUUACAUUUUUAUUUUUUUAGUAUGAAGUCAAUCAGAAGAGGAUGAGUUCAAUCCAAUAGGCCAUGUCCUUUAUGAAAUGGUACGUGUCUUGGCCGGAAAAUUGAGUCAAGAUAAUAAUAAUAAUGUAUUUUAUUAUGCUACUAUUAUUAUAUCGUCCAACAUUUCGUUGUGUGACAAGUGCACUGGGAUCCCAUUAAAAUUAAGCUUUUGCAUCUGAAGAAGAGACGUACGUGUCGUCGUGUGAUGCAUUGAGACUAUCAAUCACCACAAGGUUAUUAGGUGUUUGACAGCAACCCAUUCUUGGGAAAUUUACUUUAAUCGACAAGAUCAAUUUCAACGGUCAAAAAUUGUUGUGUGGACUCCUUGUGGGUGAAAAAGCAAUCAAGCUACUCAAUAAUGGAAUCGAAUUCGACUCAAUAAGAGUUUAUUCGAAUUUGAUCUUUCAACUAAUUAUGUCAUAAUUGAACAAUAUUUUGUGUUUUGUAUACUUUUAAACUUGGUUUGAAUUUGAAUUGAUUGAUAUAAAAUUAGAAUUUACAAGUAAAAAAUUCGAGCUACUUGAACUUGACAUCAUUUAAUUUCAACUCUGUAAAUAAACAAAUCAAAUUUGAAUACCAAAAAAAAAAACUAAGUUUGAACACAAUUUUAAACUUAUUAAAAUAAUCAAAUAAAUUUUAAACAUUAAAAUAUUCUAUUUAAUUGUGCUCAUUAUCACUCCUAUGUCUCCUUGCUUUGAUCCGCUUUGUCUGUUGGGCUUGGCCCUAAACUUCAUAUAAAUGUACGUCGAAACCCAAACGAUUUAUGCUUUGUGUUUUAGUUGUUACUUUCAAGUCUGGGCUUCUACAAGCAGGCUGAUUACAUAAUGGAGAUAGCCUUAAGGAAAAGUUGAAAUUUCUAAUAUUGUCUGAACAUGGGCCAAUGGUCUCCCAGAGUUUCGGCUAUUUAUUUAUUAACUUUUUUUUUUUGUCUUUGUUAUAAAGAAUUGACUUCUUCUGUAAUUAAAAAAGCAACUGAUCUCUUGAGUAACCCUAUCCAAAAAGGGAAACAGUAUACUACGUGAUAAUAGGGAGUGUGUUUGCAUUGAAGAUUAUUUGGAAUAAUUUUUUUGAAAAAAUGUUAUAGUUGUAUUUUAUAUGAUGUGAUAUAUGUGAGAUAAAAAUGUAAUUGAUUUGAUAAAAAAUAAUUAAAAACAUAUUUAUAAUGCAAUCAAAUAAUUAUAAGAACCUAUCCAAGCACACCAAAGUAAUGAUUUCCAAGCUUGCUUUAACUUUUAGCUAACAAAUCUAAGUACACUGUGUACGCAUAUGUAACCAAAAAAAAAGGGGAAAAUAUAGUAAAGUAAAUCUUAUACACAUUGACAUUGUAUAUACUAUCACGAUUGGAUACAUGACACAUAUGCAAAAUUUAAUUUUCAAAUUCAAAUUCAAAUUAUGUGUCAUAUAUUCAAAAAUGAAAAUAUAUACACUGUCAAAAAACGACGGCUGGAUCUUUUGCAGGUGUGUACCACAUAUGAUCUGGCCAACAAAUGAUGCCAACAUCAAGCUUCCGGAAACCAUCCAAAAGUCUCUUGCCCAUUGCACCUCGUAUAUCCGUGUGAAUAUGAUACCUUAUCUCUCAAAACCCAAUAUAAAGCGAGGGAGGGGCUAUUAUACAGUCUGCUCAAAAAAGUUCAGGGAGAGGAGCAAAAAUGGCGUUGACUGAGAAGCAAGAAGCUCUGGUGAAGGAGUCCUGGGAGCUGAUGAAACAAGAUAUUCCUCGACAUGGUUUUCGUUUAUUUGCAUUGUAAGUAUGCACCGAGAGUUUUCGUCCAAUUUCUGGAGUGCAUUCUUUUAAUUUUAAUUUUUUUUGGUAGCAAGAAAGUAGUGGGAUUUACGAAGUGGGGAAGGAGAUGAAAGGCAUUUGAACUUAAAAUCUCUAAUUCUUGACCUCUCAACUUGUAUAACUAAUAGACCAAAAUCUCCUCCACGGAAUUUCUAGUUUGCAUUAUUGUAACUUUGUUUCAGUGUAUAUGUACCUAAUGCAGAAGAUGUUGCUUGUACCCAGUAAGAAAAUGGUUUUAACAAGUUGAUGUUCUUCCAUAUAUAAUACUACCUAAACCACUAUUUUAGGAUCAUCAUAGCUGGAUUAUUAAUUUCUCAGAUACAUCAAUAUAGUUUCUCUUCCUCCCUUGCCUAAUUUGCUUAAUUUCUUUUCUUUUCUUUUUUUGGGUUACGGGCUAUAUGAUCAAGGAUCCUCGAGAUAGCACCAGGGGCGAAGGACUUGUUCUCAUUUCUAAGGGACACAGAUGAAAUUCCAGAGAACAAUCCCAAGCUCAAGGCACACGCUGCCAGAGUUUUCAAGCUGGUAUGUUGGCUUAAUUCAAUUUAUGCUUUCAUUUUCGUAAUUAAUUUUUGCCCACCAGCCGAAAUGGCUGAAUAGGUUCAAAAUUCAAAUGACAAACUAUUUAUCAAAAGAGACUUUCAUUACCUCGUUAUGUAUGGAUAUACUACAUAUAAUUCCCCUGUUCCUUCUGAUGGUUAAUAACCAAAAAUGAUUGAAAGGUUGAUUGAAGCUGACAAGAAUCCACCAACCACACUCUCAUAAUUUAAUUUCAGGCAUCUAUCUAUUGAUUUCGAAAUUCGAAAGAGAAGCAUCGAGCAAUGAUUAACACGGACACGUACAAGUUUAACGGGUUAUCAUUCUUGGAGAGAUUAGAAAAACAGGAGAAAUAGGUAGUAAACUAUACCGUUUAUAGUUUAGUCUACAAGUGCAGAACAAAAGUUAAAGAUAAACAUUUCAAUUGAAGACCGCUUGCAAUGGUUGGAGGGUGGAUCUCAAGUUCCCUGCAAAUUGAUCAUGCAUAUAUAGCUGUAAAUGUCCAUUACAGUAAUGAUUAUCUAUCUCUAUCAAUUAGUCAACUAGAAAUAUGACAAGGUUGUAUUAUAUACAACAUUAGACUUGCGAAUCAGCAGUGCAGCUGCGCGAGAAGGGUGAAGUGGUGGUUGCCGAUACUACUCUCAAGUGGUUGGGAUCUGUUCACCUCCGGAAAGGAGUUCUUCAACCCCAUUUUGAGGUAAUGGUUCUAAAGCUGGCUGUACUAUUUUAAUCUCCAGAACUUCAAGAAGUGUCCAGCAUUAACAUUAGUAUGUGCGUGAUUAUGACAUUCCAACCUUAGUCAUAAAUAAGUAAAAGUCUUCAAUUUAUUCAAAUUUCAUCACGAAGCAAUUGAUGAAGAGAUUUAAAGUGUGAAGUUUACGUGAGACAUAGGUCGUGAAAGAAGCAUUGCUGAAAACGAUCGAAGAGGGCGUGGGAGAAAAAUGGAGCGAGGAAAUGAAGAAUGCAUGGGGAGAAGCCUAUGAUCACUUGGCAGCAGCAAUUAUGGGUGAGAUGCAGGUUGAGGCUGCUGCUUCAUCAAAGCCCAUUGCAUAACUGCCAAAGCAAAAUCUACUGCAAGAAUCCGUGUGAAGCUUCAUCUGUGUAUGGUAACUCCUAUGUGUAGGCGCGGCUUCUGUGACAGUGCUCAUUGCUCAAUAAACGCAUGCAUGCGUUAUUGUAAAAAUUGGCAUGUCGAUUUAAUAUAUAUAUAUACAUAUAUCAAAAUGGAAAGACUACUGGUAGAGGUUUGGCCAUUAUAUACAUUAGGGAACAAGGUACAGUCUACAUUUGUUCGAUUCUUAAAAUUUGUACGAAGGUGAAACAAAUAAAACUAACAUAAUUUUUAUGCCACUGCAAAAGAAAGAACUAAAAAGCACUACAACAAGGAAAAUUUCCAAAAUCAACUCCAUUUAUUUGAACUUGUUUUUUGUAAACAUGUUUUUACAUAAUUUAGAAAACAUGUUUUACUGUCACUCUUUAACGCACAGAAUCAUGACCAUUAGCUGAUUAAUUAAUUAAUUGGUGACAUCGACAGGAUGUUGCAUUGCAAGCUCUUCCAGCUAAGUCAUUUCUUCUUCUUCUUUUUUUUAAUUAUACGAGCCGUGUCACUUCAAAAUUUAAAAAUUCAUACAAUCAAAAUUCACCAACACAAUAUCAUUUCCGUAAUGGACAUGUUUUAUUAAUUGGCUGCCAAGUGCCAAGUUGUGGCCAAGCCAAGAAAUGAAUUGACACCUAUAAUGGUAAACUCAAUCAGUCUUGAACAUUAGUCUAAAAGAACUUUAGUUGGUCAUUUUGUUAAAGAAAAAAGAAGAUAAAUUUCCGGUUUUCAGAUGAUAAGAAAUAAAAAAAAAUAUGAAACGCAAAAGUUUCGGGGUUUCGAUUAGCCACUACAAUCAAAGAUGCAUACACGGUCAAACUUUUCAAAAAGUUUUGUCACCCACUUCUAUUAACUAAAUAGGGUCCGUUGAGUAAGCAUAAUUUACAAAAAAAAUAUUAUUCAACUCACAUCAUAAACAUAAUUUUCAAACACCUUUUUAGCAGAUAUAUAUUAAAUUACAAAAAUAUUACAGUGUUAUUCGAAACAAUUUUUUCAAAUAAUCUCCUAUCCAAUCUACCAUCAUUUUCAUCGGCAUCUCGUCACUUUAUUAUUAUUAUCCAAUCAUGUAUCGUUAUAAGUUACUUAAAAGUGAUUAAAACUAGUCCUUUAGUGCGUGCAAUAGAAUUGAUUGGAGAAAAAGAAGCAUAAUAUGCAAGUCAGGAGUUAUCCAGCUAGUACCUUAUAUUAACGAAUCUCUCAAACUAAUGUGUGACGAAUAACUUCUAUUCAUGAAUUUAACAAUCUUUCCUUUUAUGAGUAACUCCUCAAUCUAAAUUCACAGACUCUUCCUUGAACCACCUUAAUUAAAGAUUCAAGAGUGUCUCUUUUACAACUCAUGGAUUCCCUUUCUUCAAUAUCUCUAAAAGAAUUAUGGACCUCUGUUAAACUCUUGGCUUCUUGACAUAGCCCUCAUGACCCCUGCCAGACUUUUGGUACUUUUUAGUCCAACACUAAAAAACAUGGAACAAUUUAUUGGUCCAUCAUUGCCAAAAAAAAGCUACUUGCCAAAGAGUAGUUUAAGCUCAUAACCAAAAGUUCUAAUUAUCACUUGUGAGGAAAAAACCUAAAAGAGCAAAUAAAAGAGGUUCAAUAUAUAAAUCAGGCAAUCACACUUGACUCAAAAGAUUAAACUAGUUAUUACGUUCUAAUUCCUUAGCAAGGUUUUGAAACCUAAAUCGUUUAUUGAACUUGAAAAGCUAUUAGGUUAAGGGUUACUAGUUCAACAGUUGAGUUAACCGUUAUCCAACUAUUAUCAAUCUGUGAUAUCAUAAAUAAAUAAAUAAUUAAUAAUUAAUAUAGUAGUGUUAAGUUAUUAGGACAAGGGUUACUGGUUCCAAUGGUUGAGCUAAUCGUUAUCAAGCAAGAAUCAAUUCGUGAUAUCAUAAAUAAAUAAAUAAUGCAAUUACUCCCUCUGUCCCAAUAAAUUUAACGCACUUUGGAGACUGUGUUUUUUUUUUUUUUUUAUCAACAGUUACCUAAUCUUGUUUGGUUUCCUUUCAUAUCCCUAUUCGUAGCUAGUUUAUGGUGAAAGAAUGAAUGCAACUAUGAACCCUUAAUUGCUUUGGUAAAAUUAAUAACCAUUUGAAGUGUAUGGAGUUUCACUCUCCAAAUUUAUCAUAGUUUCGUGCAAAGGAUGCUAUGCUAUUGGAGCAAUUUUGAUAAAGAUGAGAUGUAUCUUUUGAAACUCACAAUAAUUGUUAAAACCGCUUCAGAGUGAACAAAUUUAUUGAUCCAUUUUUAGUAAGAAACAUAAUUUUGGUACGGAUAAAAAGGAAAAUAUCAUAUUUUCAAUCACGCGUCGGGCCCGGGCCGCAGAGGAUUAGUCGGAUCUCGUAAGGAUUGACCCGGACACCCCUGUGUCGACAAAAAAAAAAAAAAAAAAAUCACGCGAAGGACUAAUAUACUAUCUAUAUCUUAUCUGCAACAUCUAUUUCCUCAGAAGGGCUGGCGGGGCCAAUUGAAUGCCAUUUAAUGGAAACAGAAAGUCUACUGGCGUUAAGAGGCUAACGUUCCGUCAACUUUGAUGUUCGGACCCUUAGCGCAUGUGCAGGUAAUUAUGUUAUGGACCAGAAACCAGAGAAGCCAGAACUAAUGCGGAAAUCAGAAGGAACAAGCUUGAAUGAAUAAAAUCAGUUAAUGAAGAAUCAAUGAAUUAGUGAACGAAUGAACUUCAACUUUCAUUAAUUGAAUCUGGAAAACCAAUUACAAGAACAGAAAUAAUGGAUUUAGCCAAGAAGGGGAAAGAUUGAAGGAAUUGAAAAAGAAAAGAGAGGGAAAUUGGCAGAGCCAAUUUCUGUUUACAAACAAUGGAAAUAAUAUGACAAAAAUCUGUCUAACUCUCGGAUUCUUCAGCCUUUUAUGGCACUUCCAGACUAACUAACUUCUAAACUAGCUAAUCAGGUGAGGCCACGUGGAAGUUCUGGAAUCAUCAGCUCCACUUGUGCCAAACAGAAGCAUAAGUCUGUUAUAACAGAUAGAAGGCGUGAUUUGUAAGUCACGCCUUACUUCCUCAAGUUGCGUGGCUGCGCCUUUCACACAAACUGGAACACGCCUCUCUCCUUCUUCCAGCUGGAACACGCCUUUCCUGUAUUCUAGAUCACGACUUCUGUAUUUUUCCUCAUACUCCAUGACAGAGCCUCCCCCUUUAAGAAUCUUGUCCUCAAGAUUGGAAAUGAGGGAAUUGCCUCCUAAUUUCGUCUGCAAAUUCCCAUGUUGCCUCUGCUGGAUCUGUUCCCCACCAAUGUACCAGCCAUUGAACAGCAGCUGCAUUCUUCCUCUUGACUGUUCUUCGUUCUAGCACUGCAACUGGUUCGAUCCUUAAGUACCCCCUUCCAUCUGUUUCGGGCAGUUGUAAGACAGGUGUGGUCUGUUCCCCAACCUUUUUCUUCAGCAGAGAGACAUGGAAAACAGGAUGAAUCUUGGAAUCUGCUGGUAAUCUGAGCUUGUAUGCAACCUCCCCCAUUCUUCCUAUUAUUUCAUAUGGUCCAUAGUAACGUGCUGAUAACUUAGUGUUCCCUCGCAUGGCUACUGAACUCUGCCUGUAAGGCUGUAACCUCAGGUACACCCAAUCACCUACAUCAAACCUUCUUUCACUCCUGCUUUCAUCUGCGUACUUUUUCAUCCUCUCCUGAGCUAGCUUGAGGUUCUGCUGCAGUAUGAUGUCAACCUUGUGUCUCUCCCUUAAGUAGUCCCCAACAACAGCUACCUUGGCCUGAGUAUAUGGCCCUAUAGCUAAUUGGGGGGGUGCCUGCCCAUAAAGAGCCUCAAAAGGGGUCAUUUGGAUGGCUGUGUGGUAGCUAGUGUUGUACCACCAUUCAGCCAUAGUCAGCCAAUGAUUCCACUUUUUUGGUUCCAAAUGUGAAAAACACCUGAGGUACAUUUCUAAUACCUGAUUGACCCUUUCAGUCUGGCCAUCAGACUGAGGAUGGUAGGCGGUACUGAGGUCCAGUGUAGCUCCCAGGAAUGUAAACAGUUCUCCCCAGAACUGACUGGUGAAGACCCUGUCUCUGUCUGAUAGCAUACUCUGAGGUACUCCAUGCAACUUGACCACUCCAUCUAGAAAAAUCCUGGCGAUCCUUGGGGCAUCAUAAGGAUGUGAGGUGCUCAGAAAGUGAGCAUACUUAGUGUACCUGUCUACUACUACCAUGAUAGUAUCCUUUCCUUCAGAGUUAGGUAAUCCUUCAAUGAAAUCCAUAGUGAUGUGGCUCCAGGGGUACUGUGGAAUUGGCAGGGGUUGUAGGAGCCCUGGAUAGGAUACAUGCUCAUCCUUACACUUCCUACAGAUAUCACAUUUUAGGAUUGCUGUUUUGAUGUCUCUGUGCAUACCUGGCCAAUAGAACAACUGCUUGGCUCUCAUGAAACUGGCCUGAAUCCCAGAAUGCCCCCCCAAUUGGGAGUCAUGUAAGGUGUUGAUCAGCUUUUUCCUUAUCUCCCCUCCUGAUCCCACUACUACCCUUCCUUUAAACUUCAGUAUACCAUUCUGAUAGCUGUGAUUGGCAAUCAGGUCUGGUUUAAGUAGAACUUCCCUGAUGAUAUUCUGUGCCCAGUCAUCUCCUUGGUAGCUACUAAUCACCUCCUUGAUCCAUUCUGGUACUAUAGUGGUUAUUGCAGUGCACUCCAAGCCUGAGUUUCCCCUCCUGGAAAGGCCAUCAGCUACCACGUUCUCCUUUCCCUUCCUGUAGUGGAUCUCAUAACUCAUCCCCAUGAGCUUAGUUAACCACUUCUGCUGCAGGGGUGUGGUGAUCCGUUGUUCCAGCAAGUACUUUAAACUCUGAUGAUCAGUGUUGAUGAUGAAGUGUUGGCCCUCCAAGUAAUGUCUCCAUUUUGAGACUGCUGUAACUAAAGCUAGUAGCUCCUUUUCAUAAAUAGAUAGCCCCAUAUUCCUAGGCCCCAAACCUUGACUGAUAUAGGCUAAAGGUCUUCUGUUCUGCAUUAAUACUGCCCCUAUCCCACUGUAACAGGCGUCAGUUUCUACUACAAAUGGUUGGUUGAAGUCAGGUAGAGCCAGGACAGGUGUGUCACACAUGGCCCUUUUGAGCUUCUGAAAUGCCUCAUCUGCUUCUGGUCCCCAAUGGAAGCUGUCCUUCUUCAGUAGUGCAGUCAAUGGUUUAGCUAUACCACCAUAUCCCCUAACAAAUCUCCUAUAGUACCCUGUCAGGCCUAGGAACCCUCUCAGCUGUUUCACAUUUCCUGGUGUAGGCCAAUUCACCAUACCUUCAAUCUUCUCAGGGUCAGCUUUUACUCCUUCAGCAGAUAUGAUGUGUCCCAGGUACUCCACCUGUUUUUGGCCAAAGGCACAUUUGCUCCUUUUGGCAUACAGUUGGUGUUUCCUGAGGAUGUCUAGGACUUCUGUAACAUGCUUCAAAUGUUCCUGCAAACUUGAGCUAUAUAUCAAGAUAUCAUCAAAGAAUACAAGCACAAAUUUCCUUAGCUGCUUUUGAAAGACAUGGUUCAUCAGACUCUGGAAAGUAGCAGGGGCAUUGGUGAGCCCAAAUGGCAUCACCUUGAACUCGUAGAGCCCCUGAUGAGUUCUAAAUGCAGUCUUGGGAAUGUCUGCUGCCUUCACCCUGAUCUGGAAGUAGCCUGCCCUCAAAUCUAUCUUGGUGAAAUAUUUGGAACCUGUCAACUCAUCCAAAAGUUCAUCAAUAAGGGGUAUAGGGUAUUUAUUUUUGACUGUCAGCUCAUUUAAUUGCCUAUAAUCAACACAGAAUCUCCAGGUGCCAUCCUUCUUUUUUACCAGAAGUACAGGGGAUGCAAAGGGGCUAUUACUGUGCUGAAUGAUACCAUUUCCCAACAUUUCUUGCACCAGCUUCUCAAUCUCAGUCUUUUGAAUAUAGGGACACCUGUAUGGUCUGAUCUGGAAAGGUUUAGACCCCUCUUUAAGGGUAAUGGAAUGAUCAUGACCCCUCUCAGGGGGCAGCCCUUGAGGUUCUUUGAAUACCUCCUCAAAAUCCUGCAGUACCUUUUCCACCUCUGGGGGUGUAGUAGCAUUGGCCUGUACCUCCUCCUGGACUGCACUGAGUUGAGCCAUAAUUCCAUAGGCCUGUUUCCUGGCCCACUUAUGUAGUCUACUCCCUUUGAUCAACCUUAGCUGCACCUGAUCCCUCUCCCCUUUCAGUUCCACCUGCUGUUUCCCUUUCCUGAACUUCACACUAAGCCCCUUGAAGUCAAACUCCAUAGGACUGAAUCUGGCCAGCCAGUCUACACCCAGCACCAUAUCACAUCCUCCUAGCUUCAGUGUAUUGAACUGGUGCUGGAAUUCAUAGCCUUGCAUUUUCCACACUACAGGUUUAGCUAGGCUGUUGGACUGUACCUUUUCCCCAUUAGCUACCUUAACAACUAGGGGUGGACCACUACUAACCAGUUUCAGAUUGCUAGCUAGUUGUGCAUCCAGGAAACAGUGAGUGCUACCACUGUCAAUAAGUGCAGUGAUAGUUCUCCCUUUUACUAACCCCUUCAAUUUAAUAGUUUGGUGUUCACUACCUCCUGCUAGAGCAUUGAUGGAGAUUUCCAUAUGUUCAUCCCCAAUUUUGCUUUCAAUGCAAUCACAGAAAACUUCAGGUUCAGUCUCUCUUCCUUCCUCACUAGCUACCUGUUUCUCAUUGUCAUCAUGUACUAGCAGAAGAUGGAUGUGGGAUUGUUUACAAGUAUGGCCAAGUGUGUAAGGUUCAGCACAUUUAUAACAUAGUCCUUUCUCCCUCCUGAGAUUGAACUCACUAGGGGUGAUCUUUUUGAACUGGUUAGUGUUGCUGUUUGGGGUUCUGUAGGUGUCUGUGGGGUUUUUAUCUGAGGAUCUGGAUGGGGUGGGGUUCCAUUUGUUAUGGCUCUGUGGGUGGAAAGGGGUUCUGUGUGUCUGGGGGCUGUUAGGUAGGGGUUUGUGAAACUUUUGCAUAGCUUUCAGGUUCUUUUCUUGUAGCUUGGCUGCUUCUAUUGCAUCUGACAGGGUUGCAGGUUUGGCCAUUUUAACCAUAUUGACUAUUUCUUCCUUUAGACCACUUAGGAAACAUGCUUUAUAGUAGGAAUCUGCCAAAUGAGGGAGGGAAGGCAUUACCAGUGCUUUGAGUAGCUCGAACUUUUCCAGGUAGUCUGCUAUGGAUCCUUCCUGCCUAAGCUUGUUGAAUUCUUCAAUAGCUUCUUCUGGUGUACCCUCCCCAAACCUUUUACACAAAGCAGUAGCCAGUUCUGUCCAUGGAAUGGUUCCCCUGCCACUGAAUACUCCAUGGAACCAGGUAUCAGCUCUGUCCCUCAGGUAUAGCUCAGCAAUCUCAGAUUUCAUGUUCUCCUCCACUCCAUUGAUCUUGAAGAACUUAUUAGCCUUACGGAUCCAUUCCCUGGGAUUAUCUCCUGUGAAGUUAGGUAACUCCACUUUAGGCAUUCUGGAGUAGGUUCUGGUCUCCCUCCAAUCUGAUCUGUCAUAGCCUUCCUCCUGUGUUCCUUCCUUCUUAGGUCCUUCAAUGGAGCUACUACUUUCUGCCUCCUUGUUCUUGUCAUUGAAUUUUGCCAUCAUCUGAGCCAUCAUAGCCAUCAUACUUUCAUAUUUUUGGUCUAGAUUUUUGAGAGUCUUCUCUGUGCUUUCUUGCCUAUGUCCCAACACCUUGACCACACUGCCUAGCUCAGAGAUAUCUUUUUUUAACACCUCCUCCUGAGAUUUUGUCAUCCCAAUGGCUCGUAGCUAAGCUCUGAUACCACUGUUAUGGACCAGAAACCAGAGAAGCCAGAACUAAUGCGGAAAUCAGAAGGAACAAGCUUGAAUGAAUAAAAUCAGUUAAUGAAGAAUCAAUGAAUUAGUGAACGAAUGAACUUCAACUUUCAUUAAUUGAAUCUGGAAAACCAAUUACAAGAACAGAAAUAAUGGAUUUAGCCAAGAAGGGGAAAGAUUGAAGGAAUUGAAAAAGAAAAGAGAGGGAAAUUGGCAGAGCCAAUUUCUGUUUACAAACAAUGGAAAUAAUAUGACAAAAAUCUGUCUAACUCUCGGAUUCUUCAGCCUUUUAUGGCACUUCCAGACUAACUAACUUCUAAACUAGCUAAUCAGGUGAGGCCACGUGGAAGUUCUGGAAUCAUCAGCUCCACUUGUGCCAAACAGAAGCAUAAUUCUGUUAUAACAGAUAGAAGGCGUGAUUUGUAAGUCACGCCUUACUUCCUCAAGUUGCGUGGCUGCGCCUUUCACACAAACUGGAACACGCCUCUCUCCUUCUUCCAGCUGGAACACGCCUUUCCUGUAUUCUAGAUCACGACUUCUGUAUUUUUCCUCAUACUCCAUGACAAAUUAACUCCAACCUUCAAAAUAGACCAGUUCACCAUUUUUUUUCUCUCUUCCUCAGGUAAGUCGAGACCAGUUCACUGAUUAAACUGAUGAAGGUGGCUUUUUGACACUGGCGAGUUAGAGAUCUGUAGCAGCCCGAAAAGUGUUAAACGAAGGUUCAGAAACAGGAACACCCAACUGGGAGGAAAUUAUCGUGCUUUGCACGGUGGAUAGCUGCAAGAUAAAUUGCUAAAAAUAUUUCAUCCAAUUGUUUUUUUUUUUUUUUUAAAUGAUGCCCUACGUUGUUGUCAACUGUCAAUUAUCACAUAUGGUUUUAUGGCUAACCCUGUUUAACUUUCUGAAGAUUACAUUUAAACCCCCCGUAUUGCCCAAAAGGCCAAUAUAAAGCUGGGAAGGGUGGGGCUAGCUAUUUAGCAAUCAGCUCAGAAAAUUAAGGAGCAAGAAUGGUGUUGAGCUAGAAGCAAGAAGCUCUGGUGAAGGAGUCGUGGGAGCUGCUGAAACAAGAUAUUCCUCUACAUGGUUUUCGUAUAUCUACAUCGUAAGUUUGCACCACCAGUUUCCGACCAAUUCGUUUGCUUUGCAGAAUUUAAACUUUCUACACACACACACACACAGAGACAGAGAUAUGGAGUAGUACAGAAGAGGUUGCUUGUAUCUACGUCUAGCUCUGUGUAGUUAAGAAAAUGGUUGAACGAGUUUGAAUCGAAUUGAGCACCUGAAACAUUUGCAAACUGAAAAUAGCUUAUUUAAAUCAUUAGCACUAUCUAAAAUCACUAUUUUAGGCUCGUGAUAGCUGAAUAUUGUGUCUCUUUCUUCCUUGAAUAAUUUCUUUUCUCUUGCCAAUUUCACGGUUAAUAUCUUGUUGCUACAUGGUUAAGGAUCCUGGAGAAAGCACCAGAGGCAAAGAACAUGUUCUCAUAUCUAAGGGACACCGAUGAUCCACAGAACAAUCCCAAGAUCUGGGCACAUGCUGCCAAGGUUUUCAAGAUGGUGUGUUGGCUCAAUUCAUUUUCUGUUGUCAUUUUCGUAAAUUUUGCCCGACUUUGCGAAAUGGCUAAAUAGAUAUUACCAUAAACAAUAAUAAUAAAUUUAUGUUGUCAUUUCUUGUCUUCCACCAUCCCUAUAAACAACGAGUGUUCAAUUGUUCAUCAACCUGGCGUAUGCUACUACCACAACAGGAAAGGUCGUUUUUAAACUGAAAAAAAUAAACAUUGGGUCGUGUCUAUCUUCCAUGAUUUGUUGGUAUUCUAUUUUUAUACUUCAUCAAUUUUAAAAGCACCAUAACUUUAAUACUUUUGGCUCUGAAUCUUCUUCUUUGUUACUAGUAUUUUUUUUUCUCUGAAGAGCUAUACCCUUUAACAAUUUUUUUCAUUAUCUCGUUGAUGAUGGUCUCCACUUUUUCCUCUACAGGUAUGAUGGACUAUAUGGGUGCGCAAUGCACUUAUAUGAUCCGAUGGUGAUUCAGUUCGAUCAAUUUUCUGUGGUUCUGUUGGAUUAUCCUCUAGAAUAGGAGUAGAUAGAUGAUGACAAUUGAUAAAAAAAAAAAAAAGAGUAUGAUGGACUAUAUUGUUUAUUCUCCUAUUGUGAACUGUUGAUCCAAAUCUGACAAAGACCACCAAUUACACUCAUGCAUAAUUAUAUUUCAGGCAUCUCUAUCUAUCGAUAUUAAAAUUCAAAAGAGAAGCAUUAAGCAAUGAUUAACAUGGACAUGUACAAAUUUAACGGGUUGUCAUUCUUGGGGAGAUUAGAAAACCAGUAAAGCAAUACGAGUAAUUAUUGUUUAUGGUUUAGUUUACAUGUGGAUACCAAAAUUAAUUGGUGAAGAUAUUCCACGUACUUGAAAGCACUUGCAGUGCUUGGAAGCUAGAUCUCAAGAUCCUGCAAAUUGUUGGGAUCUGACAAGGUUGUAUUGUACACGAGAUCAGAUUUGCGAAUCAGUAGUGCAGCUGCGUGAGAAGGGCAAAGUGGUGUUUGCCGAUACUACUGUCAAGUGGUUGGGAUCUGUUCAUCUCCAAAAGGGAGUUCUUAGAUUCCAUUUUGAGGUACCACUAGUUCUAAAGCUCUGUCCUAAUAGUGGUGUCUCUUGAAUUUUGAUGGAGUGUAACUGAUAGAUAUAUUAUAUGCUAAUGUGGAAAUACAAAAUCCAUUCUUGAUCAUAAUUUAACAAGCAAACAUGUAGGAAUCACUUCAUUCAAAGUUUUUAUUACGAAGCAAUUAAUAAAGAAAGUAAUAAAUUUGUCAAUUUUACUUGAGACAUAGGUUGUGAAAGAAGCAUUCCUGGAAACAAUCCAAGAGGGCGUGGGAGAAAACUGGAGCGAGGAAAUGAGGAAUGCCUUGGCAGCAGCAAUUCAAGGUGAGAUGCAGGCAGAGGUUCGUUAACGUCCAGAUGUAAAAUCUAUGCAAUGACCAGAAAUGACCAGAAAUGCUAUGUAAAAUCUCGCAAGGGUUUGAGUUGAAAAUAAAGUCAGUGAACUUGACCCUAACAAAGUAAGAUUUCCUCAUCUAGCAUAAUACCUAAGGCAAAAGAGUUAAUCUUAGAGAUUAUAUGAUUCUUAUCACUUCUAACUAAACAAAAGGAGCACAUUUGAAACACCACUCUUAAUUGAAGAAUAUCUUCCAUCAAAAUCUGUUGUUGGCAAGAGUGUGGUAUCUGUUUAGUUAAAAUUAUUGCAUGAAGUAAAUUUGUAUUUGUUGAUUUGAGUUGCAAAUUUUGAUUGUUUUAUAAGCAAAUUAUGCAUUUUUUCUGGGUUUAUUGUUUAUUGUUUAAAUAAAAUUUUUGGAUAUUUUAAAAAAAUAUUAUGGUUGUUAUCUAAUUGUAAUUUUUUUACCAUCUUUUUCUUAUAAGAGUUAUUAUUUUAGUUUUUCUUUCAUGCUUUUUGUUAAUUUCGUCCUGAGCCUUUGUGUUUUUUCUGGAGCAAAUAGUUGUAUGUCAGUAUGGCCAUUAUCUUUUUGCUAUUUUUGCUUGCGAAAUGUUGGCAAAAGACAAAUUUGAAUUGCUCUUGGAAACUUCGUUUUUGAGUGAACAAAUAGCUCAAGGACAGAAUUUAAACCUUCCAACGCAAACCAAAGGAAGUUUACAAUGAAAAAAGUAAUAGACAUGUCCAAAAAGGCACCAAAUAGCUGAUCAACAAAACAAUAUAACAGGCAAAACUUAAGACAGUGACUUAAAGCUUAGAGAUAAGUAAAAAUAAGAUAAAAACAAAAGAAGAAGCAACAGGCAAGAAACCAAACAGCAACAAAGAUUGAAUGUAAUGUACACGCUAUGUAUAAUAUAUAGUGAUGUACAUACUAAAGAUGCAUAAAGAAAACAAAAGAAAGGCGGGAAGAAAAAGUGGAAAACCUGAAGAAGCAGAUUGAAGUUAAAAAACCAAUGCAGAUGAAGAGAAAAGAGCAAAUGUCUUCUGGCGCUCUUUUUUCCCCCGCCGCAGUAAAACCGAAACCAAAUAUUAGGGUUGAGUGAUAAGCAAAUCCCUAAUUGGUCCGUGGAACUUGAACCUGGAGAUUGGGCUUUUCCUUUGCCAAUGGGUUGGGAGUUGCCGAAUGGCAGUAUUGGGUAGAUUUAAGCUCAAGCCGAGGUCCACGCGGGUACCAUUUCAAUGUGCGACUUCUUUGACGUUGUUCUAAUCCCUCCUCUUCUUUGUUACUAACACUUGAAUGAAGGCCCUACCAGGACUCAAAUAAGGAACUUGCAAAAAAAAGGACUCAAAUAAGGAGGACUCAUGGACAGCUCGGUUGGUCUCAACAAGCCUCCUUAAGAGCUGGUGUUCAGUGUCCGCAAAGGUUCGAAUCCAGUGAUUAUCGUGUUCAGGAGGAUGGGGCCUCUCCUCCAGGGUCGGAAUGGGAUUAGUCGGUCCCCGUAAGAAUUGACCCGAACACCUACUCCGUAAUAAAAAAAAAAAUGAGGAUGUAGUGAAAAGGGUGCCGUAUCGGUUCUAAUCUAGCACUACCGACAUACAUUACGAAAUAUAGCCAACGACUGAUUGCGCGCAGAACUUGAAUGCAAAUUUAUGCACAGAAUCAUGACUAAACUAGGGCUUGUUCUCGGUUGUUUUAAAUUUUACAAAAUCUGAUUAUAGAGAAUAAUCAGAAUUAGCAAAAAAUACUCUUUAAAUGAUUAUAGUUUUUAGCUUUUAUUGAUUUAAAAAAUCGAUAAUCAAAAUGCAAAAAAAUUGAGAACAUCAUAAAAAUUGAUUAUCUAAAAUCAGUAUCUGUCAUCAACCGAGGACAAGCCCUUAUUCAAUUACUUGGUGACGUAGAUAGUACUCAUAUUAAUUGGCAGUUUGCAAGGUCUUCCAGCUAAGUUAUUGCGAUCCUAUAGUCAUAUAAUCUUUUUUUAAAAAAAAAAAAAAAUUUUUUUGCUGCAAUGAAAAUUCACCAGCAUAUGUGAUGAUAUAUAUCUUUGUGAAAGCCCCAAUGGGCCACCAAGCCAAGGAACGAAAGAUCUUAAUUGAAGUGGGGAAUGGGAGUGGACGCGGAAUGGUAAAAAAAAAAAAAUUGCUGCAAUGAAAAUUCACCAGCGUAUGUGAUGAUAUAUAUCUUUGUGAAAGAACCCCAAUGGCCACCAAACCAAGGAAGUUAGGGCUGCAAACGAACCGAGCGGUUUGGCUCGCGAGCGCCUCGAGUCAAGUUCAAGCUGACUCGAGCUCAAAAUGUUAAAUAUUAAGCUCGUUAGGCUCGCGAGCUCGAGUAUAUAUAUAUAUAUAUUAUUUUAAUAGUAAAAUUACAUAUAUCCUUAAUAUUUUAUUAUUUAUUAAGAAAAAAAUAUUAUUUUAUUUAUUUUUUAUUUUUCCGAGCUCGACCUCGAGUUCGGCUCGAAUCGAGUCAAACUCGAGCUCGAGUUUUAAAUUGUUAGCUCGUCGAGUUCGAGUUCGACUUCGAGUUCAACAAAAAUAAGUCAAGACUCGACUCGAUUAGGUCAAAAUUCGACUCAACUCGACUCGUUUACAGCCCUACAAGGAACGAAAGAUUUUAAUUGAAGUGGGGAAUGGGAGUGGACGCGGAAUGGUAAACAGACUUAAUCUUGGACGCUCAUCUAAAAGAACUUCAGGGGGUCAUUUUGUAAACCACAAGAGCAAAUAAACACUCCAAUUUUCAACUGAUAAUAAGAUACAAAGCAAAUUUGAAGCAGGGAUUGGAUUAGCCACUACAACCGAAGGCGCCUACACGGUGAAAUCGAUUUGUACCUUAGAUCUGCACGGUGAAAUUAUAAUUCGUUUUCUGAAACUCUGCAUAGUAUAUAUUGGCUUUUUCUUUUUUAGCUUUCAUACUCGAGAGAAUGAUAUUGACAAAAUACGGACGAAACUAAUUUAUGUACCUUGGAUUGGCGCAGCAACUACCGUGAAAUGGCGAGCCAGCGGCCAAGGAGUAGGCCCAAGCAAGGUGGUCGCGCGACUGGACUACCAUACAUUUACAUUAUUAUAAAUAAAUAAAGAAGUCCGUAUUGUCUCUAGUUUGAUUCAACUUUAAGACUUUGAAUCUUCAAACUGUCCAAGGCUGAAUUACUGAAUUACGGAAAUUCAGGCUUCAGAGUUUCAGUGUGGACGUAUUCAGUAAAUAAAUUUCUGUAUAUAUAUAUAUAUGGCCACCACCAAAGUAUUUAAUGAUAGGUGACAUGAGAGGUCAAGGAUUCAAACAUUAUUUCUUAUCAUUUGCCAAUAAAAUGUGACAUAAAAUGUGACAGGUCACUUUAAGUGGCUUUUAGACGAGUGCGUAGUGCAUUCGUUUGGGUCGAUAGAUGGUUCAAUCUCCUUCGAUUUUCUUUUGAUCCUAUGCAGGUCCCCCUUUUCAUAGUAUAGAAUAAGUGUAGAUCUAUCGCCGUGUCCGACAAAAAAAAAAAAAAAUCAGAGAUUGGCAUUCAUGCAUGCAUGUCCAAGUCCAUGAGGUCAUUCAUGAUUCAACAACCCAUAUGCAAUUGACCAUUACCAAAGGGCGGGGAUGAGCAAGGGAACCCAUUUGGUCAAGGUAGGUAGCCACCAUAAGCCCACACAAAUCUAAUCAAUCCAACAAGAAUUAGUCAUUACUCGUUACUAAUUAUGGUCUAGAAGCUAUCCUGAUGAUCUUCACAGUUUGGCCAGUGGCCUGUGGCAUUUGCUGCAUAAGAUGUUACGUGCACGUCGAUUGCUAGGCUGGGAGUGUCGAUUUCUUGCCAAAAGUUGCUGAUCAGGACCAUUAAUAAUGCACAAUUCUAUUUGCUCAAGCAACCUUCGGUGCAUGUUACAGCGAUUAGUUAAAUAAAAAAUUGAUGGACAUAUCAGCAUAAAAAUAAAAAAACAACGUCAUUUGAUACAUAUCUCUUAUUGAAUUGCCAUUCCUAAAUGGUAAUCCAUCAAUUUUAAUGUGUGUGUGUUGCGUUCUACUUUUCUACAUUUGUCAUUAGUCAGUCAAACUUAAUAAAAAUAAAAGGAAUUAGGAUUAACAAUUAACUUGUCAUUUCAUAUAUUUGAACCCCACCAGAGCAUUUCUAAUAGCAGCAUGACGUAUUAAUUCAAAUAACUAGGUCUAGUAAAGUAGCUAUUAGUAAUUAUUUCAGGUAACUUAAGCACGAGUUUAAUUAAAUAUCAUUGAGUGUAUUUGGAUAUAUAGUAAAUUAUUUACACAAAUUUAUUUUUUAAUUAUUUUUUUAUCUCACAUAUCAUAUCAAAAAAGUAUUAUAGUAUCUGUUUUAAAAAAAUUAUCCCAAAUAAUUUCUUGUCCAAGCACACUCGUGACAAUUGGAUAAGGAUUAGGAAGCUUAGUGAGACAAAAUUGCUCACAGUUUUAAGUGGAUGUAAUUGUAGACCAUGCAAUGAAUGAAAGGCAAAGGACAAAGGAUUUUUCGGCUGGGACUUGGUUGCCAUUCCCUCCCGAAACCAAACCUAAUUAUAUGUAUAUAAUAAUAUGCUGCUAGUGCUAGAUACGUUCUGAAAAGAUGUUCUACAAUUGUGGCUGCUCGUUUCUAGUCAUAGAUUUUUACUCAAAAUUUUAUGUCCUUGUUGUAAUAGGCUCUUUGACUUGAGAGGAUCGGGGCCAUCAGGCAGGGUGGGACCCAUAUGCUGUCUCUCUAGAUGCUUAGAUUUGGCUGACGUGAACAUUUCGAAAUUAAUCACGUCCAUGUAUCCUAUAACCAAUAUUUUUAAACUCAAACUCCAGAGCGAACAAAAAAGCUUUUAAUUUACGGUUUGAUUGGUUCAAUUUCAGUUCAAAGAUUUAAGAAUUUUUAUUUUAGUAUGAAAAAUUUGAUAAAAUUGAAAUAUUUAUUUUAGAACAUAAAAAUUUAAUAAAACCCAUUUUUAUUGGCCCAACUAAUUCUUAACCAAUUCAAUUGAUUCUUUGGAUUAAUCAUUGAAUCGGGUCGAAAGCAUGAUCGGUUCGUGAUUCAAUCGAUCGAACUGACUGAUUCAUCUGAUUUUCAGAACAUCACCUAUAACUUGCUCACUAGAUUAGUCAGUCAUGACACAAUUACUAGAAGACUUUAUUUAUGAAUUUCAAAAUAAUACUAUUGUCCCUUUUGUGAUUGUCUCACAAGCAUAAUAGCAAAGAACAAAGGAAUAAUACGCUAGGUAGCUCACUACAAAAAAUUCCAAGUCGUUACAAUUAUUAGGUUUAAAUGCACCGAAAGUGCUUGUAUUACUCUGCUAGUCUAUUAUAACUAAGUGUACAUCUCGAUCUUUUCUAGAUCUUGUUUAAAAUUAAAAUUAGUUUCUUAACUUGAUUUACAAGUCUAAUUUUAGUUAUAUAUAUAUAUUUUCUAAUUUUAAAUAAUCCACGUGUCACAAGUAGAUUAAAUAGUAAUUUAUUUUGUUGGUGGUAUGAAUAACACGAUCGUCAAAAAGAAGGAAAAAACAAAAGGCUCAUAAUUUAUUACUAAAUGAGUGGCAGAUAGUGAGCUAGAUAUGUCGGUAGUUAAACAGGAAGCGCCAAUCUAAAUGUUUUUUUUUUUUUUUCCCAAAGAAGUUUGACAACCAAAAAGAGAAUGGGAAUCUCAGUCAAAAAAAGUCGAAAAUUUCUAUGGCAGUCAUUGAGUAACUUUAUAGAAAGUUCUAUAAAUUGUCCAAUAGUUAAUCACAUCUUGCCAUCUAAAUAAUCAAUAGUUCUUGCCGUCCGUCAAAUUUUAAUUAAAUUCUAUCACUUAUGCCCACAUGAGAUGAUUUUUAAGCAAAACUAACAGCUUAGUUCACACAAGCUCUACCCCUGUUGUGCAUUUUAAUCAAAUAGUUAAUAGACCCAAAAUUUUGUCAUUUCUUAUCUAUUAACAUUAACCCACGCUGAAAGCCAUUAUUAACGUAUACCCAAAUCCAGUACGAGAUUAAAUCAAUAUUAAAACAAAUAAUAGAUUAACUCAAGCGACAAUUUACUAACUUUCGUAAAAUCACAAGCCAAAUGUAUGCAUAGCUUUUGAUUAAUUGUUGCAUUCAUCUUCCAUUGUAGAUUACAUGCAUGGAGUAGAGAGCACUUUCCUUUUUUUCUUUUUUGGAAUUGAAACAGAUGGAGAAUUGUUUUUUUUUUUUUUGCCCUUUUUCCUUUUUCUUUUCUUUGUGCUUUGUAAAAAAAAAUUGUAAAAUACGAAAAUUUGAAUGAUUCUUAAUUGGAAUCAAGUAUUUCUUCUUGAAAUUAAGGACACAAAAAGUCCCUAUCCGAGUUGGUUUUUGACCUCUAGUAAACUAUACCACUUCUUUCAAUGAGUUCAAACUAGGAAAAAGAAAAUAUCGUGACUGCUGGUGAUAUUAUUGUAUCGGACGGCAAUGCGGUAGAGAGAGAAAGAGGAGGUGGUGAGGUUAAGUUUGUGCUUGAUCAAAUCCACAGUGAAACAUUAGAGCAAGAAUAUUGGUACAAAACAAAGUUAGUAAUCAGAUGUAUAUAACAAUAAUGAAAAGUGGCAGACCCUUUAAUAAUAUAUUUGAAGCUUUUUACUAUUCAAUGACCAACUAAAUGUUUAGACUUGUCAACUAAUUGAUCAUUGAUCACGGUAAAGUUUGACAAGAUGCAUUAGUCUUAAGUUUACAUGUGCAUAAUGUGAAAACUGAAAAUUCCAUAAACAUAAACUUAAUUAAUACUACUUCCUUUUCAAGUCUUAGUGGGAAAUAUAUUUUAUACAUAUAUAUACACACACACACACUCACACACACGGUUUAAAGUUUCAGUUUUAUGAAGUGUAUUUAACGUACGGCCUUCAAAUGAAUUAAAAAGGGUUUUAUAAGCUAAAUAUGUUUGAUGCUUGAUAACAUCUUUAAUUACAAGAUUACACGUUCGUUAAGAACGUCUCUCGGGUUUUUGCUUUGUUUAAUAAUUAGCCAAGACUAACAUUGCCAUAUGAGAUGAACUAGAUUUAUAUCAGCAGAUCAGUAGACCUACUUAAGAACGAAUAAAAUUCCGCUUGCUGGUGAAGAAUCUUCGGUCAAGAUAGGUAAACAGGGGGGAGCUGAAAAUUGAAAAUGUCCAGUUUGGGUCCACGUAGCAUGAAGAUACUUUUCUUUUCCAGGUGCCUUGUCCUCUCCGCGGUACGACUAAACCAGGUCAACGCAGGUUGUCGCUGCAUGGGAAGAAAGGAAGAAAUAUAGUAGAAUGGAACAAGUCCAAAAGACAUGCAGAUUCAGACAACGCAAAACCCUGUUUUAGUAAAACUUCAUACUGCUUCUCCCAUUGUUUUCCUUGCCUCUAUAUAUGAUACCCAAAUCCCUAUUCAUUUCUCAUCCCACUACAAUUACCAUUCUCUAGACCUAAGGUUUUCUUGGUCCACUUUCUCCUACGUCAAUUUUCUUGCAGUGCAGGGCCUGUAACUUCACCUUAAUGCUAUUGGAACCCUUUUUCAGACUAACAAAGUCUUUGAGAGCUUAAAGUCCUUCCAAAUACAUUCGCUUAUUGGUGGACGAAUCUUUUAUCAAACAAUGGCUCCUGGUUUAAGUCUUGCAGGUGAACUUCACAGGGACGAUGAGCAAUUAGAAAGCAGAUAUCAGAAAGGAGUUCAAUAUCUCUACGAAAAUAGUAAUGGCAUCAUGAACAGAGUUCCAACAAAGUACAUAUUGCCUAUCUCAGAAAGGCCGAAUUCGAGGACCGAAGAUCAUUGCAAUGCAAGAAGCACAAAUCUCAACUUGCCUGUUAUCGAUUGUGCUGAGCUACAAGGGCCCGAUAGAUCCCAAGUUAUUCAAUCCUUAGCAAAAGCUUGCGAGGAAUACGGAUUUUUUCAGGUAGCUUUUGGGGUUUGACGUUGGUUUCAGAAAACUAUGGCGUAAACUUAACAGUACUAAUGUUUUUGGUUAACGAUGCAGUUGGUAAACCAUGGGAUAUCAAGAGAAAUCAUACAGAAUAUGAUCGAUGCAGCAAGAAGAUUUUUCGAGCUUUCUUUUGAUGAGAGAGCAAAGUACAUGUCUUCAGAUAUGUUUGCACCAGUUCGAUAUGGCACAAGUUUCAAUCAAAACAAAGAUAAAGUUUUCUGCUGGAGAGAUUUCUUAAAACUAAGCUGCACUCCCAUCUCAAAUUCUCUCGAAUAUUGGCCAUCUUCUCCUAUAGAUUUCAGGUAUGCGUUCUUUGAUAAGUUAUUUUUGUGAAAUUUCGUACUGCUAAUGAACUAAGCUAGUCCAAUAUUCAAUAAAUACAUUGUGUAUUUCAUCAGUAAAUAAGACUUAUGCAGGGACCUUUUUCAUCAACUGAAACUCCUAAUUCCCUGUCUUUGAUGCUGAUCAGAUUCUACUGUUAUAUAUACUACAAGUACUAAAAAUUCUUAUCGUUUUCUGAUUGAAGGAAGGUAGCUCUUAACUACGCCAAUCAAACUAAAUCCUUGUACCUGAUGUUAAUGGGUGCAAUUCUUGAGAGCCUAGGGUUGUUGGAGGAACCCAUGGAAGAAGCGAAUGGCAAUCCAAUUCUGAAAGAAUUCGAAGAUGGAAGCCAACUCAUGGUGUUAAAUUGCUACCCUCCGUGUCCGGAACCUGACCUAACCCUUGGAAUGCCGGCUCAUUCUGAUUAUGGCUUGCUCACACUUCUUCUCCAAGACGAGGUUAAGGGACUUCAAAUAGAGCAUCAAGGAAACUGGCUCACGGUUGAACCCGUUCCAAACUCCUUUGUUGUUAAUGUUGGUGAUCAUUUGGAGGUCCGUUCAUCUUAAUUUUAACGUGAUCAAUUUUUUUUUCCAAGUUACGUUACCAUACAGCUUGUGGAUUCAUUUGUAUGUCUGCAUUCCGCAAGAAAAAAAAAUAUCCCUUUGAAUUAAGGGCAACAAAAGGAGGUCGCAAUGGGUUGGAGGAACCCCUUGGAGAUUUGAUCAAUUGACCUUUUUCUACUAAACUACAUAUAAUUAUACUUGUAGUUCUUCACAUGGGGAAAAAAGUGUAGCGUAUUAGCUAGCAAAGAUUUCUCUAAAUUCUAAGAAUGGAGAUAAUAUUAUUUAAUGAUAGUCCAGCAUUUUAAAGAAGAUGAGAAAGAAAAAGAAAAGGCACACUCCUCGUAUUACUGGAAUACAUGAAGAAGUUGACAUGGCCUCUACACCUAAUUAAGCCUUUUAUUUACACAGGAAAACCUAAACCAAAACGCCAUUCAGCAAAAAUAGACCCGAAAUGUUUUUAGUUCAUAAGCAAUAUCUUCUUUGGGUUUGCUUUUAACAUUUUAGCAAUGAUUUCAUGUAUUUUAGUCUCAAUUUCUUGCGAAUGAAGAUUAAAUCUUGGUCUGUUUUUGGUUUGAUUGGCAGAUAUUUAGCAACGGGAAAUACAAAAGCGUGCUGCAUAGGGUUCUUGUGAAUUCCUCGAACCAUCGAAUAUCUAUUGCCUCAUUGCACAGUCUGCCUUUCGAUUGUGUGGUUCGACCAUCGCCUAAGCUCAUAGAUGAAACCAACCCCAGGCGUUAUAAGGAUACAGAUUUCGCUACAUUUCUUGAAUACAUCUCAUCCCGUGAACCCAAGACCAAGAAUUUCCUGGAAUCCAGGAAAUUGAUGUGAUACUCAGAACAAUUUCCAAUUCUCUCCAUCACUCCAAGAAAGAAAAACAGACUAAAGUUUUGAAUGUAGCGCUUGUUACGUAUUAUACAUGUGCUCAAGAUGAGAAAUUUCUUUUAAUUCCUUUUUUGAAUUGUUUAAACAGCAACGUGCAUUGGUUCUGAACUUUUCUUUGUGAUGAAGGCAGGGGAAGAAAAUGAAGGAAACAUUUUCACGACUGAUAAAGUCACGGCACUAGCUAUAAACGCUCUUCAUUUUUAGUCUCGUGCACUUCCAAUCGUCACAUAACCGAUGACUUUUCCUUUUUUUUUUUUGUAGAACAAAUGAUUUUUUUAUUUGGCUUUUUGGUGGAGGAAAUUACUCGAGAAACCCAAGUCCUCCAAAUUGACUUGACUUCUCUUCAGUGGAUUCUCUCUCCAUUUUUCACAAAUCAUAUCUAAAUAUAUAACAUGUGUCUUCAUUUAUUAAUAAAUGUUAGGAUUAGUCAAAUUUAAAAUGAUAAUGUUCAUUUCUAAUAAAUGAAAAUACAUGUCACGUAUUCAGAUUUAUAUUGUGAAAAAUGGAGAGAGAAUCCACUAGAGAGAAGCCAAAUCCCCUCCAAGUCCCAUAUCGAUCAGAAAAGGAGGAAGAGGAUGUGUAUAUAAGUUUGAACUCAUGAACUAUCAAAUAACCUAGAUUAAGCAUUUGUGAAUUUUUUUUUUUUUUAAAUGAAAGGAUAUUUUAUUAAAACUGAGAUAAAACCUGAGUACACAAAAAGGAGGAGGGCCGCCACCUUACCUCCUGAACGAAAAGCGGUUAUAAUCGGUAUAACUUGGACUAGCGUAUUUUAAUUGUGACUAAAUGCUAUAUAGGACUAAGUAUCACAUUAUAAUGUGAGGCAGCUCCAAACUUGUUCAGGACUAAGUGCCUCAUCAGAUUUAGUAUGAGUAGUGGAUAAUUUGGACUACGAGAGGUUUUAAGAGUGCAAAGGUCAAGGUCUUAAAUAGGUGAACGAGAAUAAUUUGAAUUAAUCAUUUCAAACUCGUAAAUUCAAGGUGUGAUAGGUUAUUUGUGAAGCACAGAGCUAAUCGACUUACUUAUUGAUAAUAAAUCGUUAAAAAGUGGAAUGCUUGUCUCUAACUAUUUGCUUUCACCGACUGAUAGAGUUUCCGUAUUCUUUCUUUUUUUUUUUUUGCAAAAAUAAAAUUUCUAGAUAUAUAAUUAUGUUGGCAUGGACUACAUAUACAGCCUAUUGCUGAGAUUUGCUAAAUCCUAUAAUCAUGGUGAACAUCUUGCAAUUUCUUGUGCAUCAUCAAGGAAUUAUUAAGCAUAUUGAGAUGCAAUAUGAUCAAACUCAAACCUUUUUUUUUUUCUUUUUUGAGGGAUCGAACUUAAACUAAGCCUAUUGACAUGUAUCAGUUUUAGUUCCAGUUUAGAUCAAACUUAAUAAACUAAUCGGUCUGAACAAUACUUUAUCAUUUGAUUUUACCUAUACAAAGUCUCAUUUGCGUGGUGAUAGAUAUAUACGCGCGAGUGCAUAAGGCGAGUUAACUCGUCAAGCGCAGUCAGUUUGGACCAGCAAGUUUGCAUCUAGCACUCGACAAAAGACCAUGCUACCCAAUCUCGUACUUGAACAAUGCAUAGAGCGGCAAGUUAAUAGGCCAGAAAACCCUCUAGUUUAUCGAAUUGAUACUUGGAUAAUAACAAGUGAAAUAAAUGCACGAGCAUUUAGGUCAACCAAUAGACAGGUUUAGCAUGAUCCAUAGUUUUUUUUUUUUUUUGGGGUUGAUAUUUUCCUAGAUAGUAUUUUCAGGAUAGUGUAGGCAAGAAAAUUCAUGCACUUUCUCGAUGAUUGUCUCCCUCAAACACACGCGUUAAAUAAGGGUUAGCUUUCGAGGGGGAAAAUUAGGCUGCAUCUUAAAUUCGAAAAGAAUCCCUUUAUAGCGGAUCGAUUCAUUCGCUUGUUCAGGGCCACAACAUUUGACUACAGAGGUUUUAUCAUUUAUGUCGCAAGUUUUUAUUAGUUCCAGAGUGCGCUUGCAGUCAUUCGACGGGUCUUCAGGCUCUGAUGUGGUUUCUGCUGAAGAAUCAAAGGUAUCUUUUAAUGGGAUGCUUCCAAGGAAUCAAUGUUCAGUGUUUUGAAUUUCUCACUGGAUAUAUUUCUAGAACAUGAUUUUGAAGAAGCUAAGAUGGAAUAAUGGUAAAAAUAUCUUGUUGACAAGAUAAAAAAAUAAAUAAAUAUUCAAGAGUGUCUAGAAAAGAUAGUAGUACUCCCAGCCUAGAAGAAUAUGGUUAACGGAUACAUAUUUCACGAAUUAGCCACAAGAAUUCUCAUAUUAUAGACGGUGAAAUCAAUUAACUCCUGCAUGUUGAAUAAAAUCAAUAGAAAUUUCAGAUCCUUCUAGUUAGCACCAAACUCGCCUUUAAGACUACAUAUUUCAAGUCGUUAUUGAUGAUUUUUCUUUUAAUAAGUUCUAUCAUGCAUUUUCUACAGAUCAAACUUUAGCUUGCUGUGUUAUUUAUGUCGAGACAAACUAUGACGGGCCGGAUUGAACAUUUCUUUUCAAUGCUAGACUUUCGUUGCUAUGAAUGAAUUUGUUAAAGAUUGGUAAGAGGAUCAGCUGUUUCUUCAUCCUCUUCUGCCUCUCAACUGCUUCUUUAAUUUGCUUCUUGGGAUCGCAAGUUGGUAAUUCAGGCUGAUCCAGAUAUCAAAUUCAGAAGAGAGAGGGAUUCCGGAUGCGAUUAACUUUUGCGACGGGAUAUUGUUUCUGCAUGGUUCGAGCGUACCAGCAGAACCUGAUGUUGUUAAGCAUGUUUCAAGGAUGAAAAGUAGCAUCUAUACUACCACGAUUGAAGAUCCAAUUGUUGGAUAGAAAUGUCUUUGCGGUCACCAUAUUGACCUUUGUGACUACGGACUACCAAAUAUGAACAAGAAAUGUAAUCCAACAGUACGUGAUAAGCUAGCUAGGGUUUCGUUUCUCAAAGAAAAUUACUAAUCAGACAAACUAUAACACCAAAAUGGCAUGGUUCCUUGUCAGAGCACCAUACCGUCAUCUUUCUGACAUUUUCUUACGAAAGUAAGAAUUUUUGGCAAAUAAACCUAACUCCCCACAAUAACUUCAAAAGCCGGUAACUUUUGGAGUCCUGUGAGGGACUUAUAAACCUAAACCCCAACCCCCCCAUUACCGAUGUGGGAUAGAAAACCCCACAGGGGUGCCCCGCUGCUAAGAGAUAAAGACCCCCCAAGCCCCCUGAGAAUGAGUUUUCUUUCUGACAUUUUCUUAUGAACCAUACCAUACCGUCAUCUAGGCAAGGAAACUUUUGAUUUUUGUCAGAAACUGGACCCACUUUAAAGACGUGAAAGGGAACAACCAAAAUUAAAUGGAGAGCUUUAAGGGUUUGGUUGGCCUCUUCAAGUAGCACUUUUCUACAUGAUAACUCUAAAAAAUGGGGUCUAAAUUAAUAUAAUAUAUCCCUCGUGACUUUCUGGAUGCAUUCAACUAAAAGCAAAAGAAAAUCUAUUUCAGAGAUGUAAUCUAGUUACUUUUAGCUCGAUUAAAGUCUUAAAAUAUUGGAUAUAUACUCAACAAAACGUAUUAUCUGAUCUUUCGGAGACUUGGUAAAUUGAUUAAUUGAUCUCCAUAUCUAUACAUUUUCCUCUUCAUGUUUUGCUAGGAAAAGUUUUUAUCAUCCAUGCAAUUAUCCAACUUCUUUUAUAUGGUCAAAUCAUUAACAUUUGUUGAAAAAGAAAUGUUAAAAAACACUGAUAGUGUCACGACUCGGGUCCAAAGGCUGGCCCAAGUAAUUUUUGAAUCAAAAGUCAUUGACCCAAAAUGGUUAACCCAAAUUACCUAAUAGCUCAAGGAUCCAAGUUUUUAUAUCUUUCCUUUCCUUUUUCCCACCACCGAUGUGGGAUGCCUCAUUCUCCCUGUCUUUAGGACUUUGCGUCCUCGCAAAGGACGUCAGAAUUCAAAUUAUCCACUUGGUUCAAAUUAUACGAGCUAAACUAUUCACUAGGUUCAAAUUAUACGGACUCUAGAGGUGACUCCCGUCCGACGUGAUACUUAGUCUCGCAGAUCCUAGAGGUAACCCCCGUCGAACGUGGCACUUAGCUCUUUGCACAGAAUCAUAAUCCGCUAGUCCAAGCUCAUCCCGUCGAAUGGAGCACUUAACCCCUUGCACUCCCUUGCACAGUCAAAACCAUAACCCGCUGGCUCAAUCUCACCCCACGCAGGUGGGCACUCCCUUGCAUAGUCAGAACUAGGGGUGUGCAUCGAAUUCGAAAUCGAUAAUUCGGAAGUUUGAAUUGAAAAUUUUUCGAAAUUUUGAUAUUUGAUAAUCCGACCGAAUUCGAUUUCGAAUUCACCAAUUCCAAAUUUGAAUUCGUACCGAAUUCAAUUCGGAAUUCGGUAAAUUUCGAUUUCACCGAAUUCGAAAAAAUUUAUAUAUUAUUAUAUAAUAUAAAACUUAUAAUAUUAUAUUAUAUAAUAUAAAUUUUAUAUUACAUCUAUAAAAAAUAUAUAUAUUAAAAAUGAAAUUGAAAUCGAAAUCGGAAUUCGAAUUCCGAUUUGAAUAACUCCAUUACCGAAUUCAAACCAAAUUUGAAAUAUAUGAAUUCGGAAAACCCGAAUUCGAUUCCGAUUUCCGAUUUACCGAUUUGGAAAAUUCCAAAUUCAAUUGGAAUUCGGUCGAUCAAAUUGAAAAUUUUCAAUUUUGCACACCCCUAGUCAAAACCAUAACCUGCUGGGCUUACCUCACGCAGGUGAUCCCCGUCGAACGUGGCACUUAGCUCCUUACACUUCCUUGCGUAAUCAAAUCGUAAUCCGCUGACCUAAACUCACCCUGUCGAACGGGGCUAUCGUUGGCCCAGGCUCACCCCAUCGAACGGGCAUUUAGCUCAUUGCACUUCCUUGCAUAGUCAAAAUCAUAAUCCGCUCCUCCAUACUCACCCCACGCAGGUGGUCCAAGUAUCGUUAGGGUCCAACUGUUAUGACUCGGAUCCAAGAGUUGGUCCAAGUAAUUUUUGGACCAAAAUUCAAAAAUAAUUAACCCAAAUUACCCAAUAACAGAAUUAGGGACACAAGUUCUUAUACUUUUCCUUUCCUUUUUUCCACCACCGAUGUGGGAUACUUGAGGUAGCAAGAGCUUUUGAUUAAGACUCAACUUGCCAAAAUUAUAAAAACAGGUAACAACCUCACCUAUUAUCAAAUAACCCUAAAGACAUCUGCCAGCAAAGUAGAUAUAUGCAUAGAGGAACCCCAAUCCAUAUUGAUGAAGAUCACUGCCGUUUAAAGUGUUUACAAAGCCAGGUUACCUCAUCUGUUUAGCCAUAGCAGACUCGCCUAGAGUGAAGAAUGAGAUUGUAUCCGAUACCAAAAACAGGAGGUAAAGUCACAUUCGAAACACCUUUGUCUACAACAAAAGCUGCGCCAGGCAUCAUCAACCACUCCCCAGUCCCCAUUAAUGUAAUCUAUCCUGCUUGGUAGCCACAGAUCAAAUUGACCACCUUAACAUGUCCAAGAAGCUCAGAAAGGCACACACCCACACACAGUUGCGCUUCAAUUCAUAUAACUUAGCAAAAUAGGACAAAGAAAGAAAAAAAAAACAUUACGAAAUGUAUAAUAUCGAGUAUUCAUAGUAUUUGAAAAUUAUCUCCUCCCCGUGCCCUCUUUUUGAGUACCGAAAUAUAAUGUAAUCCAACAGUGAUAAGCUAGCAUUCAAUUUCACAUAAAAUUUAAUUAAGACAAAAUAUAACACUAACAUGGCAUGGUCUCAUGUUGCAAUAUCAUGUCGCAGCUUCAACCCAACGUGCAAACUUUGAUCUUUGCCAAAAACUGAACCAGCUCAAAGAUGUCAAAACCGAAUAAUCAUAAUGGACAAAUUUGGGGGCUUGAUAUCUGGGUGCAUGCAGUAUAGAUACAGAUGAUAACUCUUAAAAGAUUGGUUCAAUAUAUAGCAAAAUAUCACCCAUGAUCGAUAUUUGCGUACGUUCAGCUAAAAGCGAAAGAAAGUCAAUUUUAGAGAUGUAAACUAGUUGAUUGAACUCGAUUAAAUUCUUAGAAUGAUGGAUAUAUACUGAAUGAAAUAGAUUAUCUCAUUCUAUCCUUCGUCUUUUUGCUCUAGGAAAAGUUUUUUUUCCCUCCCAUUUCCACAUGCUAUGCAAGAACAAUGAACAUCUUCUCCGCUAUCUAAUGCAAUUAUGCAACUUGCUGGCUCCGUAACACCCCCCCCCCCCCAAUCUUUCCAAAAUUUUUUCCCGCCAUUAUCAAUAACAACACAGUUGGAUACAUAAAUUUGGCAACAUGGGUGGGGAACUCAAAAGGAUAUGGUGUCAAUGUAGGAGAGGAAGACACGAAAUAGGAUAUGGUUGGAGGCACCCAAUCGACUAUCCAACUAGUACAAGAAGUUGUCCAAAAGGGAGGAGGAAGAAAUCUAUAAAUAGGGUCGUCCUCCAAGCAAUUCAGCACAAAGCAAAUCAAAGAGAGCAGCAGCACUGUUCAUAACUGCUGAACCCGCCAGCCAAAGUUCUCUAAACUCCAAUAGCAGUUAGCACCAAUGGCUUACAGUUAUCGUAACUUCCUCCUUCUCUUUGCAUUCCUCCUCGUUUCAACCACAACUCCAUAUCUCAUGGUCUCCUCUAUAACGGACAGAAUGUAGCUGCAAUUGUGGUGAAGGGCGUCUUGGGCUGCAACUCAACCGGAAACCCUACACCAGGCUGCCUACCCCUCGCAUCCGUACCUGUUACUUUUUCCUGGGUCUUCGUUGCCGGUUUUCCAUACUACAACUUUUCUGAUGGAUCCUUUAGUUUCCUUAUAGCUGAUUUAACAGCAGUAGCAGCCUUGCCCCAUGCAACUGUACUGGCAGAACUCACUGCGGCUGUUAACCUGAAUGCCGUGACCAAUUGUGCUGCUUUACCUUCCACAGGUUAUCUCAGGUCUCCAGUUAAUAAAAAUUCUGCAUCUACAAUCCAAGGAUCGGCCACAGGAAUUACGCUUCCUGUCGUUGUUUCAGGGUUUACUUAUUCAGCUGCCUGAUUCCUAAUGCAGCUGCUUCAGUGUUUCGUCUCUCUUGUUUAUCCAAGUUGAUGAUUUGUUUCGUUGUUUUUAUUUCAUUUUUUCUUUUGCUAUCAUCGCCAAUGUUGUGUUCUGUUACCAAUAUCUCGUUGUUUGCAUCUUGACUGAAGCGUGUAAUCGCGUUUUUAGUGAAAUCAAUAAAUUGCAAUUUCAUUAUGUAACUGGCUAGUUAGGUGAUUUUGUCAACAACAGAAUGAGUGUUUCUUCCAUACGGAGGUCCUAUUCUGGUCAAGAUUUCAAUCAUAAAAACUGUUGGCGUACUGAAUAAACACUGUGGAUGCAAAUGCAAUUCUACUAUUCCUUAUCAAGAUACUUAAAUAUUCCCCCAAGUAUCACAUCACAUCCUACCGAAAUGGGAACAAAAUAUAUAAAUAAAUAAAACCUUAUGGGAUAGCUUCAAAUCCUAAACAGUCGGUAUAUGCUCAAUACACUAGUAAUAUUCCAAAGGAUUUAUGCACUUGAACCAGAUGAAUGUCCUCCUAGUAGACUUGUAUAGGCAGAUAAGGUACUACUUUUCUGGGGUUAUCUUGAGAAUGAUAGUAUAAAAGAACCAGAAAGGAAUGAAUUCAUGCUAAGUGAUAUUAACAACGCUAUAAAACAGCCAAACGACUAUUCUUGUUAUGUGAAUCUCUAGUGACUGGUAGUUCAAGAUUUUGCAUGCAUGCAUGUAUGCCCACACUGAUAAGUGAUAACCAUCCAAGCACGUUUUCAAUGUAUGAAUGAGUUGUUCCGUUUAGUCUCCAUUUCCUGUAUAUACGACUUACCACGCUAGAAUCAGAAAAAGUGAAAGAAACACCUUAGUCGCUAAAGGAAAAGUCUGAAGUAACGAGCGUUAUGAUAACGAAACUGUUUUUACUUGAUAUAACAGGUAAAAACACUUUUAGCGACCAUUUGAUUACCUGUUAUACUGGUCAUCUAAAUAAAAUAGUACCUAAAAAUAUGGUUAGUAAGUUUUACAUUAAAAAUAGUAAGUUAACUCAAGAAAUUAGUAACUUUUAUGUCUCAAAAAGUAAAUUUGAAGAAAUAUGGAACUUACUUUUUUUUUGAAGUAGAUAACUACUCUAUAUCUAAAACUUACUUUUUGGAGAGUAAGUUUAGUUCAAAUAAUAGUAAGUUUUUAUAGACUAAUAGUAAAUAUUGUUGAUAGAAUAGUAAAUUUGGGUUAAUCAUCAAAACUUACUAGUUUAUGGCAUAAAUUUACUAUUUUACUUAAAGAAACUUAUAUGGAACAAGUAUUAGGAAGUUUAUUUGAAAUAAUGCUAAGAUUUUUUAUUAAUAAUUGAAACUUAGUAUUAUAGUUAGUAAUUACUCGUAAUGUAAAUGUAUGAUACACAAUUGUACGUAUCAUUUAUAAAUGUUAUAUGUUUUAAGCAUUUUAAAUAAACUAUGAAAACUUUUUUUUUGCAUAUGACCUUAUAAAAUAUGUAAGAAUAAUUUGUCAUAUUAUAAAUUUUGAAUUAUUUUUGAAUUUGUAAAAGGUUAAAAAGUUUGGAUGACAGUAAAAAAAAAUCUUUUGAGUUAUAUAUAGAAUUGCACUUAUCUAUACAUCACAAUUUCCAUAUAUGGACACCGAUGAAUAUAAUAAAAUGGUACGCAAUUUUCAUAUAUUAAUGCCUAUGAAUUUAAUAAAAUGGUAAAAUCUUAAUAAAUUUAUUUUCUGGGUCACAAGUAUAAAAAUUAAAGUUGUAUUAACAUAGAAUAAUCUUUGAAAAUUAUAGUAAAAUUACCCAUAUGUUAAGUUUUGUGACUUUCAAACAUACUUUGUAUCAUUUACAUUAUGGAUUUGUAUCCAUAUGUUUUCUAUCAAACUCUUUUUUUAUUGGCAAAUGGUAAGUAAAUUAUUAUAAAAGGGCAUUUUAUAAUAAUCAUAAUUUUUAAUAGAUGAAUUUUAUGUAAACUGUUAAAAUUAUGAAUUCACAAACGACUAAAUCUGACUACUUUAUGACACAUAUUAGUCUAAAUGACUAAAAAAUUACUGUAAUCAUGCACACGUUGAUUGUUGAAUUGAAAUUUCUUUUAUUACUAGUACAAGUUCUUCUAAUCAAAGCAAAAUAAAAUCAAAUAUCUUUUCCUUUUGUAUGCAAUAGUUAUGCUUAAUAGAAAAUUAUUAAACCAUUUUUACAGUACAUAAUUUCUCCUAAAAUUUGUAACAUUUACCAUGACCUCUAACCUUGACAUUGUUAUUUAAUUUACCUUCUAAAUUUAAUUUAAUUUUCUUAUAUUAAUUGUUAUACUAAAUUUAUAAUUUUUGUUAUUAUAUUAUUUCUCAUUUUGUUUAGGCUUUUACUCUUAUUAUUUCUUGUGUCUCAGAUGUAAAUUUAUUAAAACUUUAUCAUCUUAUUAUAUUCAUAGGUGUUAAUUUAUAAAAAUUUUGAUAUAUAAACAAGUAACAUUCUAUAUAUAACUAGGAAGAUUUGUUGUUAUUAUUAUCCAAACUUUCAAACUUUUCAAAAAUUGAAAAUAAUUAAAAACUUAUAAUACGACAAAAUUUUAUUACAUAUUUUACGAGAUUAUGUGAAAAGUCAAACUUUUUUCCAUAGUAUUUUAAAAUAUGUAAAUAAAUUUUUUUAAAUGUUAACUAUAAUAUUGUAUUAUACAGGUAUAUUAUGAGUACUUACUAACUAAGGUACUAAAAAUUAAUCAUUAAUAAAACAUCUUAUCGUUAUUUCAAAUAAAUUCCCUAACACUAGUUUGAAAUAUGUUUUAAAGUAAAAUAGUACAUGUGUCUCAUAAAUCAGUAAAUUUUGAUUAUUAAUCAAUUUUACCAUGUUAUCAGUAAGAAUUACUAUUUAUGUAUUAAAACUUACUAUUACAUGAAUUAAACUUACACUAUAAAAAGUAAGUUUGGGAUAUAAAGUAGUAAUUUAUUUAUUUAAAAAGUAAGUUUAAUAUUUAUUCCAAUUUACAUUUUGAAGUAUAAAAGUUACUAAUUUAUUACCGUUAACUUACUAUUUUAGAUGGAAAACUUACUUUCUUAUUUUUAAGUGUUAUCCUAUUUAGGUGGAUAGGCCUAUCAAAUAAUCAAAUGGCCGCUAAAAGUAAAUAAAAAAUAAAUCGAAAAUGGUCAUAUAAGUGUUAUCUUAUUUAUGUUUCAAAAAGUAAAUCGAAAUAAAAAUGAAAGUUACUUUUUUUAAAAAUUAAAUUACUACUCUACAUUCGAAACUUAGUUUUGUGGGGAGUAAGUUUAGUUCAAGUAAUAGUAAGUUUUUAUAGAUUAAUAGUAAAUCUUGUUGAAAGAAUAAUAAUUUGGUUAAUCAUCAAAACUUACUAGUUUGUGGCAUAAAUUUACUAUAUUACUUAAAGAAACUUAUAUGAAACAAGUAUUAAGAAGUUUAUUUAAACUAGUGCUAAGAUUUUUUUAUUAAUGGUUGAAACUUAAUAUUAUAGUUAGUAGUUGUUGGUAACAUAAAUGUAUAAUAAUGAUUGUAUGUUUCAUUCAUAAAUGUUUUGCGUUUUAAGCAUUUUAAUAAAUGUAUGCAUCAUUUAUAAAUGUUAUGUGUUUUAAUAAAUUUAUUUUCUAGGUCACAAGUAUAAAAGGUAAAGUGAUCGUAUCUAAUGUAGCGUAAUCUUUUAAAAUUAUAGUAAAUUUACCCAUAUAUUAAGUUUCGUGAGUUUCAAAUAUAUUUCGUAUCAUUCACAAUAUGGAUUUACAUGCACAUUUUUUAUGAAACUUGCUUUUAAUUGGCAAAUAGUAUGUAAAUUAUUAUAAAAUGUCAUUUUAUGAUAAUCAUAAUUUUUAUAGGUGAAUGGAAUAGGUGCAAGAUCUUGAUACUGUACUACAACACAAAUUUGGGGAUAAGUACAAGUUUCAGGCAUCGUCAUUUGAAUUUGACGAAUCUCCUAACAUUCCUAAACAACCGAAUGGGUAACUUUCAUUAAUGACGUUUUAAAGCCUAAAAAACCGUGUGCUGAGUAUUGUAUAACAUGAGUAUUUGAGUUGCUUUUCGAGUUCUGCUCAUCAAGUAAGCCAGUCCAAUUUGAAGUAAACAGCAAAAUCUACAUGCACAAGACAUUUGAUAUGAAAUUGGUAUUUCAAAAUAGGAGAAAACGGCUCAUUUUGAGCAUCAGAAUGAAUCUAACUUUUAAUAAUUGAUACUUACGCAUCAAAAUUAAGCUGGCAGGACACUAGAUAUAGCUAUCUAAGCAUGACAAGAUUACAUGGCCAAGAACUGAAUUUAGAGCACAAAGACUUUGGCUUCAGAAAUCUGAAGCAAUCAAAAGGCUAGUAACUUGAUUUGAGAAUUUGAUCACCAGCAUCAAGGGCUCUGAUAUCACUAUCAAAAGCUUCAGUUUGGAUUGACAUUUCUGGUUUACAAACCCAAGAGCACUUGGAUGCUAACAAUAUCUGAAAUUUGAUCACCAAACUUUUUUCCAAGCAAGCUGAAAUUAUUCACAUUAAAACAAGUAAUCACCAGAAAUUGCAAACUAAGGAGAUUAUGUUCAGAUUUACAAUCAAAACGCAUUAAACUACCUUCGAAGAAACUUAAAUCAUCCUAAAAGCUUUGAGCAAAGACGUGCAAAAACAUUUGUACUCUCUCAAGAAUAAAAUUCCUUAAUGGUCUUGGCUGAAAUCUGGUUCAUUCACUACAAAACCAUCACAAGAUUUGUAUUAAAAAAAGGCCACAACAACACAUAAUCAUAGCAAAUAAAUAACAUAAAACUUAGGCGUGAAGAAGGAAAAAUGUACCUGAAUUAGAACCAUCAUCAAACCAUCAUAUAAACCAUUCAUCAUAUAAACCCGUUUCUUUUCUAGGUAUUUUAUGAUUAGAACUCCAUUCUCUCUAUAUUACAAACCAUCAUCAAACUAAUUGAAAACCUCAAUUCUCAUAUAAACCAUUCAUCUGAAUUUUGUUCCAAUCAACCCAUUCAAUAGAUUUAUGUUCCAGUCUAAUCGUUAUGAUAUAGCAAUGGCAUUAACAAGCUAUUUUGACUCUCCCGAUAAGGGUUUACGUAUUAGUAAUUUUUUAGGAGGAAGAUGAGUUAUUCACAUGUCCAAAAUAUCGAAACAACCAGCAUAAUCUAAUCCUUAGUUCAAUGAAAGUCACAAAUUUGCGGGUAGGUAGAUUAGAUUAUGUUGAAUGCCUUUGGCUCUUUACAAUGAAAUUCAAAAUUUUUUCUCAUGACAGAGCAAAGACGGUGAUAUAAUUGAUUGUGUCUAUAUGUAUCAACAACCAGCAUUUGACAAUCCUUUGCUCAAAGACCACUGGAUUCCGCAGGUUUGCCCCAUGCAACACCAUUCAAAAGAAAAAUAAACAAAAAAAUGCAAAAAUAUGAAGUAUGUAUAACACCAUAAUUGAUUGAUGGUCGGAAACUGUUCUAUGAAUUUUCUCUCCUUUCCUGACUGAAGAAGAUGGAAGAUGUGAUUCUACAAAAUCUACAUGUAUCAUAGGAUGGUAAUAAGAAUUGCUUCUGCAACACAGAUUUACAAGAGUAAUAAUGGCCAAAUUUCCGUGGCAUUGCAGACGUUACAAUGGAGUAAAAAAUUCAAGAGGCUGAUAAUAAAUUUCCAUAGAAACAACAGAUUCGCAACAAUGAUUCUAGAUCAGUUCAGUUCAAUAACAUAUGCUCCAUCAAGCGUAUCAACUUAGAAUUCCAAAACGGGAGAAACCUCUCUUGCCUGAAGAAUUCAAGUUAUAAAGCUCAUGUUGAGUUACUAAUAUAUUAGUAAUUCUCACCCGCACAGAGUAGCAAUCACAACAUACAAAUUUCUCUUUGACAUUUCACCAAACAUCUUAUAUGCAUUCACAAAUUAAUCACAUUUAACUUAAACGCCUGGUCUCAAGUCCUUUCCUAGAUGUUUCACAUGGCUGUUAAACAUAUUUUACCUGUAGACAAUCAAAACUACAACCAUUUCCUAGAUGUUUCAACGGACAUUUUCGGCCCCAAAAUUGCAAUAAAAUCUUCAAAUUCUCAGCCUUGAUUUCCCAAGAAAAUCUUGACAAACAAAACAAAUGAAAUAUAAAUAAAUUACAGCAAUAUAAUCAAACGAUUUCAAGAGAACAUGAUGAUCUAACCUCGUCACUGCUAUUUUUCAUAUGCUCUUUGGCUGGCUACCACCGUCGCUAACCCUUUUGUUGUGUUUGCAUAUGGCAGCACUCAAACCCAACCGAACGAUGAGAAAGGAUAGAAGCAAAGUGUGAACUAAAGAUGAAAAUUUUGAAGUGAGAAGAUUUAUUCAAUUGUAACAAAGAGAAAGUGUGGAUCAAAGUGGAAACCUUUGCCUGGAAAUUCAAUCGUAUCAUUGGAACUGGGAACUGAAUAAGAAGAAGGUAGAUAACUUUAAAGAGAAAGGUGAUACCCAAAACCGUUUUCAGGAACCCAAAACCGUUUUUUUACUUAAAUAUGUACAUUUUUUACUUUCAGUAUUGGUAAGUUUAAUUUAAACAUAAGUAAAUUUUGUCAAAUAAUAAGUAAAUUAAAUUACUCAAAGUGUAAAUUUCUAUUUCUGACUAAAUCUUAUCUUUCAGGCAUAUACUUACUAGUUUUAAUUAAAAACUUACUAAAGUUAAUAUUAAUUAUUUUAAUAUAAUAUUUAAAAAGUCACUAAAAGAUUUGAUCUGUCACUAAAGGUAAUAGAAACCUAUAAUAGCAGGUUUCCCUAAUAUCGUUACCAUAACUAUAGGUACUGUAGCACUGUCCGUCGCUAAAAUGGCCAACUUCCAGAUCAUUUCCAUUUUGAAAAACUAACACGAAUUAAGUGUUGGGUGGGCCAGCCCAUUUGUGGGCCAACCCACAUGUACAAAGCUUGAGGGUUUCUCAAGCUUAAAAAGAGAAAACGGCAGCCGCAAGAUGUAAUGCUUUCUUCAGUGCUUGUGCGACAAAAAGAAAAAGAGCCAGCCGGCAUUCUUUUUGAGUGAGACGAAGAGAGAGAAAGGCUAGAGAGAGAGACUUCAAGGUCUUGAUUGGAGGGCGAUUCAAAACCCGAUUGAGACAAAACUUUAUACACGUGAUCCUCUCGACAAGCUCUACUCAUCUAUCGGUUCAGAUUUCAGAUUUCCUCUUCGUUUGGUAAUAUCUUUUCAAACCCACUUCUUUGACAGUUGUAAUUUUUGGGGGGUGAUUUUAUAGCAGAUUGGCUUGGUUGGUAUUGGUGAUAUUAUUGUCAUCCGAAUAUUUCGGGUAGACCUGUGUAUUCCCAUUAUUGUGAUAGUGGAAAUAUUUUUGACUGGACUAGGUCCCGUGAUUUUUUUCAAUUUGGAUUUUUCACGUAAAAAUUUUGGUGUCAUGUGCCUUUUAUUUUUUCUUGCAUUUUAUUAUCACUGCUGGUAUUAUUACUUGGUGAUUUGGUUUAUUCCUAUUUUAAUUGGUACCUGGGGAAAGAGAAAUUUAUUCUGGGCUAACUCUGAUAUUUUGUGUCUAUACUGAUACCCCUUUCCCAACGAGUGGUAUCAGAACAGUCAGGUUAGGCUGCUCAAUUGUACCUGUUAAAAUGGAUAAUUCGGAUAGUGGUUGCAUGAUAAAAUUAAAUGCUACUAAUUAUUCGAUUUGGAAGCCUAGAAUGGAAGACUAUCUGUAUUGUAGAGAUUUGUUUGAACCUGUUCUAGGGGAUAAAUGUAGACCAAGUGAUAUGAGUGAUGAAAAAUGGGCUAAUAUGCACAGGAAAACUGUUGGAAAUAUUAGAAAAUGGAUUGGUCAAAGUAUUUUUUAACAUUUUGCUAAUGACACCAGAGCUGACAUAUUAUGGAAAAGACUUGAGAGUAUGUAUGAAAGAAAGACAGGUUUGAAUAAAUCUAGUUGUCUGAAGCAGAUUACUCGAAUGAGAUAUAAGGAUGGGGAAGAUAUGACUGAACACUUGAGUAAUUUUCAGGGAUUGAUAAACCAGGCAACUACAUUAAAUUUGAAUCUGGAUGAUGAAGUGCAGGAUUUAUUAUUAUUCAGUUGACUACCGGAUAGUUGGGAAACCAUGGUGGUCUCCAUCAGUAAUUCAGCUCCGAAUGGUGUGUUGACCAUGGCUAUUGCAAAAGAGGCCGUGAUGAAUGAAGAGUUCAGGACGAAGGAACAAGGAAUUGUCUAUGAAUCCCAGGCCCUGGUGACAGAAAAGAAUGAAAGAAGAGGAAAAAGUAAAAGUAGAGGAUUCCAUAACAGGAAUAACAAAUCCAGAGGCAGAUCUGAGUCACGAAAAAAUGUUGCAUGCUAUUAUUGUAAAAAGAAUGGGCAUUAUAUGAAGGAGUGCAGAAUCCUAGAACGGGAUCAGGCCGAGAAAAAGGGUAAGGCGAAGGAAAAAGAUGAUGAGGACACUACAGCAGUUGUGGCAGCUCAUGAUGACAUGUUUGUGUUCUGUGAUGAUGGUCAGGUGAAUAUUAUUCACUAUGACAGUGACUGGGUAGUUGAUUCAGGUGCAUCCUACCAUGUUACUCCUCACAGGCAUUUCUUCUCAACCUACACUGAAGGAGAUUUCGGAUGUGUUAGGAUGGGAAAUGAGGUCUCAUGCAAAAUUGUUGACAUGGGAGACAUCUACUUAGACACAGAUAUCGGGUGUCAGCUAAUAUUGAGAAAUGUUCGACAUGUUCCUGAUAUUCGACUUAACCUUAUUUCUACAGGAAAACUUGACGAUGAGGGCUACUAUAACUCGCAAGGUAGAGGCAAAUGAAAACUCAGCAAAGAAAAUCUCGUUGUUGCCAGAGAAAAGAAGCACAGUACCCUCUACGUGAUGCAAGCCAAGUUGAGGAAGGGAGAAGUCAAUGCAGUUCAUGAUUCAUCAAUUGACUUGUGGCAUAGGCGACUUGGGCACAUGGGUGAAAAAGGGAUUCAAACACUUGUUCGCAAACAGUUCUUACCUGAAAUUAGAGGUAAUGCACUUAAACCUUAUGUUGACUGCAUUUAUGGGAAACAACACAGAGUUGCAUUUAAAAAUUUUCUUCCAUCUAGAAAAUUGAAUCCUUUAGAAUUGGUGCACACUGAUGUCUGCUAUAUGAAAGAUAAGUCUCUUGGUGGUGCUAUUUAUUUUGUAACCUUUAUUGAUGACUUUGCUAGAAAGGUUUAGUGUUUUGCUUUGAAAUCCAAAGAUCAGGUUUUGGAUGUGUUUAAAGACUUUCAUAGCAAAGUUGAAAGAGAAACUGGUAAGCAGUUAAAGUGUGUACGUGCUGAUAAUGGUGGUGAGUAUAGAGGACCAUUUGAAAUCUAUUGCAAGUCUCGUGGGAUCAGAUUGGAGAAGACUGUGCCAAAAACUCCUCAAGAGAAUGGAGUAGCAGAAAGGAUAAACAGAUCCAUCACUGAACGGGUCAGAUGUAUGCUCUCUAAUGCUAAAUUGCCAAAAUCCUUUUGGAGUGAGGCAAUGAGGACUGCGGUCGAUUUAAUUAAUCUUUCUCCAUCAGUUCCUCUAGAUGGUGACAUUCCAGAGAGAGUAUGGACGGGAAAAGAUAUAUCUUUUAAGCACUUGAGAGUUUUUGGUUGCCGAUAUUUGUUCAUAUUCCCAAAGAUGAAAGGUCAAAACUUGAUGUAAAAUCAAAGCAGUGCAUUUUCUUGGGUUAUGGACAUGAAGAUUUUGGUUAUAGGUUGUAUGAUCCUAUUGAGAAGAAAGUGAUCAGGAGCAGAGAUGUUGUCUUCUUUGAAGAUCAAACCAUUGAAGACAUUGAUAAAGGUGACAACUCAAAAUCCUCAGAUGACAUUCCUGCUAGCUCAAAUUCAGUUCCAGAUCCAAUUCCAGUACCUGUUGAUUUUAAUCAAGGGGGAGCUGAGACAGAGCAAAGAGAGGAUAUUAAUGACGGUGAUAAUCCUACUACUGAUGAACCUGAGCAUGAGACACCACCCACUCCACCACCGCCACCACAAGAUGAGGUUAGGAGAUCUACCAGAGAGAGGAGACCUUCUAACAGAUAUAAUCCUCAUGAAUAUGUGUUGUUGACAGAUGGAGGAGAGCCAGAGUCCUACGGUGAGGCUCUAGAGCAUGAGAGUAAAGAAGAUUGAUUGCGAGCCAUGCAAGAGGAGAUGGUGUCCCUGCAUGAGAACCACACUUAUGAGCUAGUGAAACUGCCUAAGGGCAAGAGAGCUCUGAAGAACAAAUGGGUCUACAGGUUGAAGACUCAGGAGCACAGCUCACAACCAAAGUACAAAGCAAGAUUGGUUGUGAAGAAGAAAUUUUCUCUCAUGUGGUAAAAAUGUCAUCAAUUUGAGUUGUUCUUGGUAUUGCAGCCAGUUUGAAUUUGGAGAUUGAACAACUUGAUGUGAAGACAACCUUCCUGCAUGGUGACUUGGAAGAGGAGAUCUACAUGGAGCAACCGGAGGGGUUCAAAGAAAGUGGUAAGGAAAACCUUGUAUGUCGUCUCAAGAAGAGCUUGUAUGGGUUGAAACAGGCACCGAGACAGUGGUAUAAGAAGUUUGAUUCUUUCAUGACAAACCAUGGGUACCACAGGACUACAUCUGAUCACUGUGUUUAUAUGAAAAACUUUUCAGAUGGUGAUUUUGUUAUUCUCUUGUUAUAUGUUGAUGACAUGUUGAUUGUUGAUCGUGAUACUGUGAAGAUUGACAGGUUGAAAAAGGAGUCAAGUAAAUCCUUUGCAAUGAAAGAUUUGGGUCCGGCUAGACAGAUACUGGGGAUGAAAAUCUCACGAGACAGACAAAAUGGGAAGCUUUGGUUGUCUCAAGAAAAAUACAUUGAGAAAGUGCUCAACAGGUUUAACAUGAGCAAUGUUAAGGAAGUCUCAACUCCACUUGCAGGUCGCUUUAAAUUGAAUAUCAAACAGUGUCCUACAAAUGAGAAAGACAAAGAAGACAUGAAGAAGGUUCCUUAUGCUUCGGCUGUUGGUAACUUGAUGUAUGCUACGGUUUGCACCAGGCCAGAUAUUGCUCAUGCAGUUGGAGUAGUCAGUCGGUAUCUCUCUAAUCCUGGUAAGGAGCAUUGGAAUGCUGUCAAAUGGAUUCUUAGGUAUCUCAAGGGAACUCCUAGAUUGUGUCUAUGUUUCGGCAAUGGUAAAACUAUGCUAGAUGGAUACACUGAUGCAGACAUGGCAGGUGAUCUUGAUAAUAGGAAGUCCACAUCUGGGUACUUGAUGAUUUUUACAGGGGGAGCAGUGUCAUGGCAAAGUAAGCUACAGAAGUGUAUCGCUCUUUCUAGUACGGAUGCAGAGUAUAUUGCAACCACUGAAGCAUGCAAGGAGACUCUUUGGUUGCAAAAAUUCCUUCAGGAGUUGGGUAUGAAACAAGACAAGUAUAGUCUUUACUGUGACAGUCAGAGCGCUAUUCAUUUGUGUAAGAACUCCACAUUUCACUCUCGAUCCAAACACAUUGAUGUGAGAUAUCAUUGGAUUCGGGAAGUACUGGAUUCCAAGUUGUUGACACUUGAGAAAGUGCAUACAGAUGAUAAUGGUGCUGACAUGUUUACCAAGGCAUUGCCUAAGGAGAAACUUUUAUUUUGUAGACAAGAAGCAGGUUUGGUGGAGCCCCCCAAAUGAGUUGGAGGGGGAGAUUGUUGGGUGGGCCAGCCCAUUUGUGGGCCAAACCACAUGUACAAAGCUUGAGGGUUUCUCAAGCUUAAAAAGAGAAAACGGCAGCCGCAAGAUGUAAUGCUUUCUUCAGUGCUUGUGCGACAAAAAGAAAAAGAGCCAGCCGGCAUUCUUUUUGAGUGAGACGAAGAGAGAGAAAGGCUAGAGGGAGAGACUUCAAGGUCUUGAUUGGAGGGCGAUUCAAAACCCGAUUGAGACGAAACUUUAUACACGUGAUCCUCUCGACAAGCUCUACUCAUCUAUCGAUUCAGAUUUCAGAUUUCCUCUUCGUUUAAUAACACCUUUCCAAACCCAUUUCUUUGACAGUUGUAGUUUUUGGGGGGUGAUUUUGUAGCAGAUUGGCUUGGUUGGUAUUGGUGAUAUUAUUGUCAUCCGAAUAUUUCGGGUAGACCUGUGUAUUCCCAUUAUUGUGAUAGUGGAGAUUUUUUUGACUGGACUAGGUCCUGUGGUUUUUCCCAAUUUGAAUUUUCCACGUAAAAAUCUUGGUGUCCUGUGCCUUUUAUUUUUCCUUGCAUUUUAUUAUCACUGCUGGUAUUAUUACUUGGUGAUUUGGUUUAUUCCUAUUUUAACUGGUACCUGGGGAAAGAGAAAUUUAUGCUGGACUAACUCUGAUAUUUUGUGCCUAUACUGGUACCCCUUUCCCAACAUUAAGCUUCCCUCUUUCUUGUUUCAUUUAGAAAAGUAGGUUUAAAUUGAAGUCCAUACAAGUAUAGGCAUAUAUCUUCGGACAUGUCGGCUACUUUAAGGUGAGGUAGAUGACAAUAUAAUGUCACUGGUUAAGCAGUGAAACGAAAACAAAAUAUUUGGUACUAAUUGCCGCAUUAACGUUUUCAGGUUGGGUACGUGUAAUAUUAACUAACAUGCAUCAAGUACGUUCUCUACAUCUUCACCUGAUAUGCACUCUAAACUACUCCAUCUAAAUAUGAAGACAGAUUUCCCGCAGAAGGAGUUGCAUCAAAAUAUCUACAAAAUUCCCCAAAAACUAUCCAGAAAAUUUUCAUUAAAUUUCGCAUAAAAAGUAACCAUUGUAGGUGAAGAACCAACUGUUCAGCUUUUACCUAGAAAAAUACAUCAAUCCCCUAGGAAGAACUAAACACUCCUACUUAAUUUCUACAUAGAUAUGCAAGAUUUACCCCUUGGCUUUGAUAACUGAUAAGCAUUAUGGAGAACCAAAACUCCCUGAAACGUUUAGGUAACUUGCGUGGUUCUGAAUUAGUUCAAUAAGUAUGUAAAUCGUAUGGAGAACUUUUGCAGAUACUGGAGCUACGUACGGCCACUACAAGGUAUGCAAAGAAAAGGAAUGAAGCAGAGAAUAAAGCUAUCAAAGUUUCUUUGAAGGCUAGUGCUGCUUUUUCUGCUUUAUUGGAUUGCUUGGGAUGCCACUCCACAUUUCAUAAAAUUCAAAGACAAGUUACAUUUGAAACUUACGCGGUAAUUUACCUGUCCAGCAUUAGAUAUCCGAUUACGAUAAUAGUGUAAAUAAAAGCAUGUUACAAGUUAAACAAUGAUUUGAAUUUUGCGGUACAACCCAAUGUUAAAAAAUACAGAAGUUAGUGUCAAUUGUUGUAUUAAGUGACAAGAUUACUCUCCAAAGCUAGUUUAAUAUACAUACAUAUAUACAUACAUAUAUGCAAGUUUUUAUAAAUUGAACAAUGUUUCUUCAAUCAUUGUGCCCUCAGUGUACCAAAUAUAGGGAUGGGCACAAUAUAAAUAUCAGAUAUUAUUAUCCACCCUUGAAUUAAGAAAAUUUUAGUGAAGAAAUUUUAAACUUUUGUAGACAACUAAAUGUCAGCCUCACGUCUUAUCCUAUACCCUUAGAACCCUUUUUAAUAAACUGUUCAACUUUAAUCCAGAGCAAUUCAUCAAUCACGUAAAAAGAACUAAAGACACCAAUUUAAAUAUUUACACAAAUAUGCGAGAUUUACCACUUCACCGUGAUACUUGAUACGCAUUAUAAAGAAUCAAAUCUCUCUGAAACUUUUUAUGAAACAGAUGGUUUUCAACCCUUUCGACUGCCUUGAUCCAUUUAAAUAAUUCAAGGAGCAAGUUACAGAUGAAGUGAAAUGCAAUGCAAAAGGGAAACAAAUCAAUUAUGUUCACCAAAUAAAUUUUAUCUGCCCAAUAAAAGGCAAAAAAAUAAUUUGAGAAAUCACACUGAACAAAUUACGUUGUUAUAGAGACAAUAAAUUCCGACCACAUUUCCUAUUUUUGAAGCAAAAGAACAUUGCUUAGGAAAAGGGUUGCCUUCAUUUUGGCUACUGAUGUGCAAAAGAUGACAGUCAGAACAGAGUGAAAUAGUCUCAAGGCUUAACUGGAAAACUCUGCAUCAAAGGAAUAUACGCGAUGUUCACACAUCCGAAGCCACCUCAAUUCUGGAAUUCCAACGCUUAGGUAGCUACGGCUAAGAUGCGGAAAGCAAAGGAAUGGAAUGAGGAAGAUCAGGGGAAAGCUAUCAAAGUUUAUUUGAAAGUCUAGUGCUGCUUUUUUUUGCUUUGCUGGAAUGCUUCCCAAGAAGUUAAAUCUGAAACUUGCCUGGUAAGUUGAUCAUAGUGCCAAUAGAUUUGUACAUGAUCAGCAAACAGAUUAUAAAUAGGUUACAAGCUGAACAAUGGAUGUCUACACCUUUUUUGCCUUGUAAACUGUAAAAUUUAUACUCGCUUGGCAAGUUCCAAAUGUGAACAUGCCCUGUCCUUGACUAAAAUAUUCCAUUAAAUCUUUUCAGACACUUCUGUUUUUAAUAUAAUCUUGCAGCAAAUGUCCUGACUAGCUGACAAUAACAUGAAACGUGAUCCAACAGUGAUAAGCUGUUGAGUCAUUUUUCACAGAAUAAGACAAAAUAUAAAAUCAUUACGCCAUGGUCCCUUGUCAGUUGUCACAGCAUCAUGUUAGUAUCUUUAUCCCAUCAUCGAGGUAUAGAAAACUCCGAUCUUAGCUGGAAAUUGGACCAGUUUAAAAAUGUCAAACCGAAUAACCAUAAAUACACAAUUCGGGGGUUUGUUAGCCUCUUCAAGUCAGGAAAAGCUACAUGGUCGCACAGAAUGUCGGGAUAUAUGCAUUGGGGAGAUACAGAUGCUGACUUCAGAAAUGUGGAUCCUUUUGGAGUGCGCCCUUCAACUAAAAGCGAAAAAAAGUAGAUUUUAGAGUUGUAAACUGGGUAAUUUAGCUUGAUUAUAUUCUGAAAAUAUAUUCUGAGAGACAAUCAAUGCAACAUAUUGUCUCAUCAUUCAGACACUCACUAAAAUGAUUGAUCUCCGUAUGCAUAAUUACAUACUACCCUCACAUUUUUUAGCUGCAGGAAAGGUAUUUAUUCCCUCCCAUAGUAACAUGCUAUGCAUGAACAUGAAUAUCCUCUCCUUAAUGUCAUGUAGUUCUGCAACUUGCUCACUUUAUCCCCUCUUUUUCUUCGAUUAUCAAUAGCAACAGUUGGAUACAUAAAUUGGCAACAUGGAGGGCGGUCUCAAGUGCUCAUUUAAAUAUGGUGGCAAUGUACAUAGGAUAUGAAGACACAAAAGUCUUGCAUGGAUACAGGCUCCCAAAAAUCCUUCAAGUAGUACUACUGUACUAUAUAUAGGUUCAGGGUCAUCUUCCAAGCACGUUAUUGAAAAGCAAAUCAAAGAAAGCAGCACAAGCAAAUCUGUAAAUAGGGUCUCCCUCCAUCCAUGCUUGUUUAACUUCAAAGGACAUUUAAUAAUUUCCAGUGUAUUAGCUUAGAAUUGUCCUAAAAGAAGGAAGGUUUAUGCGUGGAGAAGUACAUGCUCAAGGUAUUACAUGGAAUCUGAAGUCGUCAAACCCUAUCUCUCCGUCUUAUAAUUAUUGAACUGAACCCAUUUGAACAAAUUCAGAUCUAGCUCUUGGUUCAGUUUUCUUCCAAAAGAAGAAUCGGAAAUUUGUUCAAAUGUAGUUCAACCCCAAAAUAAAUACAACAAAGCUAAUUUUACUUGCAUAUGAUCCACAUCUCAUGUCAUUUUGGGAAGUUCACCAUGCUUCAUUUUCCAAAGAAACACACUAUCUUCAAGGCAAUUGCAUUUACAAAUCCAUUUCCAAUUCCAAAAUUUACGAACAUGGUUUUCAUUUGAAUAAAUUCUACUACACCAUAAAAUGCGGUUACAAUAGUAAAACUGUUAAAUGGAGUAAAAGAUGAGAUGAGUAAGAUCCUCGACAGUUAGGUUUAAAAAGAAAAAUUCUCGUCAAUGUCAUGUAAUAUAUUUUCAACGCGAGAUUGCUAGUCUGUUAUAUUGUCAUAUACCCUUCGUUACUCAUUUUAACUUUUAGGGGAGGGGGGGGGGGGAAGAGGGAUAUGCUUCACCUAGUACAUGCUAUAUAUGACAUAUACCCAUUAUCUUCCAUGUAAAUAAAUGCAUUAAUUUGUGCAACAUGCUGCCUCCCUCCCCCCAGAGGUCAUUACGAAUUGAAUUGAAUAGAAUAACUUGAGCUUGCCACCCAAAAAAUUAAAAUAAAUAAGAUAUGGUGGAAAUGUAGGAAACGAAGACGAGAAGGUGGAUGCACCCACGUUGAUAAGGGCUCUUAAUACUGGCACUCUUUUAAAGGAAUAUUAGAGAACACAAACACAAUGAUUGAUGAGGUGAUUUUUGGACCAACGAACCGAGUCGGUAACACAAGUACACCUGUCAAGAUAGAGACACAGUCGGAGUCUUGUCUCCCGAUCUAGUUUUGAUGCUAAAGUCAAUUAUAUAAGAAAUCGAGAGCAAAACCAAAACUAAUGAGAUUGGAGUUAUGAGCAAGGGCUAAACUAAACUGGGUUGGAGUCUCUCCUCUCCUACAAAAAAGGAAGAGAAUAUCUAUAGUAGAGAGAUCUACAGGAGGAAUGAUGGAACCGACUCCCUAUCACCUGUAGAGAGUCAGUCUAAGGUGGCGGUGUCAGAGGUAGGUCUGAACAAGUCGACGGUAACAGUCAUGUCAUCUUGACAUUUAUCAGUUGUACUUGUAAGUGUCAGAUAUCGAGUAACUAAACUUAGGGGUACAAUCGAAACGGAAUUACCUCAAGGAGACGGAGAUGAGCUACGAAGUAAAGCUAAAAAGGGGAGGUAAUCGCCUCGGUCUUUGAGCAUUAUGAAGAAGUGAACCACCUCAAAUGGCGAGGUGAGCGCCUACAGGACGGGUAGAACCUUAACGAACAAACAGAAUGACCAGAAUUAGUCAUCCGUACCAUAGUAGAUGCAUUUGGUCGUCAGUUUAGUCAACCUUACUAAAAAAAGGAAGUGGAUAAGGUUCCGAAACCAAGGAUGGAAAUGGAUGCUUACUAGUCAUUUUAUUUACCCAUAUAAAACCGCAACUUAAUAUAAAAGCCAAAGAAUGGAAGUGGAUGGUUACCAGUCAUUGUCCAUAUAAAAGCGCAACUUAAUAAUGCACAAAAAAUUAUUCACUUUAGCGAUUCAAUUUCCACAUAACAUAAAAUAAGACGAAAUAUUACUCCAAAAUGGCCCGGUCUCUUGUCAUAACAUCUUGCCCAGUUUCAACCCUCCAUACAGGAAUAGAUACUAAUUUGAUCUUUACUAGCAACCGGACCAGCUUGAAGAAAUGGAACCAAACAACCAAAAUGGACACAAUUUUUGUUAGCGUCGGAAAAGGGGCAGUACAACAGAAAAUUUGAUCUACGUAAUAGAGUCGUUAAGAUGUGCAAUUUAAUACUACUGCAAAUCGUUUUUGGAGGUAAGACAGACUCUCACAUUCGCAAAAAUGCUGAUAGCUGUAAUUGUAUCAACUUAGCCGAACUCAGCUUCUAUAUAUUGUUACCGCAGUCAUAUGAAAAUCUUCAAACCACAAACAAGGGCUAAAUAAAGAAUGAGCCUGAAAUUAACUACCAGGUAACAAGCAAAAACUAUGGCUAUUGGCUAAAUAAAGAACGAGCCUAAAAUUAUACUCACAUGAAUACCCACAAUAUUGAUUUGCUAAUCAAUAAUUGAGAUCGCUUGAGGGUACCAACCGGCUUCAAGUCCAUGUCAAGUUCUCGUCAGUUAUCUGAUAGUGGAAUUCAGCAGCAAGUUUGAUGUUCAAUCUAACAGGGUCAGGUUCCAAAAGGGGACGAUCAAACAAGGCCUUGUUUUAUUCCAGACAACCCAGCAAGUGGGGCCAAUUUUGAAAAAAGAUAGUGGUAAGAUCAAGUACUCUAUUUACUCUUUUUUUUUUUCCUUUCUUUUGGGAGAAGUUGAUCAGCUUCCAAUUAACAGAAGCCGAUCAGUCCCUCUGUUUUAUCUUGUUUGCUGUAUCACCACACUAAUAAGCUUUCGCUGAUUUGGAAGUUUAAGGGAGAAGAGAAGCGGCGAGCAGAGAUUUUACGAAUUUUUUUGGGAUUUUACAGAGGAAAUGAAAUAAUCUACACACAGAUAAACAACUAAGUUUUACUUUUAGUAGCUUAUUAAGGACAAGAGCGGCAUUUUAAAAACUUUACAAAACCUUCCUCUCUUGACAUGUAGAGGAGUUACUUUCCAUUCCUCUCUUCUAGUCUUCUUCGCAUAUCCACAAUUGCCAAACCAAAGCUGAACUCCUUGUAAGAUUUUGCUUGGAUGAGCACUGAUAACGCCAAGAUUUAUCUUAAAAUAAAAUGGGCUUGGCUUCUAAAACCCAAAGUUGUUCCGCGGGAUGAUGUCUCCUGCAGCUGUGAUGGAUAACUUCCUUCGACCCUAAUGAAUUCAAGCAUUUGUUUUCCUUUACGAGAACCGCAAGUCUUACAACUAGAGGGAGGCCUCUUACUUUAUAAAGAGCAAUUUCAUUACUUCAGACAUCAAUAAAGAAACCAUAUCAAAUCUGAUAUCAGCUUUGAAAAAAUGGAAGAUCAAGCAAGCUGCUAAUUGACUGAUGAACUCCUUUAAGUUAAUUUUGCUCGCAAAGCUGAGAAAAUUCUGCCCAUUUUACAGAAAGUCAAAAACAGUUGCACACCAGCCAUCAGCUUCUAUCUGAUGACAACCAAAAGUUGUAGUAGAUAUGCGGUCACAGGCAAACAGGACAGAGAAAAACAUAUAAAAGAAUAUAUCUUAUUUACGAAUGAAUGAAGUAGAAGAAGAUGCCAUUUGUCAUUCCAACUAUACAAUGCUGAGCAUUCCACAUAUAAUCAGAAGGACGGUGCAAACUACAACACAGAUAACAACCUGUAGAGCUCCGCAAAGGCAGCAGGCCGAUAAAUGGCUCCCUCAAACUGUUAUAACUCGGAACAAUUAAUUCCUAUUAUAUUUUUUACAGUAUAGAGUAAGCUCGGAUCACCUCAACAAUAGGUGCCCGGCAUAAUGGACACUUUCCUCCUCCU
rnacentral:lncRNA from 1 species